UGCUAUUGUGUAACCACUCACCAUUGUAACAUUGAUAUGCGAUUUUUUAUUUUUUUUAUUUUUUAUAUAUAAUCAUUUUUAAUGUUUAUUACAAGUGAAAUGGAAGAUAAAAGUAACAAUGAAAAAACUUUGUUAAAUUUAAUUAUAUUUACAAAAAUUGAAAUCAAAAUACCCAUUGAUAUAUAUUAAAAUUCAAAAUAUUCAAAAUAAUUUUUUGACACUAGUAAAUCACUUUAGGCUUAAUUGCAAUUUUGGUGCCCUAUUUUCAUGAUUUUGCGAAAUUGGUCCCCACCAUUGUAAAAUUCAACAAUUUUGGCCCCUCUAUCAAAUAUUGUGAUAUGAUAUUUUUUAAAUGGAGUUUUAAAGAGAAUUUUGUUACAAUUUUAUCGAUGUUGAUUUUUUUUCAUCUUCAGAUCAUAUUCCACGACCUUUAAAAUUUAUCACAUCAAAUUUUUAUAGUUCAAAAAUAUGAUUUAGGGAUCAAAACUGUCAAAAUUUAAAAUAGAGUGAACAAAACUGUAUUUAAGUCAUCACUUUAUUUCAUUAAUAAUGAUCAACUACUCAAUGUAUGAUGGAAUAUCAAUAGAAAAAUUGAAGGACAGCCAGAUGAUAUAUGAAAACUAAAACAGUCCUUCAUGAAACUAUAUCGCAACUUUUUUCUUCGAAAUGUACCACAUCAGAGUUUUUAACAUAAAUAAAAAUUUUCUAAAAUACUAAAAUAAUAUUUUAUCCAUCGUCAUCUUUAAAAAAAAUUGUCUUCCAAACAUCAUACAAUAUAAACAAAUUGCUCAAUACCUUUAAUAUUUGACUUGCGUUGUGUUGUUGAGCAUUUCCCUUUAGUUUUAAUACUAGAUCAAAAGCAUUAUGGGAGAAAUCAAACAUUCAUCAUCAAUAACGUGGUAUUGUAAAAAAUUCAUCAAUGACGUGGCAAAAAAUGAUUGGAUAACCUACUCAAAGAACGGUAGGAACAUAUGUAGACGAUCAUUCCCUUCAGUUUCCCCUUGCCGAAGAAAAUCAAUUCCCAAACCAAAUAUAUAAAACAUCACAAAAUCAUAGAAGAAGAAGAAGAAGAAGAAAAAGGGUUUCUCAAUUUCCAAAAUCUGAGUGAAAAAUCAUUGCAAGAACAGAAACAAAAUGGAAUCAGAAAAUUUGGUGAAACAAGAAUUGGAGGAAUUGCAGAAACAAUUGGGGAAGAAGCAGAAAUUCGAAGACGCUGUGUCAUCUCUCAAAUCUCUGCUCCAAACCACGUAUCCAUUAGCUUCCACCUCUCUUCGAAAAUCGGUAUACUCCUUUGAUUUCAAUUCUUCAUUAAUAUUCAAAAAAAUUGUGGUUUAAUUCUAUAUAACUAGUUGCUGGUGUGUACUUGUCAAUUUAAUUUCUGGGUUUUGUUUAUUUUUCUGUGUUUGUUUAAGUUUGGUAAAAAAGAACUGAUUUUUAAUUUGUUUGGAUUGAUCUAUAGUUUAUACUGUUAUAUAAUUGGAUGUAUUAUGAAGAGUUAGCACACAUGGUUAACGAUACUUGUGGAUAUUUCCAACGUCGAGCGGCUAAUUGAGUAGCUAGCUUGGUGUGAAACUGUUUACAGUUAUGAAGCUUGGAUACAUACAUGGACUCCUGUGAUAAUUUUAGGAAAUUAUAGUAAUUGAAUGUAACAAUUGAGUCGCUGGGACGGGAUGAAACAGUUUUAUGCGUACGAAGAACUGACAGAUACAUGACGUUGGACAUUGAUAGUUUGACACCAGUAAUAAGAAAAUGGUAGUAAUUGAAAUUAAACAAUUUGUCGUGACUCAUUGGACAAAAAAAUUGUGUCAUGGUAUGUCAGGUUCAAAAACCGACACGCAGCAGCGAAGCUUCUUGGAAUAUGGAGGUGCUGAAAGUUUUUUUAUACAUAUAUAAUAAAAUGCUAAUAUACAUUAAUGAUUUAUAAGUAGUAAUGUCUUAUGUGCGGGUUUGAUCCCUGGAUUUCGUGUUUUUGCAACUCAUCUAUUUUUUCCAUAAAGUCUCCAAAUGCUAAAUAUCAUACUCAAAUCUAGUAUUUCUAUAUAAAACAGAGGUGCUAUACUGCUCAGCGCUGACCAACAUCAAUUUGAUAUCAAUUUUGCUAUAAAUAUUAUUAGGGUCUCGUUAACGAGUGCCCGCGGGGCACUCUUUAAGCAUUCUAAUUCAAGAAAUUAUCCACUAAAAAAAGUCAAUUGUUUCAAUUUCCAAUGCAUUCAAUACAAUGAUUCUCAUAAAAAUUUAAUAUUUAAAGGUCUUAAAGAGUGCCCCGGGGGCACUCAUAACAUCUCCCAUAUUAUUAUUAUUAUUAUAUGUAUGUAUGUUUAUGGCCCCUUCAUAAAUUUGUGCCAUGCUCCGCCAUUGCUAACAUGUGUCGACUACUGGACACGCUUUCAAUCCAAAGUGAUGGUGCUACAUGGGCAGUAACUUGCUGGUUAUAUCUGCUAACGCAGCCUCGGCAUGCUAUCGGAUGCCCUGUCGAUAAGUCUUGGGAUUGAGGUUUCCUCCCUUUGCUCUCAUUUUCAACAUAUAAAGGAAAUUAAACAAUUUGAUAUUGAUAUAUGUAUGUAUUUAUCUCUGUAUAUACAUGUAUGUUGUUAAGGCUAAUGAUGAGGUCAACUGAUAAGUUAGAAUAGCACUGCUGGGAAUUUUUUUAGUUUCGUUCCUGCUAAUGAUCUUUCAUUGUUAGGUCAUUCAUAAGUGCUCUUGUUAGGGGUACUUUGAAUAGGUUAAUGUUAUUGUUUGAUGGAUAAUUAAAGGCCAAUAAAUUGACUGUGGUGUUAUUGGUGGUGGCAGUUUUAUUCUGUUAUAUGCCGAGUUGCGACAGUGUUGAAGACGAGAUAUACAGCACCCGGUUUUUGGAGUGCUGGCCUGAGCCUUUUUGAGCAGGCUAUAUUGUUUGUUUCUGAACCCUCUGAAAAGGAGCACUUGAAGGCUUGCAUUGCUCAGGCCAGGGAACAUUUGCAUCUAGAAGACAACCCUUCACAAACUUCGCAACCUGCAGUAAAUCGUGAAAAUAGAGGUGAUUUUCUUUUUGAAGAGUUUUUUUUUUCUUUUUUCUUGAUGUGUAAUUUAUAGCUUUUUCAUGUUGAUGAGUUUUGGGAUAUGGAUGUUUUUAGAUAGUUUGCUUUAACCUUCCCGUGUUUAUCGCGUUGUGUUGAUUCAGGAUAUCUUUUUGAGGGGCACCUUACGGUAGAUCAAGAGCCACCACAACCUGAAUGGAUGGUGCAGGCAAAUCUCUUGAAUGAAGCUGUUCGACUAUUUGAAGCUCAACCCUCUCAGGGUUUAGCAACAAAUGACACCACGCCAGAGGAUGUUGCUAGUGUGCUUGAAAUGCUUAGAAAUAGAUUGGAAGAAGUUGUGCCCCUGGUAUUUAUCCAAAAACUUUUCAUGUAUUUUGGCCACACCUUAUUUGCUUUCAUUCUUUCUCUUAAAUAUCAACCUGGCUUUGAAUAUCUCUAGAUUCAGUUUCUGUAACUUCAAGAAGUUUGUGGCUUAAGCAUUGUUUAAAACAGUAACAAACCAGCUAUCCUAGGUUCAAUUGAGAACUUCAACAAAUUAUGUAUGCUCAACUUAGAACUUGAGCAUAUACAUAGUUGACUUCAGAAUAGCAUUUCUUGAGGUUCUAUUAAACAAACUAAGCUACUUUAGAAUGGUUCAAUAGGAUAAUUUUUCACAACUACAUGAAUCAACGCAAACAGCCUGCUUAACAACAUAGUUUCUUAUGCAUAAUGUUCCUUGUUCGGUGGCUUUAGUGGAUAUAAUUGAUAAUUUGAUUGCGAUGCACCUUUUUUUUUAAUAAGCAAAAGAUAAUGAUACAUUCUUUUAUGGGUGAUUAGAUAUAAACAACCUGCUCAGCUCACUCAUUUUGUUAACUACUAUAUCACAUUUUGCUCGUUUCAACUUGCCUUUUGAUUAAUAUAUACUCAUUUUUGUCUCAUUUAAUUGUUAAACUUUACACUGUUUAAUUAUAAGGCUGACUUUUUUUCUUCUUCUUCUUCUUCUUUUUUUUUUUUUUUUAUAAAAAUAAUUGAUUAGAUGGAGACUGGUGGUCCUGCAGCUCCAAGAGUUCCUCCUGCGAGUAAAGAAGUUGUCUCAAAACUUCCUGUCAUUACUCUCACCGAAGAGAUCCUGUCUAAGAUGGGGAAAGAUGCAGAGUGUGCCAUUUGCAGGGAAAAUUUGGUGUUAAAUGACCAAAUGCAAGAGUUACCGUGCAAGCACACAUUCCACCCUCCAUGUUUAAAGCCAUGGCUGGUAUUGUUUCGUAGUCCACUUAUUUACUGAAAGUUCUGUUUUUCCCUUUUAAAACCAAUUUUUUGCAUUUGAUACUAAAGAGACGGAAGAAAUUACAUGAUCAGAUAUGAAAUUUGUUUAAUUUUAUCCCUCAUGUGGCAGGAUGAGCACAAUUCUUGUCCUAUCUGUCGUUAUGAGCUGCAAACUGAUGAUCAUGCCUAUGAGAGCUGGAAGGAACGUGAAAAGGAAGCGGAAGAGGAGAGGAAAGGUGCUGCAAAUGCUCUUCGAGGCGGUGAAUUCAUGUAUGUUUAGACGGCUAUUCAAUGCAAUUACGAUGUAUACUAUGGUUUACCCUGAAAUAAGGGAUUAAAAAUUUCCUGGUGGUGAAUAGUUGUGUAUUCUUCAUUAUUUGAAAUUAUAUAGUUAUCUCGUCUCAUGUUUUAAGUGUGACUGCUAUUCCUUGAAAUUUAAUAUCUCGCUUUAUAGUUUUUCUGAACAAUGAUUGUCUACAAAUACAGUCCUCCAAACAAUGUUGGGAUCAUUGAUUCAUGAGUUCAAUUUUAUCCCAUAUUCUUUUCCAAACAUAUGUUGAAGAGGUUGAGCUAUAAGGAAUAUGUUGAAGAGGUUGAGCUAUAAGGAUAAUGUGUUUAUUUACUGAAAAUUGAGCAAAAGCUCUUACAAUAUGAAAAUAGAAGAUAAAUUGUAGAAAGAAAGUGAUUCCCAAAUACUCCAGAGUAAAACGCCUCACAGAAAGAGUAGAGAACACUCUCUUUCUUUGCCUAACCAUAAUGGUUUCCACAAUAACCUUGCAUACAAUUUUGGUGACAUUAAAUUUUGGGUUGAUGACUUUGUCUCUAUCUUUUUUUUUGGUGGUGGCCGAGUUUGAACCCCCGGACCUUGCAUAUAUUAUGCAUUGUCCAUACCAACUGAGCUAAGUUCACGAGAACUUUGUCUCUAUCUCUCUUCUCAUUAAAAGAAUUUAUUUUAAUUGUCAUCUAUCAUUCUCUCCUGUUAAAAUACACUAAAGUCACUACAUGUCACAAGUAUUUUCCUUACAACUCACUCACCUCACUAUUUAUACUACUGGGCAUAACAAACUUGCAACCUAACAUCCUAACCCACCCUUUAUUACAUAUAAGAGCAUCUUCAUAAAAAGUUUUUAAAUGGAUCUUGUUUGCACACGUCAUUUAUUUACAAUUUUUUAAUAAAAGAUUCAAUGACUUUAAUGGUAGUAAAUUAAAAAAUCCUUAAAUAUUUACUUUAAUAUGUACAUUUAGAAAACAAACAAAAAGAAAUUGAAGAGACUAAAAGUUACAUAAAUUUGAAAUGACGGAACCAACUUUUAUUUAUUUUCUUUCCUAUUUUAAUCCCGUUAAUUGUUAAAGAGAAAUAGGAUCCUUUAUAUAAAUGAUGGUAACUAAUAGAUAUCCAUUAGAGGUCCUUUAAUAAGAUGAAGUCCUUAUUGUAUAAAUAACUCAUAAUUGGAGAUACUUGAACCUCACCAUACUUUUUAUUACUUUCUCUUUUAAAAAAUAAUUGAUCUUUUUGCAACAAAAAUUUAUCUCCAAAUAAUAAACAUUUUCAAAUUUAAACACAACAUUAAUUACUUUUUUUUUUCUUCCAAUUGUACAUUUUAAUUAAUAUUGCUUGCAUCGCUCACAAUCUAAAUUUAAUAUCUUGUACUUUACGUUUACGAUAAAUACAUCAAGUAUCACUUUUUUAUUAAUACAUAUUUUUUUGACUGUUGCUUUUCUGACAUCCUGUCUUGGAAACAUAAGUAAAUGACCAAAAAAUCCAGCGGUAGUUAACUGCUACCGGUUUUUUAGUUAUAAAUAAGCGAUAGUUAAAAAAGCAAUUGUCUAUUUUUUUUAUAUAGGUGAAGUGGUGAACGAUGGAUCUCAAUUUUUUUAAUACUAAUAGCCCUUCUUUUCCUUAUCCCUCUUACUCGGGUCUCUAUCAAUUCGUUAGAGCAUUUGCACAUUUUAACGUACACAGUUUCAGUAGGGAAGACCAUGAGUUGUAGAUCCUAUGAUACCUAAAAAAUUAUAUGCAGAAAUCAGAAUUGCAGAUAAAGAGAAUCUCCUACUAAAUUUAAUACAGGCAGGUACUAAGAUUUACUACUACUCACUGACUCUACCCUAUACGGCUAUACCUGCACUGUAUUUAUCAUUGUACAUCAAAUUAAAAAUUUAUUAACUAAAUCUAAAAUUUGUAUUUUAUAAGACUUAUUUGUAACUUACACGAGUCUUUUUUUAUUUUAUUCUGACAGUAUAUUGCACUCUCUCUAUCCUACAAUCAAUGGUUCAUUCGUAGAAGAAAAAAUUUCUGAAAAUAACAUCAGAGGUUUUUCCCUUUUAAAUAAAUCCUACAAUAUCAAAUUAUAUUUGAAAACUACAUCAACUUUUUAUUUUCAUUGAUCAAGCCUCUAAAAGAACUUCAAAUAGAUCACACCCUUCCCAUUUUUUAUAACCUAGAUUGCAUGUUGUCAAAUAAUCGACACAUUUACGCAGUUUUGUACAUCUGUGAUUGUUGGACCAAAAUUCAACCGUUUAGAUUUUUUCAAGCUUGAUAUUUUCAUUGCAAUUUGAACAAUUCAAUCUCGAUCCAACGGUCAUAAAUAUUCGCCACUGCGUGGAUGUGUCAAAAAUUUUGACUGGAAGCAAUCUGAUUUCAAUUUCUAUUUUUUGUUGGCUAUGAAUCUAUGAUGAGCAUGACAUGCAUGGAAACCAUUUUUAAGCAUAAACACCAAAACUUUCAUUAAAACAAUCUACAAUAAUGUGGUUAAAUAUAACAAAUAAUGUGAAUCUAUAUCAAGAAAACAAUAUAUCAAACUUGUAAUGAUCAACGGUAUGUAUAACUGUUUAUUGUACUAAACAACAUUCUUCAAUUCAUCCUUUCACAAACAAGCAAUUUCAAAAUGAUUAGAUUCCACUACAAGUCUCAAACCAAGCAAUUCUAGCAGCGCUAAAAACACUGACCUCACACAACCAAGUAUUUAUCACCUCAAAAAUGAAUAUUUUUAGGUAUAAAGCAUCAACCUGAAAAAAUAGAAGUCAAUAUAUAACCCAGCUACAUUCUAGCUUGGUACUAAAAAAAUGACAAAUACAAGUUCUCACUCAGUUUAAUAUACACCAGCGCCUCUGGCUAACGAAUUGAAGGUGCCAAAACAGCCCCCAAUCGUCAUAUGAUAAAAUUGCCAGAGAGUAGAGCAUUCUCGAAAACCAAAGUCAAGAAACCUCCCAUAACAAAUCUAUUCAACAUUACCAAGUGAUGGGCAUGAAGAUCAGAGAAUUGACUUCAACUGUGAACCAGUAUGAGCCUCAGAUCCUAAUAAUACACCGUCUUUUUAACUGCUCGACCUUACCCUACUCCACCUAUUUGCAGAUCUUUGUGAACUUUGCGGCGACUCGCGAGGCUCAGAGAAUCUGUCAUUUCUGGGCUCAGAGAAUCUAUCAUUUCUGGGUGCAUAUCUUUGUGAAUUUUGAUUCCACUCACGAGGCUCUGAAUAUCUAUUGUUUCGAGUUGGUGCAGAUCUUGGUGAAUUCUGAGUCCACUCACGAGGCUCUGAGAAUCUAUCGCUUCUAGGUGCAGAUCCCAUUCCAUCAUUCCUGCCACCUCUUCUAUUAUCUCUCCUCAUAUAAUGAUUGUUAGGUCUGUUUUCCCCAUUUUCCCCAACAGUUGACUUUUUUUCUUCUUGCUCAGCUUCAUAGGCCAAUGGUUGGAUCCCCUGAAGAUCAGGUUCUGGGAUAUACCCAGCAGGUCGCUUGGAUUCAUCCAUUCUUCUAAAUGUGAUUGAUAUCCUAGCAAAAGUUUCAACAAAAGAACACAAGUCAAUAACCAUUUUUAAAAAAAAAAAAAAUUGGAAGAGGGAAAAUUAUUAUUAAUUGAAGUAACACUGACGGCCAUUUUAACACUGAACACACACGUAAAUCAAUAACUUGUCAUUGGUGUUAAAAGCCGAAAAAGGGAAUAUCAUGCUAUCAUAUCAGUAAAUACCUUUUUGUAGGAACUGCAGGUACACAAUGCUUAGCAACAUCAGCUCCAUUUCCAUUUAAAACAAGUACAGAUCUGUAGAGGGAAAAAAUGAUUAUAAGAUUUGGAAUCGUCAAUAACAAUGGAAAAUUGGUAAAUAAUUUAAUCCAAAUCGAUCCGACACCGUGUAGCAACAGUUAAAAAACUAAAAAGACAUAGUAGUAGAUAAAUCAAGAUUGAAUACUUACCCUACAGGUAGAGGAAUAGCAAACGAACCAUCAAAUUUACCAGGACCUGCAAUCCUCAGGUUUGACCCAAAAAGUAUGUCGCACUCACUUAGAAAUGAGACAGUACAAAAUGGUCGAACAAAAUCGUGAUUAUCAAUGUGUGGAGGUAUGCAGUCCCCUUCUUCAUACACAUUCACGAUACAGCUAUCUGGCACACAAGUAGUUGGAAGUACAUGCCACUUGACUAGGCGUCGAAUGAUGACCUUGAAAAGAUCAGGUAAAGGAUCUAUGGAUGCAUGGUGGAGAAUACCCGGUGGGUUACCAUCCUUAUCCUGUAACCAGAAAGUUAAUUUUAGAAGUUAUACAUCCAUUUAUGAAGCUCAUCAACCAUAAUAGUUUGCCGCAAACGAUAGCUAAGUUUAAUUCUUUCCAAAGAAAGAAAUGUGAAGACAUAACGUGAGAGAUAGACUAACCACUGCAUAAUUGUAACAGCACCCAAAUUGGAUAGUUUGGCGUCCCUUGCCCGGCAUCCACUUUCUAGGAGCUGAGUAUGUCCGGUCUGAAAAAGUUAAGAAUCAACACCCAUAUAGAGUCAGUAUAGCCAAUUAGGGGAAAAACAUUUAUAUUUUGUUUUCGGUAUCUUAUGGUGUGAAGUUUGCAUAUAAAAGUUACAGACAAAGUGCAAUGAAUUUAAAGAUGGGCCCAACCAUGCUUAUUCCAAAAUGAUAAGAUUCUUCCACUAUUUCCAAACCCGUUGGCCUCACUAAGUUUUGGGCAACGCUCAAAACUCUGGAAAUAUAUGAAAGUUACUUCUAUAUAAAUUUGGUAUCUCCAUGGCCAGUAGUCAAAGAGAAAGGGUCAGAGCAUGUGGCUGAUUGAGGCCCGUUGAAGUGUUUUUGAGCGGGACAAGGUAUUGCACACCUUUAGCAACUUCCUAACUGUUAGAAACCCAAAAAAGUAUAGCUACCUAAGUUGAUAAGUAAGUUGCUGAAGGUGUAGAGUUAGUUGAGUGUUAAAAUAAAUAACUAGUUGUCAACCAUUGUUACUCUUGAUAGCAAGCAGCUCAAGGUUAAGUAAAUUGAAGGUUUUUAUUAUGAACAAUAAGCUUGAGUAGUUAAGUUACAAGGCACUUGACUACUUUUUCAUUGCAAUCGUUAAAUUACAUAUCGAGGUACAAGUACACAUUUGGCAGCCAUCUUAACAAUUUAAAUUUCCAUCUCACAGUUAAAUUAUCAAUACAGUCUUUACAGAAAAAGAAAUCAAGACGAUUCAAAACAUGAAUCGGCACUAUAAAAAGAACCAAAGAUAGACAUUUGAUAAGUCAACAACAAUUGUAUAGCUAAAAGAAAUCUUAAAUAGAACAAAUGACACAAUGGAAUUAACUAGAUCUCGAUCAUUUAUAGGGUCAGAUACAACGGCAAUCGGGUUAAUUAGUACGCUAUAGAUCAUCAAAUUCAUGAUAUUACUUCAUAUAUACAAGUCAGUCUAUAUGCAUAGGCAUACCACAAACAUAUAAAUAAUUUUAUUAAACUUAUCAUAACUAUAUAGUACAAAAUGACAAAGGUCAUGCACAAAAACAAUUUUGGACAUCAAUUUAAGUUCAAAGCAUAGCAAUAUCAAAACAAGGAAGAAUCAUUCUAAUGUUUCAAAAAUCGGUGCAAAAUCCUAAUUGUGGUCGCUGCAUCAAAGUUUUCAAUAUUUAAUAUCUCUGCAACCAUAAUUGUGACCGCAAUCUUUUUACAAAAUACGCAACACAACUCAGAAUCAACCACAAUCUAAUGCCUUGGAUUUUUUGGUCCUAGAGGGAUCAUUAUCAUUAAUCAACAACAAAUACAUAAUAAAUUAACAACAAAAGAGGUUUUGAGAUGAAAGUCACAAACCUUUGAGCUCUCCCUUUUGCCCCAUCUCUUGUAAAGAAGCAACGUAGUUAACAAUCCUCUUCUGUUCAGCAGCACUAAAGAUACCGGUAUGCAACUCAAGACCGUCAAGAAUGUUCACCAAUUUUCCAUUAACCCUUUCAUAACAAAUAAAAUCUUUCUUACGCCUCACAUUCAUAAACCUAAUAUACUCUCUUUGUUCCCUAGGCAAAACAGCCUUAUCAGCAACAACCCUAUUUUCUCCUGAGUUGUUCCCUGAAACCACACCAACAUUGCUAUCAUUUUCAUCAUGUUCCUCUUCACCAAAUUCAUCAUCUUCUUGUGCCAUAUCAGCCCAAGACAUGCGUGGACUCGGAGCUUCCGAGAUUGAAUUUCCCUGCACACCAUCAUUCCAACUCCCAAGAGAAUGACAAUCACAGUUGUCUUCUACAUCAACCUUAAUCUCAGAAUUUUCAAUUUUGUUUGCAGACUCUGCAAAAUUCAAUGAAAAAAAAUUUAAAACUCGAAAAGAAAGAUCCAGAUUUCAGCAGCACGUAAACUCAAAGAUUAGUGGUUUCCUAUGUUAAAAUCCAAUGAAAAAAUUAGUGGUUUCCUAAUUAUAUUCAUUUCAACAACGCGAAAAAGAUCAUUAAAACUAUGUUUCUCUUGUUUGAAAGCUAGUGAAUCUAUUCACUCCCUUCUAGAUUCUACUUGAAGCUAGAAAUUGUAGCUUUUCAUUCUAGAAUUGAUUUUUACACUCAAAAUUAUCAUUCAACUAAAUGUAUCCAAACACAAAUCACUUCACCUUCAACUCAAUUUUCACCAGAAUCAAUUUUACAUAAUCAAUUCACUCAAAACCAAUUCUAAUCACCGCAUAACCAAACAUACAUGCACAUAGUUUCCUAAAUGUAUUCAUUCAAUGGUUCAACAGCAUGUAAACCCAAAGAUUUUUAAAGCCAGUGAAUCUAUUCAACCCCUUCUAGAUUCGGGAGUUCAUACCAACUAACAAUUAACUAACAACAAUGUGAAUCCGGUAACGGCAUGCCAUUUGAUAGCUUAUAGUGAUAUCAAAGUACUUAAAUCAUCCAAUUGAUAAAACUAAAUUUUUUGAUGGCCCAAUUCAAAAAAACUAAACUUUUUGAUGAUCCAAUUAAUUGAAAAAACUAAAUUUUGUGAUGGCCCAAUUGAAAGAAAAAAAAAGUUUUUAGAUGACCCAAUUGAAAACUGAUAAAUCUUUUUGAUGAAAAUUUAGGGUUUAAGUUACCUGGGGCAAUUGAGAUGGAAUUGAUGCGAUCGGAGAGAGAUUGAACACAGGUACGGCAGAGACCUUUGGAGAGAAAAGGAAGCCAAGUGGAGAGAAACUCAGAGGCGAUUUGAAGCUCGGAAGGUUGAUAAUUAAGGAGGAAUGGGUCGUUGUUUGAAGGUGGUUGAGGUCGUUCAUCCAUGGCGGUGAAGAGAGAGAGAGAGAGAGAGUUGAAACAAACGCAACUGAAACAAGACCAAGAUACUAUGCUAUGCUUCUUUGAAAUUUUUUCAGACUAUUAUUUUUCCACACUGUACCUUUUCUGCACCCUAUUAUUUUUCAAUUUUACCCUGAUCCGGAUUUUGUUUUUUGGAUGGUAUUGUUAGAAUUUUGCAGAUGUUUCCGGAUUUGAAAAUCCGGAAUAAUGUUUUAUCAGAAAUUUAAAAAAACAUAAAUAAAAAGACACAAAACAUAAAAACAACUCAUUUUAUUAAUAUAUCAACAAUACAUUACAAUAAUUUUCAAGCUUUUUAAGCUUAUUACAUAAGAUUCUAAAUCUAUUUCUAAUCUCCUAUGAAUCUAAUUCUAAUCUCCUAAGAGCCUAACCACUGGUAUGUGAUGGGACAUACCAGUAGUUUGCCUAUUGGAGGAAAACCGGAGGAGGAGGGAAGAGGAGGGUGGGAAGAAGAAAACAAUGCCCCUAAGAGAGAUGGGGGAUGCUCAAACUUACGCCCAGACAUGCCAAGCUAAGAACCACACUGACCCACGUAACCCUCAGAUAAACCGCGUUUCGUUGCAGCGUGGUUCCAUCCUCAUUGACCGUUAAUACAAACCCUGAAAGUUUUCAACGAGGCCCUUAUCUAUGAAAGGUCAACGAUGGAAAACCAUGGUUGUAGAAGGAAGAAGAGGGGGAGAGGGUGGGAGAGGAUGGUGUGAGAAAUGGUGGGGUUUGGAAGGCUAUUUAUAGAGAGUGGGUCAAAAACGGUUGGGAGGCCAUAAAUGCAGUCAAAAAAUGCGUUUUACCACGUUUUUUUACUUGACCACCGACAAAAACGUGUGGUGCAGACCACCGGUCAUGACUGAUGCAUUCCGGAAUAUAUAAUCCAGAAAGCACAUCUGUUUUCCGGAUUAAUGCGAUAAUGGUGGUGAACGAGGAAAAGUUGGCACUUCCUAUACGGCUAAGGACAUUUCAGAAUGUAAAAUCCGGAAAGAUUCAGAGCCAUUAAUGUGGGUUUGGACGGUUACAACAACCACUAACACGUUUUCAUUGACUGUAAUGACCUAGGAGUUGUUUUAGGCUAUAAAUAGACUUUUAUCUUCAACAAAUACCUUCAUUCUUCACUUCACCUCUUUUCUUACAUUUUCUUCAAAUGUUUUUUAGUUUUUUAGGGGUGUCGAUGGUGUCAUGGUCAUUGUUGACCGUUCAUAUGAACCCUGCAAUUGCAAUGCAUUGCAGCUUGUGUGAGGUUCAUAUAAUGGUCAACAAAGACAUUUGACAUCAAAGAAAGACACAGAAAAUUACAUAACAUCUGGUCCGAAUUUCUGUUUCCGGAAAUCACUAACAAUCUGAUCCGGAUUAUGUGAUCCGGACCAGGAGUAUUUUAGUAAAUUUUGCAGGGUGCGCGAGAAGGCAGCAGGGUGGGAAAAGUAAUAGUCUUUUUUUUUUGUUGUUUUUAGAAAAACUAAUAUUUAUCUUCUUUUCUUUUUCUUUUUUGUAUAAUAAAAAAAUCAAAUAUCUUAAUCUGUUUUUGAUAAGAUCUUUAUUCAAUUGUGUGUUUUUUUCACGCAAUGUUUCCGUUAGAUUUUGAAUUUAUUUAUUUUUGUAUAAAAAAUAAUAUUUCUUUUAAAAGUCAAAUUUAUGAUAAAAGACUUGAUUUGAAAUGAAUAAAAUAUUAGUAUAAAAAUAAUAAAACAUUCUAUUUUAUUUUGACCGGAAAAUAAAUUAUAUUGAUGUUAGAAUAAAGAUUUUGUUUAGUAAAUAAUAUUUUUUUAAGAAGUUUAGUAAAUAAUAUAUGUGAAAAAUAACAUUAAACUAUCCAGGAGUAUUUGAAUGAGAUGACACAAGUCUCUUCUAAUUUAAUUAAAGUUUAGAUACACGAAUUCACCUUUGAGCAUGCAACAACGUUAAAAUUCGUUAGAGAGUUGCCGCUUAUUUGAGUCCUGUAAGGCUCGAGGAUUAAUCACCACAAGGUAGAGUUGCCACCUAUUUAGGUCCUGCAAAGCUUGAGGGAUUAGUCACUGCGAUAUGCGUGGAGACGGAUAGUAUAUGUCCGUUUAUCCGUAUUUUUCAAUUGUAUUUUGUUGUAUUUAUAUUUUAUAAGUUUUAAAAAAAUUCUUAGAUUAUUAUGGGUAACGUAAAAAUGUUCAACUAAAACAAAUUGAAUUGUUAAGGGUAAUUUCGUUAACAAAAUUGUUCACCAAAAUGUAGUUAAGUGCUUGAAUAUGUAACACCCAGUUUGAUCGAAUGAGUAUUAAAAUCAAAACUUUUUUUAAACAACCAAUGUUAGUGUAUGUUUAUUGUCAAUUUGUUAGUGUUUGUUGAAGGUGUGAGUGAUUGAUAAAAGAGGUUAUAUGUUCAACUUCUAUCGUUAACAAAAAUAUCAACCAACAUUUAUUUUUGAAAAUGAAAUGAUAACUAACAUUUGUUGUUAGAGAAGCUCAAGAUAUAUCUCACAUAUAUAGCAUGUAUUUUGUUUUAUUCAUUAACCACCUGAAAUGAAUUUGAUGUGUAUUUUUGUUACAAUAAUCAUCACUUUUGCAUAACUUUUUUACAUCAUUUUUACUAUCUCAAGCAUCGCAUUUUUUAACACACAAUUUUCCAUAUACUUUUAUUGAUUGGUUAAAACUAAUAUAAGACUCACAAAAUUUCUACAAAAAUCACGAGAUUUUGCGGAAUUCAUACUUCUAUAGAAAUUUACACAAUAUGAUUUCAAACAUAUCAAAAGUCUCUAAACUCUUCAUCAAAACGUUGAAACCAAUAAGAUUUUAAAAUUUACCAAUGAAUAUUCAUUUACAAUUUUCUCGUGGUUCAAUUUAAUCAUUAACAAAAAUAUAAUAAAUAAAAACCGUCUAACAUUUUCAUAUUAACAACAAAUGGGUUCUAAGGGUGCUUGUUAAGGAUCCAAAAAUAAAAACAAUUGAUAACUUAUAUAUAUAUAUAUAUAUAUAUAUAUAUAUAUAUAUAUAUAUAAUUGUUUUUUGAUGUUCUAAUGAGUUGAAUACACAAAUUCGAAGAUAAUAUAUCUACUUUAAACUUUUUAUCAAAUGUCUUGAGAACACUUGUUAGUAUUUACCAAUAUUUUAAAGUGUUUAAAGUGAGCCGCAAACUUAAACAACAUGGAGAGACCUCAAAAUCGUGGCUAAAUCUUCAACACACAUAAACCAUCAUUUGUGCUACUUUCCAUUACCAUUACCAUAAAAAGAAAAACAGUCUCAGAGACAAAUGUACAACACAAAAAUAAUACUAUAAAUAAAUAAUUCAUUAAUAAAAAAUUAUAACUUCCUUUUUUUUUUUUUUUAGGAGAAAAGAUCAAAUAAAAUUAUUACACUUUGCACUUUGCAACACUUUCCACAACACUUCACAAUGGAAAUGGCAACUUCCUCAAAUUUCAAUUUCACAUUCUCUUCAAAGAAUACUAGGUACCUGUCUAUGUUUCAUGGAUUGAAAUAUCAACACUCAAAUUCAUUCAACAAAUGUUUCAAACUUCAAUCUUUGUCUACUAAGAUAGUUUCAGCUACUACAAACAUAGCUUCUGAUAUGUAUAUUGGAAGAAACAAUAGUAGUAACAAGAUUUACACAAACUUGAAUUCUUGUCUUGUGAUUCCACCACCUACUUCCACCAAACCUAGAGCUAUAAUCAAAUUCAUUGGUGGUGCUUUUGUUGGUGCUAUUCCUCAACUUACUUAUGGGUAUUCUCUCUUACCCCCCCCCCCCCCCCCCCCCCCCCCCCCUUUUUUUUUAAUUUUUUUUUUUUUUUUUUUUUUNNNNNNNNNNNNNNNNNNNNNNNNNNNNNNNNNNNNNUUUUUUUUUUUUUUUUUCAUUUUGUAAAUUGUAGAUAUCUUAUAGAGUUAUUGGCUAAGGAAGGUUUUGUUGUUGUGGUGGUGCCUUAUAAUGUGACAUUUGAUCAUUCCCUAGCUGCUAAACAAGUCUAUGACAAGUUUCAUUCUUCUUUGGAUACACUGCUGACAUCUGGGUUGCCUCAAGCCAAUUUGUCACCUGCUCAGCUUGGAGGCCUUCCUGUUUUCUCUGUUGGUCAUAGGUAUGCUCUUAGUUUAGUUGGCUUGUUUUGUACAUAGUACGCAGUACCGACACUUUCAAUUGAAGAUGUGUAUGAUGUCCAACAUGUGUCAGUGACACAUGUGGUUACAUUCAGCUUUUCUAUUUUCUCAAAUCAUCACUAGUUUUGAUGUGUCAAUUUCGUGUUUGAUGUCCGCGUGUAUUAGGGCAUCUGACAUGUGUCAGUGUCUGAUACGAUGCUAAUACAUGCAGUUACAUUCAACUAUUCUACUUUCUCAAAUCAUUACUGGUUUUGAUGUAUAUCAAUGUCGUGUUUGAUGUCUGUGUCAUAGCUUUAUAGUUAGUACCAAUCUUACUUGAAUUAAGGUCAGGUAAAAGUGUUUUUGUUUUCAAUUUGUAGCAAUGGUGCACUUCUUCAAGUUCUCACAGGAAGCUUAUUUUCUGAGAAACUACCCAAGGUUCGGUUUUUUUUCUGGCUGCUAGAGUACAAGACUGUAUUUAUCUAUGCACAAAAAGGGUUUUGAUAUAUAAUAUUAUAUUAAUUAAGUUGUUAUAGGCAUGUUUUAGUUUAUCGCAAUGGAAGCAUAAUGCAGAUUAUAAAAUUUUAUUUUCUUUAGUAAACCCUAUAGACUUAUAGUUAUAUCAAUUCAAGGAAUGUGAUGAAAAGGUAUGUGUAUCUUAUGGAAGGCUAAUGCUGUAAUCGCUUACAACAACAGACCAGCGACGGAGGCUGUCCCUUACUUUGAGCAGGUAUUAACAACAUUCAUACUUGUUGAAUUCUAAUACUGCAAUUUAACUAAGAGUCUUUAUCAUAGGCUACUUUAAUAGAAUGAUUGAUUUUUGUAGUUGUGGAGUGGUUAAGAUGGAUUUUUCCAACAGGCUAUAUAUACCUUGCUUGUCGCCAUAGAAAAUUUUGAUAUGAAAGUUAAAAUUUAGUUUGGAGGAUGGAAUUUCUAUGUUACCUAAAAGUAUAAAACAUUGUUUGGACACAAUUUAUUGACAUUUUGUGUUUAAACUGGAUAAUAUACGGAUUUACACAAAGUAAUUAAAGUGGUGAAUGGUGAUGGAACAAAUGUAAGCAUGCUAAACACUGGUUAUGAAUAUGUUGGAAACACACCUGAAUGUGCUUAAAUAUAGUUUUUUUAACAUAUUUCGCAUAGCUAAAGAUUCUGUAUAUCUGUGCAAAUAAAUGGGAAGCCAAUAAAUAUGCUUUAAGAAAGCUUAUGAAGAAAUGCAACAUUUAUACACGCAGAUGCAAUUAAGUUCAAUUAGUAUUAGCAUCAUCAGCAUACCAUCAACUUACUGGAAAGUUUAAGAAAAUUUUAUUAUGUCUAGAACAUUAAAUUUUGCUGCUGUUGGAAUCAAUUAUUCCCCUUUACUCUUACCGUCUAUUACAGCAUCAGAACCACUGAAAUAAAUAUGCUUCAUGACUUAAUUUCGUAUGGCCUUAUAUCAUUCAUCUUCAUACUGUAUUUCAGAUGAUAAAGCAUGUGUGUAAGUUGUUUGUGUCAAUUGUGAUUAAAAUUUUGCAUUGAUGUCCUGCAGUUAGGUCCUGCAGUCAGCCAGAUGAUGCCGAUAGUGGAAGCAAAUCCAAUUUACUCAAUAGCUAGAAAUGCACCAGGUAUCACCUUAGAUUGCAUAUUUUUUUGAAAUUCUGCACAGUUUGGCUAACUGUGUUGUAAACUAUCUCACUUCUCUAACUGCUGAAGUUUUUCAAAAGGAAGUGUUGUUGUCAUUGCUAAAUGUGUUAGGAUGCAAAAAUAUUUACUUUAUAUAAUCUCAUUCAUUCAAUAUCGCACCUGUUAGAUUUCAUAUGUAGAGAAUUUAGAAAUUGAGUUCUAAAUUCAGAAGUCCUGGUCUAAUGAUGUAACUCUGAUGUUAAAAUCAGUUAAUGCAAUAGCUCUGCCAUUGCCUCAGCGAUUCUGUUAGAACUGGUAUCUAUUGUUAGAAUAAAUUAGAGGAAGGAAACAGAUUAUAGCAGGAAGUAUACUCGCUGGGACACUGUAUCAACAGAGACAGUUAUCCUUAUUUAAGCAAUCACACAUAGAACAAUAUGAAAGUGUCAGAGAUUUGGAUCAUAUACUUUACACAAAACUGACCAAAGUCAGUUUUGGCCUUCUCGGCCUCUCCUCCUAUUAGUAAUCCUUAAUGGGAGGUCUAACACAUUUAUGGAAUUCAUUGGUUUGUUUAAUUACAAGUAUAUUUUAUCUUUUCAUUUCAUAGAUUUACUAUAAGAAUUUGUGUAUGUAAUAUCAUAUGAUGAUUAAGCUUGUCAUCUGCAACUUGUGUAGGAGAUGCAUGGAAAAUGGUCCUUGAUACUGUUGGAUCAAUUCUGCAGGAAAGCGAGAAGGAAGUUCUGAAUUCCUUAUCUAAAUUUGUUGAUCAGCUGCCUUUGGUAAUGAAUGAGGUAUGUGUUAACUGUUGAUUUUGGAGAUUGUGUGACAAUAUUUAUUUCAAUAAGUAACUAGUAUGAUGUGUUAAAUGGAAAACCUUGGAGGUCAAAUAUUGCUGUCGGUUUUUCUAUAGGCAAAUCUUAGUAAGUUAGUGGUUACAUUAGUUUCUGAGAUCAAACCUGGGACCUCCUGCUUAAAACUCCUUCAUUGUCCCUUAUCUCACCAACCGAGCUACCUUCGUAGGAUAAAUUUUGCUGUUGAUUCUUUUUAGCAGUUAAUUUUGCUUCCAUUUGAAGCUUAUAAUCCCUUAGGUUAAUCUUUAAAAGCUUAUGAUGAUCUUUGUGGCCACGGUCUAUUAUGAUCUAUGAAGCAGCGACAUAGGCACACGACACUGACACGUAGACACCGAUAAUAAUUUGAUAAAAUAGAAGUGAUUGAAUGUAACACAUGUGUCGGUAACGGAUGCCAGAGAUGCCUGCAGUCUGAAGUUUAGGUGUUACUUAGAUGAUGAUUGAAAAGUAUGAAGCCCAACAUGAGCAAGGUUGAAUAUCCACGUCUUGCAAGGAAAAUUUCACUAUGAUGCUUAAAACCCACUCUUUUUUACAAGUUAUUGGUUCUAUAUUUCUUCUUGACGUGUAUAUAUCUCUCUGUCAGGUUACACAAGGAGUCUCAGAGUUCAAACCAACACCGUCCGAAAAUCGUGAUUGCUUUAAAAGUUCGUACAAUGUCAAACACACAUUAUUGGUCUGUCUGAUACCUUAUAUCUCAUAACUUACUUUUGAAAGACAGCUAGCAUUGUUAAGAUAUGUCUGAUGUUGUCUUUCUUUUUGUCUAUUAAGGUGCAAUUCAAUUCCGACACAAUUGACGAAACAAAUAUUCUUGAAGAAACACUCAAGCCUCGUGUGGAGUCCUUUGGUGGGACAAUAGAAAAAGUAGGAUUGAGUGGUAACCACAUCACCCCAUGCAUCCAGGUAAAACUUCUCUGCACCAUCCUAUAGUUCAUUUCAUUUAGUUGAAAUUAUGUGUUGCUUCAUUUUCACUGAUUGGUGGUUACACUGAAAUCAGGAACCAAGAUGGCAAGUAGGUAAGUUGUAUACUCCAGCAGAUGCUGUUGCUCAAAGGCUUAAAUCUUUUUCUCUGAGUGAUACUAGAAUCCUUGCCAGAACCAUUAGUGACUGGUUCAAACGUUUUGAGGAUUGAAGUGCUAGGGCAUAUUUGCAUUGCGUAAAUCAUGCAAUAUAGUUUUGGCUAAUAGAAACUUACAUGUUGUAUAUGUGUGCAUUAAUGAGUCAAGAAUGUAGUAGACAAUCUUAGUGUAAGUUAACUACCAUUAUUAAGGUUAAUAAAUACUUAUUGGAUUGGAUUUUGAGAGCAACAUACACACAAUAAUCCAACACAAAUAUAUUCAUCAAUCUUGCUUUUAUUUUUCACCAUUUACUUUUGGGCUGUAUUGCAUAUAUUUACAUUCAUUACUUAUUGUCUUUGAUUUUUAUACAUUUACUAAACGUAUUUACUAGCCUUUAAUUAGGCCUAGUUAUAGUUUAGAAAAUCUGCACUCAUGGAGCUUUUCGAGGAAUUCUACAAAUCCAGCUUAAGAAGUAUAGUCAAUUCCUUAAAGAAUCCCCUCAAGAUGGAGAGUGGCCCUCGAGUGCAGAGGCUGCAAGACUCAUUUGUCGAGCAGGGACAAAAUUCGACCUUAGUGAUAUGACAGUGUCGAGUGGAAGGGCUGUCAGCCUGUCACUCAAUAAAUAAAGUUACACUAGGGAUAUAUAAUAGGUCGAUCUUCCCUAACAGCUCAUAUGAAUGGGAUGAAUAGGCAGCUUGAUGCUGAUAAUUUGCCUCCUGCAACUGUGUGUGUCCCAAGCGUUGGAUUGUUCGGCCAUUUAAGCAGUAAGUGAGCCAAGUUCAGAACAUCGCGAGACAGCUCGGUCCAUAUUUUGCAGGGGUCUUAUAGCAUUGUGAGGACCGAGAAAGACACACCUCUAGUAUACCAGCUAUCAUGUCCACGAUAGAUGCGAAAAUAUCUAAGUAGUAAGCCUAACUCAAGAUGAGUCCUUUCUUUUCCGACUUCCUCAAAACCUCCUAUAACAAGGUGGACAAGAAUUUAGAUUUAUCCACCAUCCAAAUAAUAUCAUUGUUACAUUUUCAACUCUAAGUUUUAUCCAUAACCAACUUCUAACUAACCAAAUCCACCUCAUACAUCCUCAUCAUUUAUUUCAAAAGAGUUAUAUCAAAUCUUAUUUCAAUUCAACUAUAUUGACUAAUGGAUGUAUAUCUAGAUAAGUUCCCAAAUAUGAUUAUAUGACUAAUGGAUGUAUAUCAAAUUUUUUGGGGAAAAACAAAAUUUACUAAAUUUAAAAGCAAUUUGAUAUGUUAUAUGAGACUCGUUAAUAUCAACGAUGUUCAAUAAAAAUGUGUUUGACAUCAAUCUUGAUGGGUAACAACAACAUAUCAAAUGAUUUUAGAUUUUAAUAAAAUUUCAUAGAGAUGAUAUUUAUGACGUAAUUCUUCAAUCCAACGGUGUAUUUUAUGCAAUGUAAUUAUCCAUCCCUUUGCAAGUAUAUUGAAGUUUUUUUUUUUUUUUUUAAUAUUUUAUGUAAUGUUAUGAAUUGAAGUGAGAAAAUUCUAAGUAAAUUUUGGACAGAUGAUUUGGACACUGAUCAGGCAUCUGAUAGCACAUUGGAGCCUGACACUUAUAUCGAGCAUCAAUAGGCUUUGUUAGCGGCUCAUCCUGAAGUGCACAAAUUCUUAUCACAAACUACAGACACUGUUAAAAAGGUCAAGAGAGGGAGACCUAGAAAGCCCAAGAGUUCCAAAGCACUUUCUAACACCAAAUCAAAACACAAUCGCUACAGAUCUUACUGAGAUUGGCUCUGAUACUGUGAAUACAAGAUCCAAACAUGGUGUUAUCAAAAGCAAUCCUAGAUAUGGUGAUUAGAGGAUCAGGAAAUUUUGAUACUCAUCUAUUUUGCAUAACAUAUGCUAUAUUUGAUUAGAUUUCUUUAGGGGCAUGUGCAGCUCUAUGCUUUCUUGGCAGGUUACACUUUGUUUUGUUGCUAUAGGAUAACCUUGGCUUCCUUUCUCUCUUUUGUAAACAGGUUCAGGCCUUAAUCCUGAUUUGCAUUUUAUUUUCAUUUGCAUUGAAAAAAAAAAUGAAUUGGGUAAUAUAGUAAGAGAAACUAAGUCAAAAGUGUAUUUAUUUAAGGAAAUUGUUUUUUCAAAACCAUGGGCAUUUGAAAGUCAAAUUAAAUCCCACCUAAUUUGACUCAAGUAGGAUGUAUUCAUUUAAGGAGACAAAGCUCUCACGCCAUUUUUCCUUCUUUUUUCUAUUUACGAAAUUUGAAUGCUAUAACUUGUUUAAGAAGUAGCAAGUCUUUUACCACUUAUGUGUGUUGAUUAAAUAAGAAAAGUGUUUAAUAUAAAUCGAACCAAUCAACAUUUUUAAUCUUCUUCUUUUAAAAUUAAAACUUAAUAAUUCAUAAGAUAUUUUUUGUAUUUCUUCUCACAACUAGGAUGGAUUAAAUUGAUCAUUUUUAAUUACAUUUUGAAAGAAAAUAAAAAUCUCAUUUUAUAUAGCCUUUUGCGAAUGGGACCAUGGGAAGAUAUCACCACUUGUCUUGUGAGCAAGGCAAGUUACUAGUAUGGUUCAUGCAUGGCUGCUCACAAUACUUGAAAACAAGUCAAUAAGUAAAAAAGUGGGCAAAAAAUACAUUGGUUUUUGAAAUAAGGUAAACCUUACCUUGCCUCAGUCAAAAUUUAUUUAGAGAGUUUGAACAAUUAGUAUAGAAUGGAGUUAAUGGAGUCAAAUGUAUAUGCGACAUGCUUUAAUCCUUAACAAUUAAUUUGUCUCCUGAAGUAGUAGUACUCCAUUUGUAGUACUUGUGAGUGUCCCUUACUAGCUAGGACCAUCCUACUAGAAGUGGUAGAUGCUUUUGUUUUUGGUCCAAUUCUAAUUAAACUACACCAUCCAUCUUAAAUUUGGUGGGGAAAACCAAGCCUCAUGCAUGAGGUUUUGUUGAUGAAUCCCACGAUUGUGCUUGGUAAUUAGUUGAAGAUUGAACAAGUACAACAAAUGGAGUAUGAAGUAUCAAUAUCACUAUAUAGGAGUCAAGUGUAUAUUUUUAUUUUUGGACAAUAAGGUGUAUAUCUUUACAAUCCACUAAAAAAAAGUAUGUUUAUUGUUUGAUUAUUUGAAGAAAAAUUAUAAUAAUUACCCUUAAGAUGUUCUUUAAGGAAUAAAAAAAAGAAGGUAAUUUUACAUAAAAAAAUGAUGUAUUUAUUAUUUUAUUUUAACAACAUUUGACAAAAGGUAAUGUUAACAUAUACUCUAAUUUGCCUGUUCAAAAAAAAAAAAACAUAUACUCUAAUUAAGGACACAUGUUAAAGAACGUGUCUAUUUAAUUUAGUUGGGUCUAUUUUUUUUACAUAAUAAAUGUAAUAAAACUAAUAAUAUACCGUCACAAUGGAAAAUGAAUUUGAUGCGGAUUUUUUUUUCUAUCUAUCACUAAAGUCAGAACAUUUGGUUGUCAGAUGAAAAUUAAACAAUUCAUAUUUAGACUUUGUAUUUUAGAAUUGAUUUUUGUUGAGCUCAAAAUAUGUAACAUAUAUAUGUAACGAUAAAAUAAAUUUUAGAAUUUGAAUGCCAAGAUGACAGCCUCUAAUUAAAAUUAGGAAAAUGGUAACAAAUAUCCUUAAAGCAUUGUUUAAGUAUAUAAAAGUAGUAACUUUUAUUAGAAAUUGUGUAGUUAUGACUUUUAUAUAUGUUUGACUUGUAUUUCCAUAACAAAAUUUCUUUUUGUGGAUUCCUUAAACAAUGCUCUUAGAGUACUUGUUAGCAAGACCCUUAAAAUUAUGAUAAACAGUAAACUAUCACUCUCUUUAGUUUAGUCCCUGAGUUAUAGAAAAAUGCCAAGUGUUUUAAUUCUCUUGUUUUCAGGAGAACUGAGACUCUUAUAAUCUUGAGUUCGAUUUUUAUAUAAGUCAAAAGUUUCUCCAUCUAAAAAUUGAACUUCUCUCAAACGAUUCAUCUUUUAUUCAUUCAAGUGUCCAAUCACUUUUAUAAUAAAAAUAAAUGUUCAAAGCUUUAUAAUAAAUUUAUUGGUACAUUGAACCAUACCAUAAAAAUAAUAAGCAAAAUACUAAAGAGAAGGACCGAAACGGUGCACCUGAUCUAAUUAUUUAUCUAUCACACACUUCACCUGUGUAUGUGUCUCGUAAAUCAUUGUUUUGUUUUGAAAUGAGAUUGCCUUUGAUUGGUAGCAACUUUUCAUCCCAUAACCAUAUGUUGGCCAAAGUUAAUUACAACUAACUAAUGUGACAAAAAAAUGUUAGAAAAUGACACCAAUCAAAAUCACUUAAAUGAUUUUGAUUUGUGUCAGCUCAUCAUAGUAACUCUACCCACAUUUUAUUUAUGUGUAAUGUAAUUGUCAUAUAAAAAAUGAGAUAUUUUAAGGAGAUUUUUUUUUUUUGGUGGUGGCCGGGGCUUGAACACCGGACCUUACAUAUAUUAUACAUUGUUUCUAUCAACUGAGCUAAACUCACGAGGACUUUAAGGAGAGUUAAUGGUGUUGGUUGCAUGUUAGAACAUAAAAAUAGUGGUCCCUCGUGCGCCAUGCAAACUUGCAUAGAAAGUGACCGUACAAUUUUGAUGCGGCAAGGGGUGUCAAAGGCUGCAUUUAAAUUCAUAAAUGAUAAUUUCAUCUUGUCACCAUUCCAAUUUCAUAUUGGUUGCAAUUCUUUAAACUAUCAUAUUUCUCAACAAUGUCAUCUCAAUAACGAUACAAUACACUUUGUAUAGUAUGUAAAUUUUGCAACCCCUUGUUUAACAAGCAAACAAAAUUGUUGCAAUAAUGGAAAUAAAUGCAACUUGUUUUCUUCGAAUUUAUUUUAGUAGGAGACGAGAAAUAAUCUAAUUGGUGGAGUAUUUAGCAAAGAGAGGCAAGAUUUGUAUUUUUAUACUUGAAAGCUUUGAAGACAUGGCAUGGUCUAUAACUGAGACAGAGAUAGACCACUGAUCACUCAAAAGAAUCCAUUUAAAAUAUUAUAAUAAUAAAAAUAAUACUCCAAAAAUAAAAAUAUUACAAUAAAUAAAGGAGAAUGCUAAAGAGUGUCGUAGAGACAUUGGUUAAGCAUCCAAAAUAAGUAAAUUUUCAUAAAAAAAUUGUGUAAUUAUUAUUGCAUAAAAAAUACUCCCUCCGUCCCUUAAUUAAUGAUCUAGUUGACUCUGACACACGUACCAAUGCAUAUGUUUUAUCUUUGAUAUAUUCAAUUCUCUACUAAAACAAUUUAUGAAAAUUUAAUAUUUUAAAAAUAUUGAUCGAGACGAAUCCAACAACAUCUUACAUGAUAUUAUUUAUCUUUAUGAAUUAGUAGAAAAAUAUGGUCAAAGUAUGUUAAGUCAAUAAUAUAUAUUGUCAAAUAAGUCAUCUAUGGAGAGACGGAGGUAGUAACAUCUUAUAUUUUCAAGAUAAAAUUUCUAUUUAUAUAUUCCUUAACCAAUACCUGAAGAUACCGGUCAACAACCCCCAUAAAUUAAAACCAUACGUUGGACCCAACUAUUUAUUAUAACAAUGAAGUUCAUCUAUUAAGACCAACACUUACCUUUAAAUCUUCUAUACUUUUGAACUUUGUGCCUCAAAAUUUUAGUGUAAGGGGAAAAAAACUUGUGACUCUAUAUACACCAACUUUGUUACAUACAUAACCACAUAUAAAUAUAUCAAGAAACCAAAGAAGGAUUGUGAUGGAAUUAGAACAAGACCAUGAUCUCUCUAGUGCUUACAUUCGAAGUUUGGUGAAACAAAUAACAACCACAAAACCAAAAGAAACCAUGAACCCUAUCAAAGAUUGUGUUUUUGAUGGUAGUGAUUCUCCAAGACAACAAAGUUUAAGAAAACAUGUCAAAGUUCAACACCAACAUCACAAAAAACAAGUUAGAAGAAGGCUUCAUACUAGUAGACCUUAUCAAGAAAGACUUCUAAAUAUGGCUGAGGCUAGAAAAGAAAUUGUAACUGCCUUGAAGUUUCAUAGAGCAGCUAUGAAACAAGCUAGUGAGGAAGAGCAACAACAAAAGCAUCAACAACAAGUUGAAGAAGAAUCAUUAUUAAUAGUGUCUUCUAACCAACUUUCACAUGUUUUAAGUUUUGACAUUGAGAAGGAUUUAAGUUUCAAUUCUAGGAUAAAUCCUAGGAUUUAUCCAUCAUGCAAUGACAAAUUUUCAAAUGAUUUUUCCUAUUCUUCUUUUUCUCAUCCUUCACUUUCACUUCCACACUUCCACACAUGGCCUAUUUCUCCAUCAUUUUCUCCAACCCUUUUGGAUGAAAAUUUAAAUUUUACCCUCCCAAAUCAAACUUUAGGAUUGAACCUUAGUUUACAUGAUUUCAACAAUUUAGAUGACACCCUUUUACUUAACAACAACAAUAAUGAUAAUUCUUCAUUUUGUUCUUACUCAUCUCAAACAUCAUCAUUUCCUUCACUUUCUCUACCAAAUGAUCAUGAAGUUCCUUCAAUUAAUAAAGUAUCACAUGAAGAAGGUGUGACUUUAGAGGUUGAUACCAUUGAAUCAAGGGUUACAACUAAGGUCGACGAAGGAGAAUGUCAUUCAGCCGUGGAUGAUAAACUUAUGGAAGAAAUGAGAUCAUUAGGAGAACAAUAUCAAAUGGAAUGGAAUGAUACUAUGAAUUUGGUUACAUCAACUUUGUGGUUAAAUUUCUUGAAGAAAAUGGAACAUGAUGCAUAUACAACACAAGAGGAUGAUGCAUGUCAUGUCUUUGAAUCAUGGAAUUUCCAACUUGGUUGAAUAGACAAGAAGAAAUCUGUUUAGAACAGUGGUCACAUGAUCACUUCAUAUAUCUCAACUUACCUUGGUAAGUUCAACAAAAAUUUCAUAACUUUUGAAAAUGAAAUUUUAUUUAAAAAAGUUCUUUUUGGUUGUACUUUUGUACCUAUCAAAAUAAAAGGUACAUGACAAUAUGUGCACCUUUGUUUAAAUUUUCUUGUAACAUAGCCAUAAAACUUUAAGUAAAUUUUAUCUUUUAAUUACACACUUAUUUUUUGCGAAUUAGAUUUAAGUUAUUUUGUUAAGUAGAUUUAUGUUAUUUUAUUUCUUUUUAAUACUAGAAAAUUCGAUCUAACCAAACAUCCUUAAAAAACAAAAACAAGUAUUUGGAUCCUAUCUUGCACACAACAGUCUGCCUCUUUAGUAGAAAAAUACAAGAUUGUAAAGACGAUUUACUAAUUUUGGAGAGAGAAAAAGAAUUUAGAUAGAGAUAAAUAUAUUUGAUAGGGGCACAAGAAAGAAAUGUUGCAUAUUGAAGAGAAAUAAAGACUAAAAAAGUUGAAAAUUAAGGGGUCCAACGCAAGUGGUUGAUGUCCAAUGCAUCUCAAUGUUUUAGAUUUUAAAGUAUUAAAUUUUAUUUCUACUCAUAAAAAAAAAUAAAAAUUGAGAAAUUAGUACAGCAUACAAUCCAUGUUAACUAAAAAAAUCUAUAUACAUUAUUUUCUUCUAUUUGGAGUCAUAUGGAUCCAUUCUGUGUUACUAAUACUAAAAGUUAGAUGGUAAUGUUAAAUAUAGAUUCUUUUUAUUUUGUUCACUUUCCAUUUACUUCUUGAGUCUCUAAGUAUGCGUGUUUCUCCUCUGAAAAAAAGUAUGUGUCUCUUUCAAUUUGGGAAUGGCAGAAAUGGGAAAUUGGCUUAUUGGAUUGAUGAUUAAUAAGUGGUAAAUCAAUUGAUAAAACUUUUCAAGUUGAAUAAACCAGGACUCGAAUAACAUGGGUGCAUUUCAGCCAUGUGCAAAAAAAAAAUAUAAUGUGUCGUGGAGAUGAGUAUAUUGUGUUGGAUGUGUCGCAAGACCGUAUGAUAUAGGAUUAGAAAUAAAAAUAUUAGGGGGUGGGGUUGGGGGGUAUAUGUAUAGUAGAAAAAAAAAAUAGUGAAAAAUGUACUUAGAUGGUUUGUAGAGAGAACACAUAGUAAUAAGAAGGGUAUAUCAUAUGGAGAUAAGCCGAUCACUAGAGACGGAAAGAGAUUUAGAAAAACUAUAAAAAGAAACUAUUAAAAAAGAUAUAUUAAUAAGUUGAAUCAAAAUGUGAUUUAUUAUAAAACAUUAUGAUGUAAUCUGACCCAUGCAGCUGGCCCACUUAGUGGAAUAAGAAUUUGUUGUUGUGUAAAUUCAAAAUCAUGUAGAAAAGAAAAUUAAUAAUCAAUUAGUCUCUUGUUUGAAAAGUCCAAAAUUUUAUGGUAGAAGUUCUUGUGAUGUUAUAAAAAGGGUCUUGUUAACAUCCUCCUUAUAAAAAAAACUAGGAAAACUAGCAACAUUAGGGGAGGAUAUGUGAGACCGAAUUAUAAAGGCCCACGACUUAACUUACGUUGGGUUAAACUAGAUUUUUUUUUUUUUUUUUUUGUGUGAAAUACAUAAGACUAAGUUUUUUUUUAAAGCCUAUUUAGCUAAAAAAAAAAGUGAGCCGUAAAUUAGAAGUGUUCAAAAUCGAACCAAUUCAAUAAAAAAAUCGCAAACGAACCAACCCAAACUGAAACCGUAAAAAAUUGCAUUUGAUUUUAAUGUAUUCAAAUAUUUUUUUUAUUCAACCGCAUUGUUCGAUUUGGUUUGCAAUUUUUAUUUUAUCAACCAAACCAAACCCCAACAUAAAAAAAAAAAAAAAAACACCAAUUAACCUAUAUUACCUAGACCAAUACUCUUAGAAACUCGAUGAUUUUUUUUAUUUUAUUUUAUAAAAUGACAUAUUUUUUAUCUUGUUAACUUUCUUCUUUGCUUUUUAUAUUAAAUUUGCUAUCUUUUUCAACAAUUUAAAAUUAUUAGUCUACAAUAAUUUUUUGCAUAUUUAAAUGUAUUAUUAUGAAAUAGAAUUGAAAUAUGAUAUCAUAAAUGUAGUCAAAUUCUCUAAAAUAUCAUGUUAGAUAUCCAAAUGGGUUUGAUCUCAUAGGUUUAUUAGUUUGUCAAUUUUUUUUUUGUCAGGUAGCCUAGUAGCUAGAAUUCACCUUAUAAGGUGAAUAAGUGGGGUGUCCGGGGUUGGAACCCGACCCCUACAUAUAAUAAUGCAUUGUCCUACUAACUGAGCUAUGCUCACGGGACUAUUAGACUUAUAAUGCAUUGUCUAACAAACCAUAUCAUGCUUUCAAAAAAACGAGACUCAGACAUAAAAAAUAAAAUGCCACAUAUCAGACUUAAGCCUUGAUUUUUUUGACAGACUUGUAUCUUUCAAAAUCGAACUAGGUUCAACCUAUUCUACUCCUACCAUCGGCUACUACAAACAUAGUUGCAAAUAUGUACUCCCUCUGUACCAAAUUAUAAGUCGUUCUACAAUAUCAAGUUACCAACGAAGCAUUAAAUGCUCUUUUUCCUUCUAUACAAUUAACUAUUUAUUACUCUCAUUUUUUUAAUUCUUUAAUUUAUAUUUUCUCUACCAUUAAUGAAGGGUAAUUUUGUAAAAUUACUUAUAAUUUCUUUUUUCCAUACAAUAUUAAUUACAUUUCUUAAUUUGUAUGAAAUUACUAAAACGUCAUAUAAUUUGAUAUUUAGGAAUAUCAUUUAAGGUCUUUAAUAGUGUCUCAAGGCACUCAUUAGCAUUUUUCAUAUUUAUUUUUGUUUUUAACAUAUGGUUUCUAGAAGAAAAGACCUAAAUUUCGAAGGUCGGACGAUAAAUACAAUACAACCCAUGAUGGUUUCAUAUUUCAGCUAGAAUUUGAACUCAAAUUCAUUUAUAAUUGAUCGCAGUAGCCGAUGGUAGGAGUAGAAUAUGUUGGAAAUUGUUAGAUUUUGAAAAAUAUAAGUCUAUGAAAAGAAUUAAGGCUUAAGUAUACGUGCUAUUUUAUUUUUAAGGUCUGAGUCAGAUUUUUUGAAAGCAUGAUAUAGUUUGUUAAAAGGAUAUUUCAUAUAUAUGAAUGUAUUUAAAUAAGUAAUAUGAUUCAUGUUUAAAUAAAUUGACAAACUAAUAAACCAACAAGCUUUUAUAAAAACCUAUCUAUUAAAUAUAUUAAUUUUUUUUUUAAAUUUUUUUUUUAGAAUCAUUAAAGAGUGUUUCGGGACACUUUUUGUUAACAAAGACUAACAAGUAAAUAAAUAUGAUGAAGUUAAUGGAAAUCAAGCAGGUGUGCGACAUGCUUUGAUGAUUAACAAUUAAUUUGUCUCCCAAACUAUAGUGUACAUGUGAGUGUCCCAUACUUGGACCAUCCUACUAGAAGGUGUAGAUGCUUUUGUAUUUGGUCCCCAAUUUCAGGUUUCACCGUGCCUCUUAAGUAGGGUGGGGAAAACCAAACCUCAUGCAUACAGUUUUGGUGAUGAAUCCUACGAUUGUGUUUGGUAAUUAGUUGAAGAUUGAAGCAACCACGACAAAAUGGAGAUAUAUACAGGAGUAAGUUGUGAUAAUAUCUUCAAAAUCCACUAAAGAACAUAUGUUUAUCUCACAUUUUGGUUAAUUUAAUCAUUACAAUGUUAAUUAAGGAAGCAGAAGAGGGAGGAUAAAUCAUAAUAAUUCGGGUCUGUUUUUGUUUAGAAGAAAAUCAUUCAGGUCUAUUGUUUUUGCAUAGAAUAUAAUAAACCUAAUAAUGUAUCCUUGAACAUAACUCAGUAGACAAAAAUAAUGAAUUGUUAUAUGUAGGGUUUUGGUUCGAACUCCAAACAACUCAUUUAUUCAUCUUAAAAAGUGAUUUCUAAUCAUUAAACUACUUGAUCAAUAAAUAAUAAACCAAAUAGUGAUUGUCACAAAUAUUUUUGUUAAGGAAAAAAAAGAUAAAAUUUACAUAUCUUUCUUCAUAUUCUUUGUAUAUGUUCAUCACUAAUAUUUUCUCAAAAACUGCAUUUUGUACUUGGAUGCAUCUAAUAUAUAGAUCUCAUCUAUAAAAGAUUCAACGGUGGACCCAAAUAUAUUAUAUAAAUUUUAAUUAAGUGCACAUUUAUUAUGUGAUUGUCACAAAUAGAUUUAUUAAAGGAAAAUUCUAUUAUGAAGUCAUUAGAAUUAAUUUUCUAGUGAAGUUAACACUAUAACAUCAAAAGUGUUGUGAGUAACACCUUACUGUUUGUGCAGUGACAUCAAAAGUUCAGUCCCCUUAAUAUUAUCAAUUCAUCAGAUUAACAAGAAUACAUUUAAUCUAAUUUUAUCCUGCCUUGUUUUAAGUGUAACACCCCACAAAGUGUAACACUUACAUGAUAUCAGCAACUCUGUUUGCAUGUUAAAGAUGCCAACGAUAAAAUAGUACCUUUAAGUCCAAGAUGUUGCAAGCAUUACUAGAUGAAUUACUAUUGAUCAUUAAUCAACAAUCAACAAUUUAAAAAUGAAUCAAACAUUAAGAUUAAAACUAACUUUUUAAAAAAAAUCAGUUUCAUGACUACACCGUAGAAGCUCCCUUUAUUAAAAUGUAAUUGUCACAUAUUUUAAUAAAACAUGUGAAAAUUGAUUAUGUGAUUGUCGCAAAUAGAUUUAUUGUUGAUAUUAUGUGAUUGUCACAUAGUAUAAGAUAUCGAGAAAAAUACACUAAAAUUUUAAAACAACAUCACCAAAUUAAGCAAACGAAAAAUGAAAAAAAUUCCCUAGUCAGUCCACACACCCAACUAGCAGCCACGAACCCAACAUAGCCCCAACAAACCGAACCAACUGCAGGCUAACAAUGCCGAACAGUUAGGUUGUUUGUAUGCCACCCCAAAGCUAAACAAUCUCUAAGAUUUCAAUACCAUUCAUAGAAUAUAAAAACAUCAAUUUUCAACCUAUUAAGGCACCAACACUACGAUAAGACCUUGAUAGCAUAAAAAAUCUCCUCCACUUCCUUGUUAACCCCUUUGAACAUCCUAUCAUUUCUCUCAAGCUAAAUAGUCCAAAUGGUAGCAUGCCAAAUCAUCAUUAUCCCUUUCCUUACUUUCUUGAAAUUUACCUCAUUGAAUCAACAAUCAUGGUGAAUUCCCAACGAAGGCGGAGUAAUAAAAUUCACAUUCGCCCAAUUAAACACCUUAAUUCACACUUUGGCCACAAAGUCACAACGAAGAAAAAGGUCUGUGGCCAAGGUUUAGGUCACUAACACUAUACAAUUGCAAUAACUCUCUGAUGUCAUGUGGUUCCAUAACCAUUAAAGGUUUUAAGAAUGCCAAAUUAGGUACACAAAUCAUUAUUAAAAUAUGCCUAAAGCUAAUAAAGAUUAAGUGAUUAAAAUAGGUCAAGCCUAAAAUGCAGGGUUAAUUUGUAAUCAUUGAGACCUAAAUCGAUUUAUAAAUGUUCGUAAACACAUAAAAAGUAGGGAUAAAUAUUAUUUUAGUCCCUAUAAAUAUGUCAACUUUUCGUUUUAGUCCCUCUAAAAUUUUCCUUCAACUUUUACUCCCUACAAAAUUUUCAAUCACUACUUUUGGUCCCUAUUUUUAAUUUAAUUUUUGUAUUUUUUUAAUGAAAUUGUGCAGAAAUGUGUAAAAUAUUCUAAAAAAAAUUAGAAUUUUUUAACAAAACAAAAAUUAAAUAUGAAUUUUUAACCAUAAAAAAUAUAAAAAUUCAUAUUAAAUUCAUGUUUUGUUAAAAAAUUAUAUUUUUUUUGGAGUGAUUCUUAUAAUAUUUUGAAUUUUUCUCUAUUAAAAAAAAAUAUGAAUUCUACAUAUGAGUUUACUUUAAAAGAGAGACCAAAAGUGAAGAUUGAAAAUUUUAUAGGGACUAAAAGUUGAAGGAAAAUUUUAGAGAGACUAAAAUGAAAAGUUGACAUAUUUAUGGGGACCAAAAACAUAUUUAACCCUAAAAAGUAUUAAGGAAAAAUUUAAUCAAAUAAAAUACCAAAUUGAUUAAUUGUAUUCAAAAGAUAAUUUAAUGUUACAUGAUCAAAUAUUUACAAGGAAGAUUCUCCUUCAUGACUGAACCCAGAGAGAAUUAGCUACUAAUGAUUCCUAAACAUAAACUAAUGAAUAUGAAUAGGAAAACAUAAGUACAGUAAAAGAACACUGGUUGAUGAUGCUUGACUUCCAAAUGGCUUUGGUCGCUCCUAAUAUUUUAAAAUCACGUUUCUGCCUUCGUUUGCUCAUAAAUAUGUUUUCUUCCACUAACAUAGGCCUCUAAUAUUUAUAUGCGAUUGUUUCCCUAAAAAUCAGGAACAAUUGGCCCGUGAUGCAAGAUGUCCUACUCGCGACGCAAUUUAAAUAGAGAGCAAUCACUAUGCCUUUCAUUAAGAACUCACGAUGAGUGAUAAGCAGAGGUUGGAUAUGCUAAUUUUAUUUUGAUUCUGUGACACGCAACUCAUGGGACGUGUCACGAGUUUGGUAGGGUUUAUGGGUCCUCUUACUUAUAAGGUGUUCAACCUUUACUAUUUUAUCCGAUGUGGGACAUAUAACUCACACUUGCAAACCAACACUCCCCCUCAAGUGUGAGUCCAUCAAUUCAUCUUGCUCCCCCUUCAAGCGGAAGCUCUUUACCUUGCAUGUAUCGUCGUUCCUGCACAAGGAGCCACACUUGCUGCUUGUACCGCCGUUGCUUGCUUUCUGCGACUAACUGCCUCGGUCGUACCCUUCGUCGAACCGUGGCUCUGAUACCACUCAAGUGUGAGUCCAUCAAAUCAUCAUGCUCCCCCUUCAAGCGGAAGCUCUUUACCUUGCAUGUGUCGUCGUUCUUGCACAAGGAGCCACUUAAGGGGAGCCAGGGGACCGUCCACAUCGAGGCUAGAACAACCGCACAAGCAAGAGAGACGCCACACUCUUACCCAAAACCUUAAGCCAAUGGGUUUAUAGGUCCUCUUACUCAUAAGGUGUUCAACCUUUACUAUUUUAUCCGAUGUGGGACAUAUAACUAACACGUACAAACCAACAACUUCAUCACUCGUUGUUCUAUUUCUUCUCACCAAAAAUGUCUACAAUGACUAUGCCCUUAGAAUCACUAGUUAAUGACUAUGCUCUUUGACAUUUGGUAUUAUUUCCCUUUUUUUUUACCAAAAGUAAACAAGAAUUUUAACCCUUGAAAUGCACCGCCAUUGUAGUCUAUAAAUGAACAUCAAAAUUAUAAAAACAUCACUAAACAUGUCUUAGUUGGUUAGUAUGAUUAUUGAAUGUGAUUUUUGUAAGUCAUUUUUGUCCCAACACAAUUAUGAAUAGGAGACCACUUAACUUCGAUAUAUUAAAGAAGAACGGUGUCACUUAAGUUUUGAUCUAAUCAUUUAGACAUAGUAACCCCUCCUUCUUUUUUUGUUAUUGUUGAAAGGUAGUAACUCCUACUUUCGUGUAUGAUAAUAAUCAUCUUGCCAUGUAAAAUGUGUGCAUUAGCAUUGCAACAUGAAAAUAUUUAAAUAAGAAAUUAAGAUAGUACAAAAUUAACUUUUUAGCAUACUAACAAGUAGUACUAACUACCAAAAUACCAUUCGUUCCUAAAAAAUCUAACAAACCAUAACCAUUUAUUAUGCUAUUUUAGGUAAAGUACUGAACUUUCCACAAAAACCGCAUUGGGAAAAUUAUAAAGUAAAUAGUCCAUCAGUUCCGUAAUAUUCAUAAAAAAAAUAUUAAAAUCCGUCCCAUAAUAUAAGAAGAAAAAAAAAAACCAAUUUAAAAAUAUGAUCAUCAUUUUUUUUAUUGCAUGGACAACACUUGGCUUGCUACUAUUCUUAUUAACACUUGACUUGUUGCAUACAUUCCUCUUGAGUCAUGACACUUGGUUUAUGGUUUUCCCUUAAACUUGAUUUAUGGGUGACACUUGACUUGUUGCAUGCAUUCCCCUUGAGGGCAUUUGUCAACCUUUUCCAUAAUAUUAUUUAACUAGUAAACACCAAUUUCUUUUUGUGUCUUGAUAACCGAUGUCCACAAGACACUAGUUAAGAAACUAAACGUAGAAAAAAAAGACAAAUUUUAAAUUGAAAAAGUAUAAUACACAACUUUUAAGAUAAUGUUUCCUUUUAUAAGUCCUUAACAAGUACACAUGAUAUAUUUGAUAUAUUAUUUCCCUUUCUUUUUUUACCAAAAGUAAACAACAAUUUUAACCCAUAAUACACCGACAUUGUAGUCUAUAAAUGUACAUCAAAGUUACUCCCUACAUCAAAGGUUGACAAAAACCAUAACCAUUUAUUUUGCUAUUUUAGGUCAAAUAUUAUUGAACGUGAUUUUCAUAAGUCAUUUUUGUUCAAACAAUUAUGAAUAGGAGACCACUUAGUUUUCAAUUAUAGAAAAAAAAUGGGAACCGAGUGACUGAGAGAGAGAUACACGACGGGCAGUGGUACACCCACAGGCAGUCGCGCCGGUUUGUUUCACUGGCAGCGAGGAACACAGGGGGGGUUUGGGGUCCAUGCAGGGUGCCACAAANNNNNNNNNNNNNNNNNNNNNNNNNNNNNNNNNNNNNNNNNNNNNNNNNNNNNNNNNNNNNNNNNNNNNNNNGGGGGAUUGAGGGGGAUUGGAUCGACGUGAGACCGAGACAGAGGAAAGCGCGGCGACAGAAUACUCAAGGUCAGGACAGGCUUCAAGAAGGCGAUUGGCGUCGGAAUAGGGACGGUGACUACAAGCCUCGUACGUCUAGGGUUAGGUUUUCUUCACGAGAGGAUCGCUACCAUGGGGACUAUGAUACAGGUUCAGAACGUUCAGAUAGAAGAAUGGUGCGGUGGGGUGAUUGUGAAUGGGAUGAGGAGUGCGACUACGACACUGAUGUCUCAAAGAUGAUUGAUGGGUACUGUGCAUCAACGCGUAGGACAAAACUGCGCAACACAGACAGCCAGCAGCCAGUGCGUGUCAACAAUGCGCACAAGGAAGAAGGAAUAGGCGUUUAGGCAGCGUCGACAUUGAAACGGUUUGUCACUUUUUACAUUACAAACUUUCCUGCACAAGCACCGACCUUUUUCUUGCGAAAGGGGUUCAAAGUUUGUGGUAUUCUUGAAGAAUUUUUUGUGCCAAACAAUAGGAAUAGGAACGGUGAUGUUUAUGGGUUUGUUAAGUUUGCUAAGGUUCGAGACGUGGAUAAAUUACUGAAAGCUUUGAACAAUGUCUGUUUUGGUCAAUAUUGUGUCCGUGCAGUGCUUGUUAGGUUUGAUAGGAAGGCGGGUAGGAGAGAUGAGGUGGUGAGGAAGGGAGAGAGAGUAGGUGGUGAGGAGGGAGGUAAGGUGAAUGGUGGGAGAGGUGUCGAGGGAGUUACGGAGGGUAAGAAGGUGAAUGAGGGAGAAAAAAGAGAGAGCGUUGAGACAAAGAAGGUGGUGGGAGCGAAGGAGGGUGGGGUCAGUGAGGGUGAUGGUGGGAGGAGCGGGGAAGAAGGGUUUGAAGGGAGAGGGAGGAGGAGAGAAGCCAGAGAAGAGGAAGGAGGGUAGGAAAGCAAGUACGGAUAAUUUGGCCAAAACGACGACAUUGGUACGGAAGUAUACAUCUUAUGAGGAGGAUCGGUUAUGGGCUAGUCGCGGUCUUAUUGGUACGGUUGUGGAUGGGGCAUCGAUACCAUUGAUUCAAAAUCGUGUGGAGGAUGCGGGCUUUAAAGAUAUUGAUAUUAUCCCGCUUGGUGCAGACAAGGUAUUUGUGCACUCCCUUUCAAGUACAAAUGUGUCUGACAUUGUCGGUGAAGCGAAACAAUUUUUCAACUUGAUUUUUUCUAACUUGGUGUGGUGGGACAAGACUGUGAUACCUUUUCAAAGGGGAACGUGGGUUAGAGUUUAUGGGAUUCCGCUACAUGCUUGGAAUGAAGAUUUUUUUAAACUUUGUGUUUUGGAUUGCGGAAGGUACCUAAGAUCGGACACUUGUUCUUUGAAUAGAGAAAGAUUUGACUAUGCAAGAAUUUUGAUCUCAACUCCGUUAUUAGAAGUGUUGAAUGUAUCUGAUAACUUACUGGUUGAUGGUGUUUUGGUGGAUAUUAAAAUAGUAGAGGAGUUGGGGAUAAAUCUCGGUGACGACGCAUGCUUGUACGAGGAAGAUGUUAAGUCUGAGGCUGCUAGUCAAGAGCAUGCAGACAUGCAUGAUGUGGUGGAAAUAAAUAACAAUGUUGAUAUUUUGGCGGAGAAAAUUAUUGAAGAUCUAGUAGACGCAGAAGAACGGAGUAAUAGUAAUGCUAAUAUUAAAGUGCAGACACAGUUGGAGAAUUUGGGAAUGAAGACUAGGGACGUGGCUGCUGUUCACGUUGGAGAUUGCAUGGGCAACACAAUGGUAAUAUAGUACAAAUGCAUGAGGAUGAGGUAUGCAAUGUUGAAGGAAGCAUGUCAGCCACACAUUUUGAGAAGCAAGCUACUGUGACUUUCUCAAGUGGCUCGUUGGAAUUGGAAAUUGAAGGCACUACUUCAAAUUGUGAGAAAAAAGAUACUGGGAACUUCACUAGUGGCUUUGUGGAGUUAGAUUUUGAUGGCCUUGCUCAUGUGGUAUCUAAUAAUGAUGACGUCAAAGGGGCACCAAGGAGAAAAAGAAUUAAUUCGACAACGUGUCCCAUUGACGAUGCACAGUCUUUUCAUUCAGGUCCGUGGAGUGUGGAUUGGUUACAAAAUGUUCAACAAGGUGAUAUUGGGCUUAUUUCUAAUAAUAAAAAGCGUGUGAAGAAAGUUAUGAAAGGUACUGUUGGUUGUGGCGGUGGAAGUAAGGUCACCGGUGGUAAGAAGAAAGCCGGUGGUGUUCUUAGACAUCCUGUUCUUACUUUAAAAAAAGUGGCAAGGCUUCCUAGUAAAGAUAGAGAAGAGGUGUUGCAAGUGCUAAGAAAAUCAAAAGUUUUGAAAUCACUAAAAUAGAAAAUUAGUAACAGACGACGUCAAAGGGAGAGAAUCACAAGAUCUUUAGAAGAGGUAAAACAAAACUCAAAUAAUGACUCGUCAGAUUCGGUGAAUAAUGACUGGCUGAAUUGGGUGGCUUUAAAAGGGAACGAGGAGUCAAGGGCGGAGGACAUAGAGGAUGUAGGAAGGAUUAUAGGUGUCUCUUUUACAAAGACGAAUCAUAACAAAUUCAGUAUUCUAUCUCGACCUAAGAACAAGGCGUUUGGUCCUGUCUUGGAACCGGUGAGGGAUGUUGGAGGAGUGGAGGUUGGGGGGGUUUAGGAGGAGUGGUGUGGGGAGGGGGCAGCGCGGGGAGGUCGUUGUAAUGAAGUUGUUAUCAUGGAAUGUGCGUGGAUUAGGGGGGUUGGAGAAGAGGAGGGAAGUGAGGAAGCUAGUUGGUGAGAAAAGUCCGUUUAUUUUGUGCUUUCAAGAAACAAAAUUAGCGGUGUGUGAUGCUUUGCUCUGUAAUUCUUUGUGGGGCGAUUCGAGUCAUGAUUUUUCGUUUCGUCCAUCGGUGGGAGCCUCUGGGGGGAUGUUAACGAUGUGGGAUACUGCGGAGGUAGAGGUAUGGUCAUCGGCGAGUCAAGAACAUAUGCUCAUGAUUCAUGGUAGAUUCAUUCGAACUAAUAAGGAGUUAUAUCUUUUUAAUAUCUAUGCUCCUUGUGAUCUCAGGGCAAAACAAGAGUUAUGGACAGCCUUGUCUGUAAGACUGCAGGUGGUAGGGGGUGCGAAAUUGUGUGUGUGUGGGGAUUUUAAUGCGGUCCGAUAUGCGGAGGAAAGAAAGUCUGCAAGGGGAGGCGGUGGUAUAAGUGAUUUUCAGCAGUUUAAUAUGUUUAUAGAGGACAAUGGGUUGUGUGAUUUACCGCUUUGUGGCCGUCGUUUUACGUGGUUUAAAGGAGACGGUACUUCUAUGAGUAGAAUAUACCGUUUUUUGCUAUCUGAAGAUUGGUGUGCGCAGUGGCCGAAUAGUAUUCAGGUUGCCCUUCUACGGGGUCUAUCUGAUCAUUGUCCGCUUCAGCUGUCGGUUGAUGAGGAAAAUUGGGGACCGCGUCCAACUAGAAUGCUGAAAUGUUGGCAAGAUAUGCCGGGUUAUAAACAGUUUGUCAAAGAUAAAUUAGAGUCCUUUCAAAUUGUGGGCUGGGGCGGCUUUGUGCUUAGAGAGAAGCUGAAAUUAAUUAAAUUGGCUCUGAAGGAGUGGCAUGAGGAUCACACAAAAAAAUUACUGGUAAACUUGAUUCUUUAAAAAUUCGUGUGUCGGAAUUGGAUAUUAAAGGUGAGAAUGGUGGGUUGUCAACCGAUGAGAUAGAGGAAAUGAGGGAUAUUUCUCAGAAUCUGCAUGAAUUAUCUCGUGUGAACACUAGUAUUACUUGGCAACAGUCUCGGAUUCUCUGGUUACAAGAUGGAGAUUCUAAUUCUAGAUAUUUUCAUUCGGUUCUUUCUAGUCGACGGCGACGUAAUUUCAUUGUUUCUUUGAUGGUGAAUGGUGGUAUUGUGGAAGGGGUUCAACCUGUUAGGAGUGCAGUGUUUACACAUUUCCGGGAUCAUUUCGCGGCUCACUAUAUGCAGAGGCCAGGGGUUGACAAUCUUCAGUUCAAUCAGUUAUCUUAUGCGGAUGGAAGCAAUUUAAUAAAGCCGUUUUCAGAAUCAGAGAUUAAAACAGCGGUGUGGGACUGUGAUGAUUUUAAGAGUCCUGGACCGGAUGGGGUGAACUUUGGCUUUCUGAAAGAUUUUUGGGAAGAGCUGAAGGAUGAUAUUGUGCGCUUCAUUACAGAGUUUCACAGGAAUGGUAAAUUGACUAGAGGUAUCAAUAACACUUUCAUAGCUCUCAUUCCAAAAAUUGAUAGUCCCCAACACCUUAAUGACUUUCGACCUAUUUCUUUGGUUGGUUCUAUUUACAAAAUUCUAUCGAAGGUUCUAGCUAAUAGAUUGAAAUUGAUUUUGGGAAAGGUUAUUUCGGAUUCGCAGACUGCCUUUGUGAAAAAUAAGCAGAUUCUAGAUGGAAUUUUGAUUGCUAAUGAGGUUGUGGAUGAGGCUCGCAAGGAGAAAAAGGAACUGAUGUUGUUUAAGGUGGAUUUUGAAAAGGCGUAUGAUUCGGUCAAUUGGGGAUACCUAGAUGAUGUAAUGAAAAAAAAUGGCAUUUCCUGUGUUAUGGAGGAAAUAGAUAAAGGAUUGUGUGACAACAGCUACAGCGUCUAUUUUAGUUAAUGGGAGCCCUACAGAUGAGUUUCCUUUACAGAGGGGUCUGCGUCAAGGGGAUCCCCUAUCUCCGUUCUUGUUUUUGAUAGCCGCUGAAGGUCUUAAUGUUCUUAUGAGUGCGGCGGUGCGGACCAAUUUGUUUAAAGGGUACGCGGUUGGUAAUGACAGAUCAGUAGUAGUUUCCCAUCUUCAAUUUGCUGAUGAUACUCUGUUACUUGGAGUUAAAAGUUGGGCUAAUGUCCGAGCUUUGAGGGCCGUGUUGAUUUUGUUUGAGGGGAUGUCUGGUUUGCGAGUGAAUUUUCAUAAGAGUAUGUUGGUUGGAAUUAAUAUUCAGAAUUCAUGGUUGAAUGAAGCAGCCUCUAUUUUAAAUUGCAAAGUUGGUAAAGUUCCGUUUCUGUAUCUGGGUCUUUCUAUUGGUGGUGAUCCGAAGAGGUUAGCCUUUUGGGAACCUGUGUUGAAGACUAUAAAGUCUAGAUUAUCGGGGUGGCAAAGUCGCUCUCUCUCUUUUGGGGGUCGGUUGAUUCUUCUCAAGACUGUCUUGACCUCAUUGCCUGUCUAUGCCCUUUCCUUCUUCAAAGCUCCGUCAGGUAUAAUCUCUGUCAUUGAAUCUAUUUUUAAUAAAUUUUUUUGGGGAGGGAGUGAGGAUAACAGGAAAAUUUCCUGGGUCGCUUGGAACUCUGUUUGUUUACAAAAGGAGUAUGGAGGGUUGGGAGUGAGAUAGCUGAGGGAGUUUAAUUGUGUUUUGUUAGGUAAAUGGUGUUGGCGAAUGUUGGUAGAUAGAGAUGGUUUUUGGUAUAGGGUGCUGGUAGCGAGAUAUGGUGAGGAGGCAGGGAGGUUGGAGGUAGGGGGCCGGAGUACUUCAUCUUGGUGGAAGGAAGUAGUGAAGAUUAGGGAUGGGAUGGGUGACGAUGAGGGGAGUUGGUUUGCGGAGCGGGUUUCGAGAAGGGUAGGUAAUGGCGUGUCUACUUACUUUUGGUAUGACAGGUGGCUUGGUGAUGUCCCUCUUCGGACAAGGUUUAGACGUUUAUUUAACUUAACGAAUAACAAAAUAUGUACGGUGGCAGAUGUGUUUGCUCUUGGGUGGGAGAGUGGAGGAGGGGCGUGGAACUGGAGGAGACCUUUGUGGGUGUGGGAGGAGGAGUUGGUAGAAGAGUGUAGGCAAUUACUUAAUGGUGUUGUUUUGCAGUCUGAUAUUUCUGACAGGUGGCUUUGGGAGUCCAACACUGAUGAUGUUUACACAGUGCGUGGGGCCUAUCAAAUUUUAACUACUGUUGCCGAUCCUCCAAUUGUUGGUGUCGGAGACCUUGUCUGGCAUAAGCAGGUUCCUUUGAAGGUUUCCAUUCUGGCUUGGCGUUUGAUUCGGGAUAGGCUUCCAACUAAAGCCAAUCUUGUGAGGCGUCGGUGUCUGGCAGUCGAGGCAGCUGGGUGUGUAGCUGGAUGCGGUAUUGCAGAAACCGCAAAUCACUUGUUCCUUCAUUGUGCUACUUUUGGCGCAAUUUGGCAGCAUAUCCGUGCGUGGAUUGGCGUGUCCGGAGCUGAUCCCCAUGAUCUUAGUGACCACUUUAUUCAGUUUAUUACUUGUACAGGUCAUACGAGGGCGCGUAGAUCCUUUCUGCAGCUCAUUUGGUUACUUUGUGUAUGGAUGGUUUGAAAUGAAAGCAACAACAAACUUUUUAAUAAUACCCAAACAUCCAUUGAAGGCUUAUCAGAAAAAGUAAAAUUACACUCUUUAUGGUGGCUAAAAGCUAGUAAAGCCACAUUUAUAUAAGGUUCUCAAAGGUGGUGGUCGGAUCCUAUGCUUUGUUUAGGUAUCGACGCACCCGGUUUAUUGUAAUUACUACAUUUGUUUGACUCUUUGAGGGGUGACUUCUUAAUAUAUCUUAUACUUAGGAGGUUUUACCGUCUUUGUUAAUAUAUACCAUUUUUGUUUCUUAAAAUAAAAAUAAAAAUAGGAGACCACUUAAUUUCGGUACAUUAAAGAAGAACGGUGGUAUUACAUCACCUAGGUAUUGAUCUAAUCAUUUAGACAUAGUAACUCCUAUUUUCGUGUAUGAUAAUCAUCUUGCGCAUGUAAAAUGUGUGCAUUGCAACAUGAAAAUAUUUAAAUAAGAAACUAAGAUAGUACAAAAUUAACUUUUUAGGCAUACUACUAACUACCAAAAUACCAUUCUUUCCUAAAAAAACCAAACAAACCAUAACCAUUUCUUUUGCUAUUUUAGGUAAAGUACUGAACUUUCCACAAAAACCGCAUUAAGGACUGUAGUACUACUCAUAAUUGUUUCCGUCCAUGCAUAGUUUCAACUUCUAGUUAUGUCAUUAAUUAAUUAAUACAAACAGAUUAAGAGUCAAACAUGCAACAUAAUAGAAAGAGAUUAAUUACAAUUAGCAUUUGGUCUUUAAAAUAAAAUAGUUGGUGCCUCUAUUUUGACUAGUAUGAGUGUUCAUAGGGAGCUACUAAAGAAUAUGUUUGUCUAUGUGUAACCAAAUUGAAAUUAAAAUUGCUUAUUGUGUAAAAAAUAUAAUUAAAGUAGCUAUCAAUCGAAAAGAAUUGAAAGUUAUACACGUACAUGAUUGAUUGUUCGUGCGUUAGUUGGGUGUUAGUUGACUUCAUGACUUGUAGUAAAGUCUCGUGCACAAUUAACUGGUCAGGAACCGAAUCUAGUUUAGUUUUCAAAUAUGGAAUCUUGUAGCAAUAACGGCUACAUGUCAUUGAUGAUGCAAGCAACGUGUGAUAAUAUUGGAAGACCAGGUCAAGUAAAGGAUGACAUGGCAUAAUUAAAGCAAGCAAAACUAAAGAAUGACAUGGCAUAAUUAAAGCCAGAUAUCACCAUUUUUUCUUUUGGCAACCUAUACAUGGUAUCAGUAAAAAAAACUACAUGAUGAUAUAUUGGCAAAUUAUAAAGUAAUACUCCAUCAGUCCAUAAUAUCCAAAAAAAGAAAUGCGUCCAAGAAAAAUAAAAUAAAAACCUAUUUAAAAAUCUAAUCGUCUUUUUUUAUUGCAUGUGUAAUACUUGACUUGCUACAUGUAUUCCUUUUAACUCUUAACUUGUCACAUGUAUUCCUCUUAAGUCAUGACACUUGGUUUAUUUAUUGUAUGAGUGAUACUGGACUUGCUGCAUGUAUUCCACUUGACACUUGGUUUGUUGCAUAUAUUCUUCAUAAGUUGUGAUGGAUAACACUUGACUUGCUGCAUGUAUUCAUCUUGACACUUGGCUUGUUGCAUGUAUUCGUGAGUCAUGACACUUGAUUUAUUGCAUGGGUAACACUUUCCUUGCUACAUGUAUUCCUCUUAAGUCAUGAUACUUGACUUAUUAUUGCAUGGGUAACGCUUAACUUGUUGCAUGCUUUACUCUUGACAUUUGCGAUGAUUUUAGGCGCCCAAAUGUACAAAUAGCAUGGUCUUUUAAAAGAGCAAUCUCCUAUUUAAAUUUAAAUUUAAAUUAGCAACAUAUAUCAAUUAUACACUGAAAUAUGAAGAAAUAAUAUGCACCAUAUUGUUCAACAUUGAACAAAAUUAGCAAUUAUACGCUAUCAAGUUCAUACUAAUUAUGUGAUUUUUAGCAUCACUAUCAAACAUGGUUACUGACUUAUGUGAUUCUAUAAAAUUUAGCUAAUCUCUAUCAAAUAUGGUAACAAAAAUCAGCCAAUCUCUAUCAAUAUAAAAAACCAGUCAAUCUCUAUUGCUAUUUCAUGAAGCUAUACAUUGAUUUUUUUUUUCAUGAAAGGAAGUAAAAGCUUAACGAAAGAGAGGUAAAAUUUACCUAAUAGUGUCGUUUCGGAAAAGGGAAAAGGAAUAUUUUCUGCAGACAAGGAGAUGAUUGUUGUGAUUAUUUAAAAUAGCUUUUCGAAUUGACCAAUUAAGUGAUUAUAACAAAUUGAGGGUGGUUUGAUGAUAUUGACAACAUCUGAUUCGGUGGAAACGGUGUGUGAGAUGGAGGUCGGUGAUCAGAAUCGGUUGAGAUGGUGGUUGCCGAUCGGAGGUGGAGGGAUUGGUUGAGUUGCUGCCGUUGAGAGAAAAAGAAGAAGUCACAAGCGUAUACCGUAUACGCAAGAAGACAGAAGCUGGAUGGAGAGCAUAUCAUAUAAUCAGAAUAAAGGAAUAUUUUUUUGGUGAGGGAUAAUAUUGAUAUUGGGCUAUAAUUUUUUUUAAGGCCCGUGCCUUUGGGAGACCCAGCUCGAUUGAGCUGUUUGCACCUCUCUUGAGUCGUGUCUAGGUCGACCCUUAUAUCUAUUAAUAUUUUUUUUUUUUGUUGAUCAGGGUUUGAACCCUAGACCUUUGCAUAUAUUAUGCGUUGUCCCUACCAACUGAGUUUAACAUUCGUUAUAUAUAUAUUAAUUUAGUUUGCCCCAUGACAAGAUAAACAUAUACAUAUAAGAACAUAUCGAUACUGUAGUUUCAUUUUGGUGUCAUUGCCAUACAUCAAUUUAUUCUUGCUAGUUAAUCAUGAUCGCGAAUGGUUUAAUUUGUUGGCGAUGAGUAUAAUAGUCUUCUGUUACAUCCAUAGAAGUUACAGUUAAAAUUGGUUUUAAAAUUUUGUACAAUAUUCACAUAGCCGGCCGUUGUUCAAAUUGACCGUCCACACUCAUCACAAUAUUAUCACUUCCAAGCAUAUAUAGUUCAAAGUUCAAACUUACCAGAAAAGACUUUGUUCCCAAAUACUCAAGGUCGCAUAUGAGUGAAAAUUCAAUUUAGUCUCCAAUUUUUUUUCUUGAUCCAAUUAUGUCUCUGACAAAAAAAUAAACUCAAACUAGUGUUUGACACUUUUAUAUUGAAGACAAAUUAGUCUCUUUGUUAUAAUGUGUAGAGACCAAUUUAUCAUUAGUAUAAAAAAGUUAGAGACUAAUGUAAAUUUAGUUUUUGUUGGGACUAAAUGGGUCGAAAUAAAAUUUUGUGGGAUCAAAUUUAAUCUUCAUUUUAAAUAUAUAUAUAUGAAAGGAAUUGACUUUUUGAGAAAGCACAUAAUUAUAAAUCUCAUUUUAAAUCAUUUUUUGAAAGAAGUCUCAUUUGGGAUAUAUCGCUGACGGAGCUAGGAAUUAAAUUUAGGAGGGACCAAACUUAAAAGUAAAGUUUAGUGAAGAAAACUAAAUUUUAAAUUUUCUUUCUAUAUAGUAUAGAUUAUUACGUGGCAUGAUAUAUCGGAAAAUAUCGUAAGCAAUUUUUUUUUAAAAUUUUUUUUAGGGAAGCAAAGUAGUACUACCUCCGUCUCUAAUUAUAAGAUCCUUUUGAAAAAAUAAAUUGUCCCUUUUUAUAAGACCACUUUGCUAUUUCCAACUACAUUAAUUAUUUCUUUAUAUACAUGCCCCUAUUAAUUAUACAUCUUUUUCUUCAAUCAACAAUAAAUAAUAUGUUGAAAACAUAAAUCAUUUAUCUCUUAAAGGAUAAAAUUGUAAAAAAAUACUAAUUACAAACAUAUUUAAUAUAAAUAUACACUAUCUUAAUUCCCGUUAUUUUUUCGAAAGGACUCUAUAAUUAGAGACGGAGGUAGUAUUUUAUAGAAACAAAAAAGCCGCAAUCACCAAAGACAUAUAUGGAAAUGAAAGCAUCUUAGCUAGGUCCACCAACUUGGAGGAAUUUCACCACGUUCUCUAAUUCGUACACAUGCUUUUUGGCCCUACACCGUCACCUUUGCGUUUAGCACCCUAUCGAGGUUCAGGAUUGCAUUAUUGAAUUAGGAAGAUUUGUGGCCGUUUGAUUAAGAUUUGACGGUUUAUAUUUUAUGAUAUUCAUUGAAUCUAAAAUUAAUCAUAAAAUUUGGAACGUUCGAUCUUAUUUGGACGACGAUCAUAGUGCAUGAAUGCAUGCAUUUUUAACUACUACAUGCAAUCCAAAUUUCCCAUUAAUAUGCAAAGUGCGAUCACUUUUCUAAGCUUUUUUCUGAUCAUCAUCUCACUAGCACUACUGGUAGCUGUUCCCUUCUCUUACAAUUAUAUACACCAUUCAUUCAGUUACUAUUAUAAGCAAAAAUCUACAUUUUAGAUUCAUUCAAUUAAUGAUAUAUACGGUCUUUAUUAUAGACCACAUACAUUAUUUAAUGAAUGAAUUUAAAAUGUUAAUUUUUGCUUAUAAUAAUGAUCAGAGAGUGUAAGUUUUAUGAUAUGUGAUAUAAAAAUUUGAAGAGAAUUCUAUGUAAGACUAAUAGUAUAUUAAUACUCCCCCCGUCCCAAAUUGUAUGUCACUUUAGAAAAAAUAUUUGUCCCAAAUUGUAUGUCACUUUAGAAUACCAAUGAAACAUUAAUGUUACUUUUCCUUUUGUAUCCUUAACUAUUUAUUACUCUUUUUUUUUUCAAUUCUUUCAUUUAUCUUUCCCAUAUCAUUUAUUAAGGAUAAUUUUGUAAAAUAACUUAUAAUAUCUCUUUCCCACACAAUAUUAAAUUACAUUUCUUAAUAUGUGUGAAAUGUCCAAAACGUCAUACAAUUUGGGACGGAGGGAGUAAUAUAUAGAAUUAACCACCUCUUAUUAAUAUUUAUAGAAAAAUAGGACACUUGUACACUUGUUAAGAAGCUUAAAUAGAAACUUUAUCUUGAAAAUUGUGUAAUCAACAUAUUGAAAUAUUAAAAGCACUUUUUCUACAUAAAAUUUACCAAUUAUUCCUUUUUUCGAAUCCUUAACAAGUGCCUUAACAUGACCCAAAUUUAUAAGUUAAUUUGGAAUUUUCGAUUUCUUUUGUAAAAUAAAAUAAAAUCAUUUAUAUGUCGUAAAAGGGUCAUGCUAAGUUGUGAUCUUAAGACACAUUUUAAGAAUUCCAUUAAUAGCAAAUAUUUAUUAUGAAAAACUAAUUUAUAAAUGUUGAUAAAUAAAUUAACACAAUUCCAAUGCAUAAUUUAUAUUUGUAGUAUCUUUAACAUAUACCCUAAAAACAUAAGUUAACAUUGUUGGUUGGCAAGUGUGAGUUAUAUGUCCCACAUCAGAUAAAAUAGUAAAGGUUGAACACCUUAUAAGUAAGAGGACUCAUAAACCCAUUGCCUUAAAGUUUUGGGUAAGAGUGUGGUGUCUCUCUUGCUACGGUUGUUCUAGCCUCGAUGUGGACGGUUUUCCGAGCUUCCCUCAAUCACCCAACAAACAUUUCCCUUCUUAAAAACAUAGAGGCUUACAUUUAAUGAGAGAAAAAAAAUAGACAUAAAUGACAUAUUUGUGAGAGUCAUUAAAAAUCAUACUACCUAACUAUGUAUCUCAUUUGUGUCUUAUCUAUGAUCCAAAAAUAAUGUCAACCCUUUAAAAAUGAAGCUGUCAAUGUCAUAGAAAAAUCUUCACUAUAUAAAGCCAAUUAAACCCACAUCCACUCACCCAUUCAUAUACCGUAAUACACUUGUAUGUAAAGCAAGUUAAACCCAUAUACCCAUUCAUCACACUUAGCUGACAAAUAUGUCUUGUUCCAAUCCUACUAGUAGCAUCAAUGUCACCACAACUGAUCAAAACCCUAAUAUCAAUGUCACACCAACUGAUCAAAACCCUAAUAGUAGUGAUAAUAAGAUAUACAGGGGGGUGAGGAAGAGAAAUUGGGGAAAAUGGGUAUCUGAGAUUAGGCUUCCAAAUAGUAGGGAGAGAAUAUGGUUAGGAUCAUAUGACACACAAGAGAAAGCAGCAAGAGCAUUUGAUGCAGCCCUUUAUUGUCUACGUGGUCCUCAUGCAAGUUUCAAUUUCCCUAACACACCUCUUACCAUCAAUGUAGCUGUGAAUCAUGGUGUUGGUCACCAAUCUCUUUCACCAGAAGAAAUCCAAGAGAUUGCUGCGAAAUUUGCCAAUGAGUCGUCGCCACCAAUUGAGCUCACUCAAGAAGAAGAUCAUCAAGUACCUUCAGAUCCUCUAGAAUCACAAAAUGAUACCAAUUCAAAUGCUUAUUCAUAUCCUUUAGAUAAUGAUAUUGGUGAUUUGAGGAGGAUGGAUUGGACAUUUGAUGAUAUGUUUGAGGACAUGAAUGGAGUUGCUAAUGGCUCUGAUUUUUAUGGGCUGCAAAAUAUGCAAUACUCAACUCCACCCUUUGAAGAGGAUAAUGUGGACCAAAUUGAAUGUGAAGAUACUUUUACUAAUCAUUCAACCCUUUGGAAUUGGAACUUUUGAUUCAAUUGCAUAUAUGAUAAGAGAAAGACAAAAUUUUGUGUAUUAAAAAAUACACCAACAAUACAAAAAAUACAAAUUACUGAAAGAAAUUUAGAGAAGGGAAAUAUAAAACUUUUCUCUAAAUCUAUUACUAAUUUUGGUGUAAAAGAUUUUAUAAAGUGAUUAAAUGUUUUCCAUAAAUGAUUUUUGCCGCGAAUUUUUAUUUUUCAGUAAUGAAAUAACUGGUUUUUAUCCAUCACAAUUAUCUUUUUAUCGUUUUGUUGGUGAGAAGUAGUGUACAUCACCUCGACCAUACUAUAAUACUCUAAAAUAAUAUUAGUGAAAGUGCGCACGUUUUUAUUUAGUUAUAGCACUAGCUAGCUCAGGCCAAAAUAAGAAUGAUUGGUACUUGCUGCUUGCUAGCAACUAUCUGGUAUUGGAUGUAGAUUCUCUAAAUUGUAAAGUGGAAAAAUUAUUAUUGUAAUAAAUUCAUGAUUUGUUAUGAUGUAUCUACGAUAUUUAUUUUUAAUCCUUAAAUUAAUAAUUGAUAUAUUUCACUUUACACUUUAAAGUCUAAAGUGAGUUGCUCACUUUAGAUGAGCCGAUCCACCUAAUACCAAAAACAUUGCACUUAAUUAAUUAUACUUUCUUUUUGUAAUACAUUACGCGAUAAUUACAUACUCCCUCCAUCCCAAAUUGUAUGACGUUUUGGGCAUUUCACACAUAUUAAGAAAUGUGAUUAAUAUUGUGUGGGAAAGAGAUAUUAUGAGUUAUUUUACAAAAUUAUCCUUAAUAAAUGAUAUGGGAAAAAUAAAUGAAAGAAUUGAAAAAAGAAAGAGUAAUAAAUAGUUAAGGAUAAAAAAGAAAAAGUAACAUUAAUGUUUCAUUGGUAUUCUAAAGUGACAUACAAUUUGGGACAAAUAUUUUUUCUAAAGUGACAUACAAUUUGGGACGGAGGGAGUAUAACUUUUGCAUGAAUGCCUUGUUGUUGGAAUCAAGAAAUGAACAUGAGAGAGAGGUGGCAGCCAAAGGACGUUCUUAGAGCCACCGCACCGGUAGUCACUUUCACUGAUGGUGAGACACCAUGGGAGGGAUAGGGUUCAAGUCAAUGUGACAUAUAGGGGGAUAGGGUAGAACGAACUGUGGUUGGCUCAAGACGUCAAAAAGCGAACCGAUCGGGGGAUCAAGGACAAGGAAGGUCAAUGGGAAGCUUAUGACAUGGAAAAUUAGGGUUUGGUAGGAAUUUUGUUCAAGGGAAGAGCAUGUAUUAGUAGAUUGAAAGGUUAUUAUAUGCGGUUGUUUACUUAGUUUAAUUAUACCCCUUCAUCUACCUCGUAACAUCUAUCUCUCUAUCUCUCAAUCCAUGUUGUUUUUCUUGAUCAUGUAGUUUAGUGGCUAUAAUUCACUUUUUUUAAGGUGAAUACGUGGGGUGUCCGGGGUUCAAAACCAUGCCCUUACAUAUAAUAAUGCAUGUCCCUGCCAACCAAGUUAUGCUCACAGGGACCUCAAUCCCUGUUUUAAACGUAGUUGGAUGAAAAAUGGUAACAAUGUAAAUGUUGUAUUAUUUAAAGGACUAAUGUCUUGUUCACCAAAAAAAUAAAAAGGACUAAUUUCAUAUAAAAAAAUCUAAGGAUUAUAAUUUGUACCAAACAUGUAACUUAAAGAACUAUGUAUUUGUUCAUUUUUUUUAAGGCAAAAUAAACCAUAACUUAUAUAUGCACUCUUUCCUUGCUCGCCCUAAUCCGCAUUUUUUUAAUAUAUAUACUAAAUUAUGUUUUGAACAAGUAAGCGGUUGGAAGUUCAUAUUGCAAAAGAAAAGAUAUUGGAUUUCGAAAGAUCAUAGCGGAAUCAGACUGCAAUUAAGAAGGCAAUAUAUGAUAUUAAUCUGGGUAGAAUUAGCAGAAUACACAAGGAGCAAUUACUAAGGUCAUUAGGAAGAAAUUAGGGUUAUUUCAUUACUGUCGUUUUGAGUUCUUGAAAAGGGAAAGCAACGAGAGAAUUGGUCUUCUCCCAUUUAGAAUUGCUCAUUCCCCUAAAAAAGCUAAAUGUGAGUUAUCUUACGUAGGUGUAUUUUCAACGACUUACGUAGGUGCAUUUUUUAUUAUGAGUUAACUCACUUAAUAUGAUAAUGAACAAAAACAUAAGGGAGAAGAGCAAUUCUCAAGCAACCAAGCAGCUCAUAUGCUUGUUGGGCUAGGCCAUAGUGAGGACAUGUAUAGGUUUGGAAAAUUGCUCUUUUAACUUCCAAAAUUACUCUUUAACACCUCAAAAAUACUUAAAUAUCUCUAGUGGUGGUAGUCGCUCCCAACGUCAAUUAACCGCCGCUCACUAAAUAAACCAACGGUAGUUAAAUGCUGUUGUGUUCUUCCAUAAUAGCAACAUUAGCUAACUCAUUUAUUCAAAAACUGAAAUAGAAACAUUUCUCGCUCCAUACUCCCACAAACCAAUUUCUUCAACUUCAAGUAAAUCAUCAAUUAAAUUACAUAAACCUUAACUUCCUAGAGUUCCUUGUAUUUAGGUCAUUAUUAAGGAUUUUUAUUUUGUCUUCACACAUAUAACACAUUAUGCUCCAAAUGAUUUCUCUCUUGAUAGAAUUUACACUAAUUGCAGCAAUUUGCGAGUGAUCCAGAUGUGUAGUUUUGUUCUAAGAGCACAGGGACACCUUAGUACAUUUUUAACAUAAAGUUUAUUUUUUCUAUUUUUGCAGUCAUGCGACAUUCAUCAUAAACUCAACCACCCAUCUUUCUGUUGUCCCUUCUCUAUCAUUUAUGAAAGGAAAUCAUUCAUAGAUAUUAACGUAAAUUAUAUGCAAACAAAAUAUCUGGUGUAGAAAUGAGAAAUAUUAACUUGUGCACUCAAGGUAAAAAGUUAAAAAACUAAAGAUAGAAGUAUUCUAUUAGAACUUUUGCUCAAAAAAAAAAAAAGUAUUUUAUUAAAACUUGUGCAUUUAAUAUUGUAAAAGUUUAAUAAUUUAAAUUUUCAAUGUAAGAUUUAUUUUUUAUUUUUUUAUUUUUUAUAGUUCUUUAACUUGUGCCCUUAAACACGAGUUAAUAUGACCCUUUAAAAAUAAUAUUAAAACUCACGUGAGAUAUUAAACCAACUUACCUAACAAAAAAAAAGAACUUGUAUGACAAAGACCCUUAUAAAGCCACAACCAUUUGUUUAUUUGGCCAUUAUAAAAAUGUUACUCAUCCAAACCCACAUGGGUUGGCCUAAUAGUAUUAGUUUGGAACAUGGGUGUAUGCUAUUCCUCAAGGUCUUAGAUUCGAUUAUCUCUGGUUGUCAAUUUGGAUGAACUAAUUUAAUUUCUUCAAAAAAAAUAUGUUACUCCAUUCGUCCCAUAUUAUAUGAUCUGAUUGAUAAUGUGCAAUGUUGAUCUGACAUACUUUGAAUAUAUUUUUCUACUAAUAUACAAAGAUAAAUAAUAUCUUAUAAGAUGUUGAAUUCGUCUCAAUGACUAUUUUCAAAAGAAUUUAAAUUUUCAUAAUUUUUUUAAUAGAUUAUUAAAGAUAAAAAAAUGUACAUCAGUAUGUGUGGCAGACUCAACUAUGUCAAUUAAUAUUAAAAAGUUGGCCUAGUUUGAAAUUUUAUUACUACUCCCUCCAUCUUGGAUUAAUUGAGCCAUUUGCUCAAAUCAUAGAUAUUAAGACAAAUGUAUAAAUGAAGGAUAGGGAAAAAUGGUUUUAAGUGCUUUUUUUAAGUAUUGGUCUAUUCUCCACUAUCAUAAAUGCAAAGUGGAAUAUAUUGAAUUGGGAUAGAUGAAAGUAGUAUUAAUUAGAGUUAUAAAAGGAAAAAAGUAAUUAAUGAUGUAAUGAAAAAUGAAAUAACUCACUUAUUUUGGGACACUUUUUAUUAAAAAUGACUCAGUUAUUAUGGGACGGAGGAAAUAUUAUCUUUGGUUUAACAAUAGCAGUAGCUUUUAUAAAUGAAACCGACAAAAGAAACACACUGAAAUCAAGAGAACUGAGAAAGUGAAGCAGAGUGUGAGAGAGAGAGAGAGAGAGAGAGAGAGAGAGAGGCCUUGCCACCUGACCUCGCCGCCUAGGUCCACUGUUUUGGCCGCCGCACCUUCAAACUAAGUAAAACGAGAUCGGAGAAAGAGAGAGAGAGAGAGAGAGAGAGAGAGAGAGAGAGAGAGAGAGAGAGAGGGUGUUAGUGUUCUAUUCAAAGCAGCUACUCAAAAGGAGUUGAGUUACUAUGUCUUCAUUGCCUAUUCAUUUGUUGUCUCCACUCUUGUUCUCCUUUUGCCUCUCCCCUUCUUUAUCAAAUGGUGAUCUCUUUUUACAUAGUUAUUAGUAAUUGAACCAUUCUUCUCUAUGAAUCAUUUUGUUUAUUGACAACUUAAAUAUGCAUAUAUAUGAAGGUCAAGAGGGCUUCCUCCUUUGAACAUGUCUCUAAUCUUCAGAAUUUUUCUCCUUGGAGUUUUGGGGUGAACUUCCUUUAUGAAUUUGAGUUUUUGACCAUUUUUUAAGUAAUAUAAUUAUUGAUCUUGAUUUUGUUUAAUUUGAUAAAUUGUGUGAGUGAGGCAGAGUUGUAGCUCAGCUUUUUGGAUAUAAAGGACUUGAAUACACAACACCUACUCUUGCUUCAUCUCUUUCCAACCUUAUACCUGCUUUUACAUUCAUCCUAGCUAUCAUUUUCAGGUACCUAUCUCUCUUACUCUACUCUUGAAAACUAGAUACGAAAGAAAUCACUUGCUUGAACAAGAAGGGAUAUUUUUUUUAAAAUAUUUACAUUUCAAUUUCAAUAAUAUAUAUGUUUAUCAACAUGCCUGAAAAUCAUUUGUAUUUAGCAAUGGGAUAAUACAUGAUUCAUACAAUUUGAUGAACAUUGUGAAGUUUGCAAAAUUGUGAACCUAAAAGAUACAAAAAGGAUUUUUACCCGAUCCAAACGGAUGAAAAUUUUAUUGAGUUUGGUCAAAAUCAACUCAACCCAAACAAAUAAAACAUUAAAAUUAUACCUACCCUGACGGGUCGACGGACUGGUUGAUCCGUCAAUAACAAAACAUGAUUAAAUACAAAUAAAACAUUAAUUUUUAGGUGAGUUGACCUGUAAAAAAAACUUCAAGAUUAGGCUAAUAAAAUUCAACUUUAUCCAACAACUUAAGCAAUAAAAAUCUAAGUUUAUCGGAUGGUACGAAAAAUUGUGAGCUAAUGGACUAAAAAGAACCCUCCCCAUUUUUCUUACAGAUCAAGUGUAGCAAGCCAACUUAAGAAAUAUAGCCAAAAUCAUAAUAUGAGAAAUGAUAUCUGCUCCGGUUUGAGUGGUCGUAACACAUGAAAAUCCUAAAGCAUCAAAUAAUAUUCGAUUUUAUGAGGUUUUUAUUAGGAUUAGUUUGGAUGUGAACAUCUAUAGUAUGAUUUUCUUUAAAAUCAUAAAAAUUAGACUAUUUUCAUUUUGUGUGUGUUUCACUAUGGUUACUUGCUAUGUUUUUAUUGUGAACAAUAAUGGUUGUUAAAUGAAGGAUGGAGAAGGUAAAAUUAAGAUGGAAAAGCAGUCAAGCAAAAAUCUUGGGUUCUACGGUAUCAAUAUUAGGUGCACUCCUAGUUGUUCUUUAUAAGGGUCCAAUAAUCAUACCCUCACCAUCAACACAAUCACCACCUAUUAUUCAUUCUCCAAUCACUUCUUCAACAACAGAAUCAAAUUGGAUUCUUGGUGGAUCUCUACUUGUUAUUGAGAUUCUUAUUGUUCCAAUAUGGUACAUUAUUCAGGUAUAUUGAAUUCACUGAAAAGCUCUAAGCAAUGAUUUGAAGCACAUUAUGAAUUUUCGAUUCAUAUAAAUUACUAACUUAAAAUUUUGUUGGGGAUUUACACUGCUCAACCUGGUGAUAUUAGUUCUCACGUGAUUAAGUUUGGUGACUCACAUGUCUUCAUGAAGAAAAUUUGUGGUUGUUUUAAGAUAAUCUGGUUGACUUGCAUUUGGCUAUUUAAAAAGAGCGAAAUGCAAGAAUUUUUUAACAGUAAACAUUUUUCUCAAGCAAUUGUUUGAAUAUGUCAAGCUUCAUUCUUUGUGGUGGCUGAAGGCUCACAACCUAGCUCAGUUCGUUAAUUUUCAUUCGUGAUGGACAAAUUCAUCUAUUUGUAUUGAUUUCAACACUAUGUAAUGGCGGUAUUGCCCCAUUUUUAUUUUGUUUUGAAUCUUGUUACUUUGUAUUUGCUAUUUUCCUUUUGAAGCACAUCUUAGUUUAAAAGGAUUAUUUUAAUCUAAGUUCUUUUUGCAUCUUAAAAAAAACUACUCUUUCUUUCUUUCUCACUCUAUCUCUAUCAUAAGUGUCUUAAAAGCUUUGACGAUUGUGUUCUAAUGUUAAAAAUUAGGUGCCAAAUUUGAAGUAUAGCAUGUCAAAACAAUUAAUUUAAAUAUUCUCCAAUACAAACACGUAAUACUAAUUGCUUGAAUGGAAGAUACAAUACACACAGAUACUACAACAUGCUAGUAUCAUAUUUAAUUGGAGCACAAAUACACAAACAAACAUAAUCAGAACCAAACACCAGCUAAUUAAAAGACAUGGGGAGCGAAGGUCAUAAAAAUAUGCACUGAUUUUCAUUUGGUAGCUUCCCAAGUCUUAGGGAUUUUAGGUCAGAGAGAAGCACUUACAUGAAUACGUUGAAUUGGUUCAAGCAAAAAUGAAAGAGUUCGACUCUAUUGAAAUACAACAUGUUUCCGUGAACAUAGCGCUCGUGAUGAGAGGAAAAAGGAAAAUGUGGAUAUAAACAAAACCAAAUUGGCUCGUGAGUAUAGAUUUAUCUAAAAAUUUACAUGAAUAAUCUUUCUGAUAUAAACUUACAAUCCAAAAGUUAGCAUUGAUGUAACAAUACAUCGGUGUAAUUUAAUCAUUCUUAUAAUUUAUUCUUUUUUAUUGUGAGAGAUGAGAGAAUUAAAAUUAUAGGUCGUGGAUCAACAUUAACGAUACGGAUAAAAUUUAAAAAUGUACCUAUGCGUAUGCAGUCAAAUUAUUUUCUUCUUUAAUAGAAAUGAUAUUUAUACAAUCAAUUUUUGACAACUUUUAUGAUAACUUUCUCUCUCAUACUCACAUUAUGUUUUUACUUUCUCUCUAUUACUUUAGUUUUUGUACCACUACUUCAUUUUCUUUAUAAAUUAUAGUUGUCCCAUAAAUUGUUAUUGAAAUGGUUGUUCAAUCGAACAAUAAAAACAAAGCGACCCAUUCAAUUUCUUUCAAACCUUUCAUUCCUUUCCUCUACCUGAAAAGGACCUCCAAUUUAAAUGCUUUAAAGAACUUACAUGGGUUAAAUUGAGGCUUGCUAUUGUCGUUUAUAUUUUUAGAGAUUUUGUAGAAAAGAUGCAAGUAAUCUUCUUUUCCAAAUUUACACGUGUACCAUUUUCUUCAUAUUUUUAUGUUUUCUUUUUUUGGCUGAUAAAAGAUGAACGGUUGAAAUCAACAAAAAAAAAAUGAAAGAUUGAAAGUGAUGUUUAUGUCGACAAUAAGGGCAGUGUUUGAAGAGAAAAACGAUUGUAUAUAAUGGCGGUGGUCAGCCAAUUAAUGACGAUACCAAUGACACUGUUGGUCACACUCAUCACUAUAGUCUAUGGUAAUUUUUUCAGUCCAAUUUAGUCUUGGGCGAAAAGUUAACUCAAAUUAGUCGUUGACAUUUUUAAAUCUCUUUGCUGUAAUGAAUUGAUGACUAAUUUGUUGAUAUAAAAUUUUUAGAGAUUAAUAUGAGUUUAUUUUUUGUUGAAACUAAAUUGGCUUGAAAGAAAAUUGCAAGGUAUCAAAUUAAAGAACAAUGCUAUAUAUCAAGAAAGAUUUUAUCAAAAAAAUUUUAAGAAUGACAUGGCAGAAUAAUCACCCUUAAAUUUUAUCAAGAAAUAGUCUUGAAAUUAAUGUUAGCCAAUAAAAUCUCAGCCUGGGCGGAAAUCAUGGGGUGGUGGGUGUUAAUGUAUUUUUUUUUAUGAAAGAUUAAUAAAUGAGACUGAAAUAUAAAGGUGAUUAUUGUGUCAUAUCAUUCUUGGAUCUUUCUUAUAAAAUCAUUCUUGAUAUCUAGCAUUUUCCCAAAUUAAAUCUUCACUUUAAAUAUUUGUUUAGAGGAUCUUCAUUUUAAAAAUAAAUAGGAAAUGAAUUAAGAAAUGGAGAGAGCACAUAAUUAUAAGUCUCAUUUUAAAUCAUUAUAACCAUUUAUUAUCUUUCAUAGCAAUUUUGUUUGGUUGGAUAUAAAGUGACAAAUAGAAUAUAAAAGUAAAACUCAAACAUAAAUAUAGUCUUUAUUAAUAUUAUCAAUGUGUUUGAUUUGCUAAGCAAUGAAGGACAUGACAACUUAAGUUAUAUAAUGUUUGAUUUGUAAAUCUGUCUUAGAGAUAGGACAAACUGAAAGCAAUGGACAAAACAAAAAUUUAAAGUUUUGUCCCUUACUAAACCACAACACAACUUUUUAUCUCAAAUACAAAUUUUUAAAAAAAAUAUCUCCUUAUGUUAUGAUGUUAUGUCUUUUUUUGGUCAAGUAGUCUAGUGGCUAGAGCUCACACAAUUAAAUUGUGGAGAAGUGGAGUAUCUGGGGUUCGAACUCCAGCCCCUGCAUAUAAUAUAUAAUAUCCCUACCAACUGAGUUAAGCUCACGAGAAUAUUAUGACAUUAUGUCUUAUACUAUUUUAUUUAGUACUUGCAUUUUAGCAAAUCAAACACAUAGUAAGUGUCGUGAUAGAUGGAAAAUAUCCUAAGUUUUUUUUCUCCUUCAAAAGGAAACAAAAGUAUUUUAUAGAAACGAAAAAACUGCAAUUACCAAACACAUAUAUGGAAUUAAAGCAACUUUGGUCCACUUUGAGGAAUUUCUCCACGUGCUCUAAUUCGUACACAGCUUUUUGGCCCUAUGCAUCUAGGGUGGCAAAUUGGGUCCAGUGUCUAUUAUGACAUUUUGUUUAAUCUGCCAUUUUAAACAUGACUAUUACUUUUUCCACCAUAUUGCAUUUCAACGUAUUAUAUAAAAUUUUCAAAAAUAUAUUCAGAUUUUUCGAUUAUAAAAUCCGAAAACAUUCAAAGUGAAUUUGAAUUUUUUAAUCAGAAAUAAGGUUAUGUAUAAUCAACAAUUAGAAUAUAUUUCAUUUCAUCAGUUUUGAAUUUUGCUUUUAAAAGAAAAAAAAAACAAAGUAAAAAAUGUUAGAAAUCUGUUAAAUAAAAUCAUAAAAUUAUAAAAAUACCACCAAAGAAUUCUAAAAAUCAAAUAAAAUUAGUGCAAAUUUUUUCGGAUUUUUCUGAGAAUAUGAAAAAAUUUUAAAAAAAAUGAAAAAUAGGUCUAAAAGAUGAAAUUUUGAAUUUUGAGGGGCGGAGCUCCACAAGAAGUCACUUCUAUGGGAGUCUUGAUUCUUGAUUGUUUUCUGAUUUUAUGGGAAAGUUUCGGAGCAAUCUGAUCAAGUAACCCAAAGAUCGGAUUUUUGACUAAGAACAACUAACAAUGACCUAAAACAGAAUGAUGAGAGUUAGAAAGAUUAAUACUGUCCUUAAAAUUACUAUCUAUGUUACAAACAUGUUCAUAAUUUGUGCUGAUACAGUUCGGAUUAUAUAAUUCGAACCGUUUUUCCCUUGAAAAAGGGUGUUUAGGAGGGUGUUCAGAUUCUAUAAUCCGAAAAAAAUCAAGUAACAUGCCCUAUUUAUUUAGAUUUUCGGAUUUUUUCGGAUUAUAAAAUCCAAAUUGAUGAAAAAUUCAUUUUUUUUCACCCUAUAAUAAUGGAAAACACCAGUUCGAAUUUUUGGAAGAAAAAAAAUAGGGCGCACGAGAAAUGAAUAAGAUGGAAAGAAUAAUAGUUUUUAAAUAGGUUGAGUUGAGGUUUUGAGCUCACCUAUUUAAUUGCUCGUCCUUAUUUAACUCAAUAAAAAAGCGGGUCUUGGUUGGCCGGGGUAAGCUAGCCCGUGGGCUCAUAAUUUUUUUAUUUUUUAUUGUACUAGUAAUCGAUAACAAAUGUCUUAAUUUUAGUAGUUCUUGAUUAAAUAUCUAGGUGUUCCAUUUAAAUAACUAAGAAGAAGGUAGGAAUUUAAUUUGUUUCUAGAAAUUUUAACCAAUGGUAAUUGAUUAAUUUAAAAUUUUCAUGUACGAGAGAAAUUUAGUUUAUAUUUUUUUUCAUAGUAUUUAUUAUAAUUUAAAAAGUUGCAAAAUGUGCAUGCAAAUAAAAAAUAACUAAUACAAUUAAUUUUCUAAGGAGUUAUACAAUUAAAAAUUUGAAUUGUGAUAUAGACAUAAAUGAGAGUGUUGGAAAUCAUGGUCGAACCUAACACAAAAUAGACAUAAAUAAAAGUGUUGGAAAUUGUGGUUGAGCCUAAUAUAAUUCCAAAAAAAACUGACUUGUAAAGUGAGGAUUACUUCCACUUAUAAAUUCAUUGUCAUAUCAUCUCAUAUCCGAUGUGAGACUAUUGAGAGUCUUUGAAAAAUGUAUCUCACUAUUAUCUCAUCUUUUGUCAACCCUUUCAAAUUGAAGCUGUCAUUUUCAUGGAAAUCAUCACAACUUAUUAUAUAUAUAAAAGCCACUUAAACCCAACCACUCAUCAAUUCAUAUACCAACAACCAUGAACACACACAUGACUUGUUCCAAUCCUACUAGUAGUAUCAAUGUCACCACCAAUGAUCACAACACACCUUGUUCCAACAAUAAACCUCUAGAUAAGAUGUACAAAGGGGUGAGGAAGAGAAAAUGGGGAAAAUGGGUAUCUGAAAUUAGGCUUCCAAAUAGUAGGGAGAGAAUAUGGUUAGGAUCAUAUGACACACAAGAAAAAGCAGCUAGGGCAUUUGAUGCAGCCCUAUAUUGUCUACGUGGUCCUCAUGCUAGUUUCAAUUUCCCUAACACACCUCUUACCAUCAAUUUAGUUUUUCAUCAUAGUGUUAGUCACAACUCUCUUUCCCCUCAAGAGAUUCAAGAGAUUGCUGCAAAAUUUGCCAAUGAAUUACCAAUUGAGCUUACUCAAGAAGAAGAUCAACAAGUACCUUCAGAAUCACAAAAUGAUGCCAAUUCCAAUUCUUAUUCAUAUCCUCUAGAUAAUGAUAUUGGUGAUUUGAGAAGGAUGGAUUGGAGAUUUGAGGAUAUGUUUGAUGACAUGAAUAGGGUUGCUAAUUGCUCUAAUUUUUAUGGGCUACAAAAUAUGCAAUAUUCAACUCAACUUUUUGAAGAGGAUAAUGUGGACCAAAUUGAAUGUGAAGAUACCUUUUCUAAUCAUUCAAUCCUUUGGAAUUGGAAUUUUUGAUUCACAUGCAUAUAUGAUAUACAUAGUUGUUUUCAAAUUUGUGUAUUAAAUAAUACACCAAUUUUUUUUCAAUUAAGAAAAUAUUUUAAUUUAUCUCAUUAUCUCUACUAUGUGUUUGGAUUUUCUAUGAUGGCAUGGUGCAACACGUAGUAGAGUCUUGAGAUCAAUCUCUUAAAUCUUACAACUCUACAUUAUCAUCAUGUUCCACAAUGCAACUGUCAUAGAGAAUUCAAAUCCCUCAAACAUUCUCUCUAUCUCCCACCAACUUCAAUCAUUAAUAAGUUGAUGGCAGUGAUGCCACAAUCAACACUACCAAAAACAUAAAUUAAUGAAAGAAAUUUAGAGAAAGGAAAUGUUAAACUCUUCUCUAAAUCUAUUACUAAUUUUGGUGGGAGAAAAAAAUUAUAAAGUGAUUGUUUUCCAUCAAUGAUUUUUGGUGGUAAAUAGCUUUUAGGCUAAGGCUGGAGUGUACAUCACAUCGACCAUACUGUAUAAUAUAUUAUUAAUAAGGUUAUUGAAAGUGGCCACGUUUUUAUUGUGCCAUCUCUCUUCUAGUACUAUUGAUUAUAGUAGGCUAGUAGCAAUAGCUCAGGCCAAAAUAAGAAGGACAAUGAUUAGCAUUUUCUAGCUAGCAAAUACCUAGUAGCAAUAGCAUUCCUCUUAAUUGAUUAUUCUUUCUAUUUUUUAAUAAUUACAUACUAGUAUAACUUUUGUACGAGCUUUAUUACUAUGUUUAAAUAUAUUAAAAAAAUAAAAAAUUAUGUAUAAGUCUUUAUUUUUGUUACAAUAUGUAUAUGUCUAUGUAUGUAUAUAGUAUAGCUGAAUUUCUUCGUGCCUUUGUGUUGCUUACUACGAAUAAUAAUAAUAUAUACAUUGAAAGUUUAUUAAUUUUCCAUCCUUUAUCUACUUCACAUUAAUGUCUUAACAAAUUUUGUUGAAACAAACGACAUAAAUAUGUUGUAUAAGUGACUCAAACACAAAAGGUGAAUUGGCAUUUUUGGUGAGGCUAAGGUAUGCCGCUGUUUGCUAGUUUUGACAGGUAGUAUAUGGUAGCCUCACCAUGGGAGUUUUGAAACCGUAUGCCUGCUAGGUGAUUGAUUGCCUUUUAUUUUACUUUUUUUGGUUUUAUUUAUACGAGAAAUCUAGGUCCACAAAAGUUAAUAUAUUUGAUUAAAAAGUUGGAUCAAAUACAUCAACCUUUGUUGAUUCAAAUGUCUCUUGUAAAUAAGACCGGAGUGAGGAUUUGUUUUGACAACAUUUUUUGCUGCUGUUUUGGUGUAACAGCGGCUGGGUUUUUGUUUUUGGGUGCGUGGCUAAACUGUUGACAACAUCCCUUUAUAAUGUAUUUGUGUUCCUUUACCGCGAGCGUUUGUGUGUCUUGCACAAUCUCGUCGUUAAUAAAACUUUGUCAUUUCUAAAAAAAAAAUGUUUGAUAAAGAAACGCUAAAUUCUAAAUUUAAUUGCAAACCGUAGAUUUUAGAUUUUCUUUAAGCUAAAUUCUUAUUGGGUGUUGCUAACCAAUGCCACGAGCACUAGUUAAGGAGAAAUAAAUGAAUAGAUCCUACUUAUUUUACCUCAAUUAAAGUGAGAAAUAAGUCAACUAACUAAAAUAAAUAAAAAAAUUGUAUAUAAUAUUCUGUCAAAUUUCCAUUCUUUACACACUUAUACACGCAAGACCUUUUCUUUUCUUGUGAUUUCAGUUUCGGGAAUUGACCCAUUACAUAUUUACAUCUAUGUAUCCUUUUCAUUUUUUAGCAAUUUGUUUUCUUCCCGUAGAUUUUACUCAAACCAAUUUUUUCUCCGUAAAUUUUUUAUGAAUCAUUUUUCUCUUUCAAAUCAAUUCACGAAAAGCCUUUGCAUAAUUAGUAACAUAUUCAAUUAAAAUAAAGUUCAAAAUAAAUUAAUAAUUUUAAAGAUAAAACAUAACCAAUUAAAAUAUCAAAUACAAAAUCAUCAAACGUUUAGAAAUUACAAAAUCUUUAAAAAAUAAAAUAAAAAGGAUUCCAUGCUUAUAUAUCACUAAAUAGGAAAUUUGACAGUAUUGAAUGCACAUUUUUCUUAUUUUAAUUAGUUGACUUAUUUCUCACUUUAAUUGAGGUAAAACAAGUGUGAUCCGUUCAUUUAUUACACCUUAAUCAGUGCUUCGGGGGCACUGGAUAGCAUUAUCCAUUCUUUUACUCGUCAACAAAAGAUGAUCGUAGAGAGAUGUUGAGUUGACACCGAUCAUAAUUAUUUAAUUUUCUUUCACUAUAUAUAGGGUUAAAUAAAAUUUUAGUCCCGGAAUCUAAGUCCUGGUUAUUUGAAAUUGUUUCCUUGGACUCAAGAUUUUAACCUAAAGUUACAAAAUAACUCAUCUGCUCAAGUUUGGGGUAUAAUCUCUGGUCUUGCACAAGAAUACUGGAGGAAGAACAUUUUAUUCUCAAUAGCUAGUGGUGCUGGUUCGCCAAUUUUCACUGAUUCUACCACAGCCAAACUUAUGUAUGAAAGAACCUUUGGAUAUUAGGCUAGAGUCUUAGUAGAUCUUGAUAUUUCCCAACCUUUAAGACACAAAAUGUUAGUUGAAAGAAAAGGUUUUACAUUCUAUGUAGAACUUUCCUAUGAAAAUGAUCCAGCUUAUUGCACCCAUUGUAGAACGAUAGGCCAUCAUGUUGAUUAUUGCAAAAGAUGGCACCCUGAAGAAGAGAUCAGAACAGAGAAUACUGAGUAAAGGUAAGGAAGUAAUCAAUGUCGAGAAAGAAGUUAUCAAUGUUGAGGAAUUGGCUGGAAAUGAUAAGAAUGAUAAGGAACAAGAGGAGGUGCAGUCUAAUGUGAAGACUCCUGACAAAAACACUUCACCUGCUGAACUCUUAAAGGCCCAAGAUUUGCAAAUAGAAGUGGAAAUAAAUGCCAACAUUCAAGUUAAUUCUGUUGGAGACUUAGAUGUGAAUGCGCAAGAUGAUACUAGCACGUAAGGUUCCUUUGUCGAUGCAACACAAGACCAUAAUGAAGAAGAUGAGGAUGAAGAGCAGAUUACACAACCUUUGUCCACUCCUGACAUAGUCCAGAAGGAUAUAGACUUUCUUAAAAACUCAUGGGCCAACAUUGUGGAAAAUAAAGAUGCAGAUACACGUUUUUUACAAACCUUAGAAAAGUUCCUGUAGCAAACACCUUACAAGUCAUUGAUAGUGAUGGUUUUCAUAUGAAAGUAUCAAAACACCAAAAGAAAGCUCAGAAGAAGCUCAGUCACACAGGAAUAGAAGUUAUUACAACCAGAUCAAAGGUUAUAAGACACCUUUCAAAUGAAGUACAUAUAUUGGAAUGUAAUAGGCCUAGCUAAUCCCUCAUCAAGAUUAGCUUUACAAAUACUUAUUUCUCUUCAUAACCUUGGAUGGAUUUUGAACAAUUCCCUGAAAGAUGGAUAACUAGUUUACAGCUUAAAAUGUUUGCCUUGAACAAUAGACCUGAUAGGCUCUCUAAUAUCUAGUGUUUUUGUAAAAUCUCCAUGAACCUUGUUAUUCUUAUUCUUGAUGAGCAACAUGUUUCCUUCUCAAUUGUUGAUGGACACCAAACUUUUGUUAUAUCUGUUGUGUAUGCUUCCACAGAUUACAGAAAAAGAAGACAAUUAUGGAAUUUUUUUUAUCUCUUUUGCAAUCUCAAUAUGCCUUCCCAUGGUGCUUCAUAUGUGAUUUUAACUCUAUUAUUGGAGCUCAUGAGCAUAGGUGAAGAAUCACUCCUACCAGGUCACCUAUGGAAGAGUUUAAGUCUUGUAUCGACAGAAAUGCUUUAGUUCAUUUGCCUGCCAAUGGUGUUGAAUACACUUGAGCCAAUGGUAAGGGAAUCAAUAUAAGCACAUAAAGAAGGUUGGAUAGAGACAUCACUAAUCAGUCAUGGUUAGAUUCUUGUCAUUCCCUUACAUUAUCAACCCUCACAAAACAUCAUUCUAGACAACUAAUCUCUUUUGCUAGAUGUUCAAGUUAAUAACAUACUUUUUGCUUCUCAGUUCAAAUUCAUGAGAAUGUGGGUUUCUCAUCCUGAUUGUUCCACAAUUGUUAGAGAUAGCUGGAUUUUUAAUGUGAUUGGUUGCCCUAUGUUUAUUCUCACUACUAAGCUCAAAGUCCUGAAGGAAAAACUCAAAAAUCUGGAACAAAGAUUGCUUUGGUAAUGUGCAUGAAGUUGUCCAGUUAGCUGAACAAAACCUUAACCAUCUUAAGUUUCCUUUUAGUUUAAAUGAUUCAUGAAUUAAUCACUAAGUUUGAACAUGCGACCUAGAGAGGAGCAUGCUCCUAAGUCCCAAGUCUUCAGCACUAGGCCAACCUUUGGGGGUUACUUAGUUGCAUAAUUAUUCUCACAUUUGCAUAAACAAGCGUGUUCCAAAAGAGUGACAGAGUAAGUUUUGAGUGUUAUUAAAAAAAUCAAUUGCAUCAUCUAAUUAACAUUUUUAUAUAAGUUAUUUUUAACUUUGCAUUUAUGAUAAUGAGAAUUAACCAAUGGUUAAUAAAGUUAAUUUAGUCUCUAUCUUUUACAAAAACAUGUGUUUUUAAUCCCCUAAAGGAACUAAAAGCAAUCAUUUUUUAUAAAAGGUAAAUACUAAAAAUCGUCAAAAUAAUUUUAACAAACUUGAAAGAUAUAAACAAGCGUAUACUUCCUGUUUGUGUCGUCAUUUGCAAAACCUCUGUUGUUGCGGCCAAUAAUUGUAACAUUUCUUAUUUAUUCUUUAUGAAUUUUUAUGUGUUCUAUAUAAAACACUUAUUUUCUAAUGAGUCAAGUGGCGAAAUUUACACGCAGUUAGUGCUGAGAAGUGGAGAAUUGCAUAUUCAAUUUUUUUUUUUAGGGAAUUGCAUAUUCAAUCUAUUAACUUAUAUAAUAUAGUUUAGUUUGUUUAAUAUAUAUUGUAGAUGAUUACCAAGUCAAUACUUAAUAUAUGCACAUAAUAUAUUAAACAAAAAUAAACUAAAAAAUAUGGUAGGGGUUAAUAGAAUUUAUCAAAUGUAUAUACAUUCUUUUACAAUUUGAGUUGCAAUUAAUUACUAUAACUUUUGCUUCUUGUUUAUUUGCAGUGAAAUGGGAAAUGCUGCCUAUUGAACUAGUACCUAUGGUUACUAGGACGUUUUUAAUGAUAAAAAACCAUAUACCUAUUGAAUUAAUCCCUCCACUUCAAGAUAUAUAUGAUUCUUUCAAGGUAAGUUAUCGAUUCUUACAUUUUUUUGAAUUACUUAUUUUACUAUAUGAAUCUUAAUAUUAUGAUGGCGAUUAACGACAUUUGCCCUUGCAAUUCUUUAUGACAUGUUUUAGGAGGACAUUAUAGACUUCGAUAUGUUCAAGAAUCAAGUGAAGAUACUUCUGGGUGCUCAAAUGACGCAGUGACAUCCUAAUUGAGACCAUUGAUGUUAUCAUAGUUUAAGUUUUAGAUGAUAAAGACUUAACCAUGUUGUUAUAUCACAUAAUAAAAUGAGAUAAUGAAUAUUAAGUUAUUAAUUUAAGAGAAUAAAUAGGUAGAUUUUUUCGUAACUCGAAUUUUCCUCAAGAUAUUGUGUUUUUUUUUUUUUUUGGUACAAAAGAGGGCAAAGCCCAUCAAGAUAUUGUGCUUUAUUUGUAUCUUAGGUCUAUGUAAGAAUUUCAGUGACAAUAAAAAUGUGUUUGUUGUUUUACUUCUUAUCUUGAUUUAAAGUUUGAAUUCAAUCAUAUUAAACCGUUAGGUUGAGGCUUACUAAAUAUUUAUAUUUAAGCUUAGACUUUAUUCCCAUUAAUGACUGGAUUACUAGUAAACAAAGUGUUUUAUAGAUUAGGAGUUAAGUGUGUAAGAUUAUUUUUAUGCACGAGUAGUUGUCUUCUUCUUACUUUCAAAUUGCUUCUAUUGAAUCUUCUCUAAUACCUAGAGUUUGCACUCCACUUGAAUGGUGAUGUGUUUAUUACUAGAAAGUAUCAGGAUUCAGGAAUAUAAGCAUACGUAAACAAAAUGUGAUAAAAUGGUAAAGUGAUCAUUAAAAUGAGAUGGAGAGAGUCCCUGUAAGUAUAGUUCAGUUGGCAGGGACAUGCAUUGUUAUAUGUAGGGGUCAGGGUUCGAAUUUCAGACAUCCUAUUUAUUCACCUUGCCCUGUUUGGCAAGGCCAAGAAGCUAGCUUAUAGCGGAUAGAUUAUAAGCUCGUUUGACAAAAAAUGUUUUGUUUGGUAAUAGUCUUUUUACCACGAACUUAUAGCUUAUUUUAUUAGCUUAUAACUUAUUACAAUUUAAAACAUGCUAUGUUUUCAACGCUGAAAUAAUUUUCAAAUCCUAAUUUUUUGUCACAUGAUUAUAAUUUGUUUUCUUUUCAAUUUGGCAUUACGAGUAGUUGUUUUUUUGCUAAAUUAUGUUUUUGGUCCCUUAAUUAUUUAAUUAGUAUCGUUUUGGUUCCUUAAUUAAAAUUUGAUAUAUUUUGGUAUCUUAAUUUUCUCUCUGUUACACAUUUUGGUAAUUUCCGUUAGUUUUAAUUCAAAAACGUUAGGAUUUCUCCAUCUUCUUCUCCUCUUCUUCAUCUUUAUAUCAUCUACAUCAAUCUUCAUAUCAUCUUCCUUUCAUAAACGUAAUUAAGUGACAUAUAAAAACAUCUAUUAAGGCUCUGUUGGGUAAAAAUAAGCUAUAAACUAGCUGAUAGCUGAUGACUGAUAGCUGAUAGCUUAUAGCUGAAAAGCUUGCUUAUUAAAAAUAAUGUGUUUGGUAAAAUUAGUUGUUGAAGUGGCUGAUAAGUAUAAAAUGACAUAAAAGGUCAUGUUUUUUUUUUAAAAUACAUAUAGACACGCAUUUUUUUGUAAUGUAUUUAUUUUUUAAUAUUUUUAAUUAUAGUUAAAUAUGUUUUUGGUCCCUAUAAAUAUUCAAACUUUUGGUCUUAGUCUCCAUAAAAAAAUUCUUCGACCUUUAAUCCUAAAAGAAAAUUCANNNNNNNNNNNNNNNNNNNNNNNNNNNNNNNNNNNNNNNNNNNNNNNNNNNNNNNNNNNNNNNNNNNNNNNNNNNNNNNNNNNNNNNNNNNNNNNNNNNNNNNNNNNNNNNNNNNNNNNNNNNNNNNNNNNNNNNNNNNNNNNNNNNNNNNNNNNNNNNNNNNNNNNNNNNNNNNNNNNNNNNNNNNNNNNNNNNNNNNNNNNNNNNNNNNNNNNNNNNNNNNNNNNNNNNNNNNNNNNNNNNNNNNNNNNNNNNNNNNNNNNNNNNNNNNNNNNNNNNNNNNNNNNNNNNNNNNNNNNNNNNNNNNNNNNNNNNNNNNNNNNNNNNNNNNNNNNNNNNNNNNNNNNNNNNNNNNNNNNNNNNNNNNNNNNNNNNNNNNNNNNNNNNNNNNNNNNNNNNNNNNNNNNNNNNNNNNNNNNNNNNNNNNNNNNNNNNNNNNNNNNNNNNNNNNNNNNNNNNNNNNNNNNNNNNNNNNNNNNNNNNNNNNNNNNNNNNNNNNNNNNNNNNNNNNNNNNNNNNNNNNNNNNNNNNNNNNNNNNNNNNNNNNNNNNNNNNNNNNNNNNNNNNNNNNNNNNNNNNNNNNNNNNNNNNNNNNNNNNNNNNNNNNNNNNNNNNNNNNNNNNNNNNNNNNNNNNNNNNNNNNNNNNNNNNNNNNNNNNNNNNNNNNNNNNNNNNNNNNNNNNNNNNNNNNNNNNNNNNNNNNNNNNNNNNNNNNNNNNNNNNNNNNNNNNNNNNNNNNNNNNNNNNNNNNNNNNNNNNNNNNNNNNNNNNNNNNNNNNNNNNNNNNNNNNNNNNNNNNNNNNNNNNNNNNNNNNNNNNNNNNNNNNNNNNNNNNNNNNNNNNNNNNNNNNNNNNNNNNNNNNNNNNNNNNNNNNNNNNNNNNNNNNNNNNNNNNNNNNNNNNNNNNNNNNNNNNNNNNNNNNNNNNNNNNNNNNNNNNNNNNNNNNNNNNNNNNNNNNNNNNNNNNNNNNNNNNNNNNNNNNNNNNNNNNNNNNNNNNNNNNNNNNNNNNNNNNNNNNNNNNNNNNNNNNNNNNNNNNNNNNNNNNNNNNNNNNNNNNNNNNNNNNNNNNNNNNNNNNNNNNNNNNNNNNNNNNNNNNNNNNNNNNNNNNNNNNNNNNNNNNNNNNNNNNNNNNNNNNNNNNNNNNNNNNNNNNNNNNNNNNNNNNNNNNNNNNNNNNNNNNNNNNNNNNNNNNNNNNNNNNNNNNNNNNNCCUCCCUCCCUCCCUCCCCACACACACACACAAGUAACUAAACAAUCAUUUAAUUAUUGAUAGUGGAUGGUGGAGUUUGAUAAAAAUUGUUUAUUCUAAUGGGUUGUUUUUCUAAAGAGAGGAUGAAAUGGAGUUAGGGUUGAGAUUUGAAACGCGUUAAAUGAGUCGUUUCAAUUUAUUUUUCGUUAAAAUCACGAAUUUGAGGAACAUAUAAAAGAAGGGUUCUGGAGGAAUUUUUAAAAAAUCUCAAACUCUUAUUUACUUUUUUUUUUAAAGAAAAAAACUAGUAAACAAGGGUAUGACUAUAAGUACUCAGAGGCUUCACCUCCUCACCAAAACCUCAACCACAAAUAUAAACUAAUGAUACACAAAAUAUUUUGACUGCGUAUUUAGAGUAGAAAAAAUAUUCUGACCUUGUUGGUUUAGAGUAGACAAAAAUUAACACGGGAUAAAUUGCUUCCUAUAAAAUGCAAGGUAAGAAGCAAUAAUGAGGAUUUUGUGCAGCCAGAAGCCCACACAACCUUGUGUGCGGCUCCGCUCCUACGCGGGAGCAUUAAUUUCUCGACAAUGAGUAUAAUCGUGAUGUGUUACAACCACAAAAAUUUUAGUUAAAAUUAGUUUUAAAAUAUCAAAGAUCGAGUGGUUCAAUUAAUUUGAAUUAAAAGAUAAAAAAAUUGAAAUUGGGAUUCAAAUCCUAACAAAUGUGAAAACUUAAUAUAACGGCCAACUAACAUUUGUUUCUUUAAAAAGAAAAAAUUAACAUUUUCUAUUAAUAAAAGUAUUUGUUGAAAAUGACCAAAAAUGAUGCUAGUAUUUGUCUAUUUGAAGAGAGAAAGCGAUUACAGAAUUGACGGUGGUGUUAGCCAAUUAUUGUCGAUACCAUUAGUGACGGUCAUUCACAUCCAUCUCAAUCACGUCCAACCAUAUUUCAAAAAGACCCAUAAAAAGAAAGAAAAGUCAUACUUUUAAAUACAAAUUGCCCGAAUAGGUAAUUUCCGAUAUUAUCAAGGUCUGUAUAUUUUUUUUUUUUUUGUGGUGGUAUGAGUUUGAAGUACAGACCUUGCAUUCGUUAUCAAUUAAGUUAAACUCACUGUAUAUACAUAAAUGGAAAAGAUCCCCUAAAAAUAUAAAUGGAAAAGAAAUUAAUAUAGACUUGUAUGCAUUUUUUAAUCCUCUCAUUUUUUAAUUUUGCAAUUUUGAAUUCUUACAGUUGACUCCCAUAUUUUCCUCCAUGAUAUCGUAGCCAAACACAAAUUUUGAUCAAAUUUCACAUUUUUAUUUAGUGAAAAUUGAUAUACCAAUUCUUUCAUUUUUAUUUUUAAAUUAAUCAAUUUUUGUUAAAUAAAAAUGUCACGCAUACAAAAUGUUGUCAAAAUCUAUAUGCGAGGCUAUAGAUCACUAAGGGUGUGUUUGUUUCAAGUUAUAAUUGUUGAUUCCCGGGAAUAAAAUGAUAGGAAUGUAUAUGCCUAUGUUUGUUACAAGUUUAUUAAAUUUUAUUCCCGGGUAUAAAAUGUUCCUGGGAAUAGAAAAAAUUUCCCAAGGAAAAGGGUGGGAAUAAAGUUCCCAUGGAGAUGGGAAUAAAUUCAUAAAUAGUUUACCUAUUAUAAUCCCUAUUUUUAUGGUUCCUAGGAAUAUUAUAAAGCUAACCAAACAUAUUUUUCCUAAAUUCCUUGGAAUAANCACCCUAAUUGAAAGGAAAGGGUAAACUAGAUGUGUCAAAAAUGCUCGAAUAAAUUCAUUUAGGUUAAUCUGAUGAUGUUGGUCUUGAAUAUUGAAAUGUGUUCCUUUCAUAGUCUCAUGUUCGAUUUUUCGGAUGUCAACUUUGUAAGCCAGUUUAGCUUCUAAAAAAAAAUCAAAAUCGUACAAUUAAAAAAUCCUAUGGGCUAAAAUUGCUCAAUUGAAAUUAAAGGGGUUAAGAUCGCACUAUUGAAAAAAUAAAAUGUCAAAAUCUAUAUAUUGAAGUCUUAUUUUAGAUCGAUAUCAAUAGUUUUUUAAUAAAAUUUACUGUUAAGCAAAUAUUAUUAAGUGUCAUGAUAGAUGAAGAAAAUCUUAGGUAAAUCAAUUCACAAACUGUAUCUCUACUAAUAAAAAUACCAGGUCGGAUGACAUCGGGGUUCGAAUCCAAACAUCAGGGUUCGAAUAUCUUUUUCUGGUGUUGGUCGGGAUUUAAACUCAAACCUUACAUAUAUUAUGCAUUGUUCCUACCAACUGAGUUAAGCUCACGAGUACAUAUCAAUAUAAAAAAACUUAAUAAAUGUAAUUUGGUCUACCGACCUUGAGGAAUUUGUCAAUGUGGUCUUUCGCACACAAUUUUUUGGUCCCUGCUGCAGUUCCCUUGCAUCAUUGCAUUGUAAUAAUUUGUCUAUUUCAUAAAUAACAUAAACCCUUUAAAUAUGAAGCUGUCGAUUUCAUGAAAAUGAUCACAACUUAUAUAUAUGAUCCCGUUAAGUCCAAUCCACUCAUCAAUCCAUAUACCAAUCAUGAACACAAAUAUGACUAGUUCCAAUCCUACUAGUAGUAUCAAUGUCACAACAACUGAUCACAACCCUAAUAGUAGUAAUGAUAAGAUGUAUAGAGGGGUGAGGAAGAGAAAAUGGGGAAAAUGGGUAUCUGAAAUUAGGCUUCCAAAUAGUCGUGAGAGAAUAUGGUUAGGAUCAUAUGACACACAAGAAAAAGCAGCUAGGGCAUUUGAUGCAGCCCUAUAUUGUCUACGUGGUCCUCAUGCAAGUUUCAAUUUCCCUAAUACACCUUUUACCAUCAAUGUAGCUUUUCAUGGUUACCAAUCUCUUUCACCACAAGAAAUUCAAGAAGUUGCUGCUAAGUAUGCAAAUGAGUCACCACCAAUUGAGCUCACUCAAGAACAAGAUCAUCAAGUAUCAUCAGAAUCACAAAAUGAUGCCACCAAUUCCAAUAACUCUUAUUCAUGUUCACUUAGUGAUAAUGAUGGGAGGGAACAAGUAGAUUAUGGAGACUUGAGGAUGAUGGAUUGGACAUUUAAGGAUAUGUUUGUUGAGAUGAAUGGGGUUGCUAAUUGCUUUGAAUUAUUUUAUGGGCUAGAAAAUGAUACCAAUUCAAAUGCUUAUUCAUAUCCUCUAGAUAAUGAUAUUGGUGAUUUGAGGACAAUGGAUUGGACAUUUGAGGAUAUGAAUGGGGUUGUUAAUGACUCUGAUUUUUAUGGGCUACAAAAUAUGCAAUGCUCAACUCAACUUUUUGAAGAGGAUAAUGUGGACCAAAUUGAAUGUGAAGAUGCCUUUUCUAAUCAUUCAAUCCUUUGGAGUUGGAACUUUUGAUUCACAUGCGUGAUGCGUAUAUGAUAUGUGGUUGUUUAUUAAGCUACCUAAACCGAAUCCUUUUUAUCCGAAACUCUCACUAGUCGAGUUUGAAACUUUCAAAUGCAGGGAUGUUCAUUUGAUGAGAUAAAGACAAAAUUUCGUAUUAAAUAGUACAUCAAUUUCUUUUCAAUUUAAAAUAUUUUACCCAAUAAAUCCUUAAUAAACACUACAUGGGUAUAUAUACUUUCUUCGGACCUUUUAUAAGAGAAUUUUAAAAAAUAAAAAUUGGUCCUAUUUAUAAGAAAAUGUCACAACUUUUCAAAUGUAGUUAUUGUUUAAAAAAUUUGUCUACCCCUCAUUUAAUGUUUAUCAUUUUAAUAUUAAUUUGAAUGUAUUUAAUAUUUCACAAUUUUUUAUAAGAGUAUAUUUAUAAAAACAUUCAAAAAUUACAAUAAUUAAUUUCUGCAUUAGUUAUGUUGUUUUUAGUUUUUCUUGUAAUUAAGACAUAAGGGAGUAUUAAUUUAUCUCAUUGUUUGAAACUAAUUUUGUGGUGUUGAUAGAUUCUUCCUUGUCAUGAUUACAUGCACUACACUUCAUAUUUUAUAUUUUAAUUACAAGAGGUCCUUAGCCUAAAAGAAAGAAAACUUAGCGUCUAAUUAAACGAGGUGUUGCAACACCAACAUAAUCAGUUAAAAAAUAUGAUCUCAUUUGAACAAGACAUUAUUCAUAAACAAUCGAAGAAGAGCCACCAUCACACGUCAAAUUAGCUAGAACAUAUGCACAAGAAUUGUAUGGCAAAUGUGGACCUCCCAAUUCAACUUCAACAAGCUUCUAAUAUUUGUCAACAAGCUCAACCCCGUUGCUGACCCACCUUUACCAUCCACAUAAUUGGAGACAACUGCUUUUGAAUCAAAAUGAAGCUCCACUUUAUAUAAACCACGUUCUUGAGCCAUCUUCAAGCCUUCUAACACACCCCAUACUUCAGCCACAUACGCACUACACACUCUUAACCAUUUUGAAAAGCCACAAAUCCACUUACCUACCAUUAUCGUCUCGCAACACUCCUUAACAAUCUGCAACAUUUUUCCUUCUAGAAGCUUCAUCCAUAUUUAAAUGGACCCAUCCUAUUUCCGGAGUUUUCCACCGAAUAUUUUCCGUCAGCAAUUCGCUAUUAUCCAUUGCUUGUUGCUUGUGGAAUUCUGUCACAUAAUUGUAGACUCUGUUGCUGAUCUCCAUCCAUGGCUUGAGAGGAAACACAAUUAUUAUCAUGAGUCUUUUUGUUUCUUCUAUAACCCAUUUCUCGUCCUUUAGAACCGCCUAUAACGGUAGAUCAAACAAAAUAAAAGAAAAAACAAAGCAAAUCUGCAGAAGAAAAAGAAGUUAAUAGAAAAUCUAAAACAUGCUUUUCUCAUAGAUAGACCAUUGCAUGCAUUGUCACUAGACGAAGAAUUGAUCUUCUCCAUUGUCUUAGAUCAAUUAAAACGGAGAGGUAAGAGUGCAAAACAAAACCAAACAAUGAAAUGAAUCUCCAUGGUAACUAGACAUAGAGAUGGUGUCCCUUUAGAUCAUUUUGUGAGCACUAAAUGAAGCCACUAGAAAUAUUUCUUUUAUAUUUCUUUCCAAAACUAUAAUUUGGGUCACUUUAAAUCAUUUCGUCGGAUUCGCACAAAUAUUUUGUCGUGUAUAAUAGUAUUUUUCAAUAAAAAAGUUCGAAACUCAGUUGAAAGAGUGAAAGCAUCAAAAGAAUACAUUGACAAAAAUAGUAAAUAUUUGACAAAAAUCGGAGUUUAUCUAUGGUAUAGUAUCUCUUAAUUUUCUUGUGUUUUCUAGAGACAAACAAGAGUGAUGCUAUAUCUCGCAAGAGAAAAACUCACGAGAGCAUCACAAAUCAGAAUUGCCCAAUGAUAAUUCAUCAUUUAGAGGCAAACAUGGUGAAUUGGCGGAAUUCAAGGAAGCAAGCGUGAUUAUAAUAUGCCACAUGUACUGUGAAAUUGAUUCGGCAAACAAUGUUAUUCCUUAUUUUUAGUAUAAUUUAGUCACACCAAAUUGUAUCACCUGGAUCUACCCGUGUCAUAAUCUCUCCUAUCAUGCUUGUUCUAGCUUGUUGUCCAACUCAAAGCUCCUUUUUAAGACUUUUACUACUUGAUCAUAACGCAGUCUUCUUUUCUUCUCAAACAUUAAGCUACCAUCUUCAUAGCUAUCAUCUUCCACCAUUUUAUCUAACAUUACCUGAAACUACUGACUGACCUUUUGUUUCGUUGCUCUAAUUCACCCCUACAUUGACAAAGAAUAAAAUCCAAAUGGAAAUUUGGAACAAACAAUCAAGCAUAACUUGGUUGUUAAACUAAUGUAAAGCUUUUGAACAACAAAAACAUUUACAAAAAAUAAGAAAAGGAAAAGCUUCUAUUAAGGCACUAAUCAUUAAUAAACAUGAAUCAAUUUUCAUAGUUUCUUUUUAUGCAUAACCACAUGAACAAAAUCUCUUCAUCAAACAAAUUUACCAACAUUAACACUAGAGUUGGAAAUGAGUCGAGUCGAACUUGUCUAAUCUCGACUUGAUAAGAAUUGGUUCAGCUCGAAACUCGAUUUGAGUUCGAUACAAACAUUUUAUUUAACUCGAGUUCGGCUCGUUUAAAGUUCACGAACAACUCAGUUCGACCCGUUAAGCUUAACUCAUUGCUCGAGUAACAUAAUUCAAAACAAUUUAUUUGUUUUUCUCAAAAAUGUAUAUCUUGACAUUUUAAUUUAUUUAAAAAAUAUAAAAAAUUGAAAUAAAUUAAAACUAUAAACCAUGUUUGGCUUAAGACUACUAUGGAAAAAAGCAGUAGUACUUAAAACUAAAACAACUGUAGCUCAGAUGUUAUUAGCUUCUCUCUUUAUAACAGCUCCCCCUCUCUAUUGUUUAUAAACUACCAGAUGUGGGACAAAUUUUAGUGCACUUCUGUUUAGUUAAAAUCCUGCAUAUGUUAUUAGCUUUUUUUCUUCUUCUUUCGCUGUCUUUUUUUUUUCUUGGUGAUAUUGUUUCUCUCUUUUAUUAUAAUUAUUGUUAAUUGUUGUUAAUUAAAUUAGAAAUAAUUUCUCCUACUCUAUUUGAUAAAAAAAUAAAUAAUUCCACUAAAAACAAGUACAUAAAUAUCACAUGAAGCUUGUAAUAAAUUACAUGUUAUAUAUAUAUAUAUAUAUAUAUAUAUUAUCGAGUCUACUCAUAAACCAACCGAGUCGAACUACAUAUAGCUCAAGUUCAGCUCAUUUAUUUAACGAAUUAAUUUUUCAGCUCAAGUUUUAAUUCAUUUGAUUCAUGAACCAAGUUCAACGAGUUAACUGUCGAAUCGAGUUCCAAACUAUUGUCGAGUUAGUUCGGUUCAUUGUCAGCACUAAUUAACACCUCCCAUUUCAACAUUUGUCUUUUCAAAAAUUGCAAAGUUUUUUGGUUACACCCUAAAUUGCAAAUUUGAUAAUGAAGUAAUUUGAACAUAUAGUCAUUGGAAUAAAAGAAUUGGAAAACAAAAGUAAUUUUACCUUUAGAACUUCUACUUCUUUAUUUGUUUGGAUUUUGAUUGGAUCUUCAUAGCAACUCUUACUCCAAGUGGAUAAGAGAUAUCCUCUGUCAAAAGAAAAUCACAGGAGAGAAAUUAUUGAGUAAUCAGAAAUAAAAAAGACCAACCAAAAUUUUGUGAACAAUGCAGAGUAGAAUUUGUUUAUUCUCAGAUACGUAGAUAUUAAGUGAGGUAUAUAAAUCUAGCAUGUCUAGUAAUCCAUGUGUGGUAUUUGAAACGUCUUCCUAGUUAUAUUGUGAGUCAGAUAGAUAAAGCUCUUAAAAAAUUUGAAGGUAUAGUAUACUGUGUGUGAUUUGAUAUGAGAACUGUCAAAUACUUUUGAUGGUAGGUCUAUUAUCAAAUAAUCCUUUCUUGAAAACCCAAUUAGCAAUUAUUAAGAGUUAGUUGAAAAACAAAAUAAAUUCAACUAUAAUAAAAAAUAAAAAGAGGCAGAAAAUCAAAUUAAGUUACCUGGAGUAGUCUAAGAUUUUUUUUUUCUUGGAUCUACAAAAUAACAAAUAGGCAGAGCAGUUUAAGAAAGGGUGAGAGAAUAUAAAUUUAAUUACUUGGAGCAAAGUCUUUCUAUCAAUAAUAGCUUUGGAAUCCUCUUUCAUAUGUAAAAAAUCUUCAACUAUUAUCCUUGGAAAUACUGAUUGGUCAAGAUAUUUCUACACUAGUAUUUCAUUGUUAUCUCUAGUAUAAAGAAAGACGGUUUCUUCGAAUUUGAUGAGUUGUUUAGAUAAAAGACUACAUAAUAACCUUUCAUUCCUUCUUUAUAUCCAAGAAAUGCACAUUUGUUUGUUAGCCCUUUGGUCAAAUUUGGUUAUACUGGCUUCAUGGAUAGAAACAAAGCAUAAACAUCCAAAUACUUUCAAAAUAGACAUGCUAGGAGGUUUCUUGUGUAAGACAUGAUAUGGUAUUUGUCCUUGAAUCACACUAGAAAACACUGUAUUUGAAUUGUAAAUCACUAUAAAGCUUGCAAAGACUUGGCUCCAAGUCUUGAUUGAUAAUGGUUUGGCCAAUCCAGUUCAGCAACUAAAGUCAGUUUCUAGACCGUUCAACUGCAACUCACUACAAAGUUGCACACAGUGUUUUGAGAUAUUGAUAAUGGUCUUUUAUUGCCUGGUGCCUAUCAUUCCAAUACUAGGAUUCUCUGACGUUGAUUGUGCUGAUGCUUAGACACAAAAAAAUCAAUAACUGAUAAUUGUUUCUUUAUUCGUUCCUCCUUAUUAGCUGGAAGUCAAAGAAGCAACAAACAAUGUCUAUGUCUUCAUCAGAGGCAGAGUAUAUGUCACUUUUCUCAAACAUUUGCAAGUAACAUGUGAUAGAAUCCCAUUCUUGUACUAUGAUAGCCAAAGUGCAUUGCAAGUUGAUUCUAAUCCUUUUUUUAUUGAGAAAACAAAGCACCUUAACAUAGACUGUCAUGUGGUUCUAAAAAAGAUUCAAGUAGGAUUGAUGAAUGUUGUGAAUUCGAUGAAAAACACACCAAUAACAAACUUGAUGUGUGGAGCAAGUGAUAAUCAGGCAACCAAAAUAAAGUGUAUGGAACAAUUAUAAACACAAGCCAAAAGUAGAAAACAGAGAGAGAGAGAGGGAGAGAGAGGGAGGGAGGGAGAGAGAGAGAAAGGAAGAGAUAACACAAAAGAAUUUGUUGACCCAGUUCGGUCCAAAUUGACCUAGUCUAGGGGAGAGAGCAAUCAUCCGUUUCACUAAUGAUGAGUAACUUUACAAAAGAGAUAUCAAUGGGUUACAAGAAUAAGUCUCCCGCCUAAUUUUACCCAAAGCCCCAAUCUCUUUCCGUAAUCAAGAGACUCAAUCCUAAUUGUGUUUCCUAAGGUGAAUCAACCCUCAAACCCUAGUGUUUGUUGCCAAGAGACAAACUCUAUACAAACCCUAGUUUUGUUGCUGCCUUUCUGAACCCUUGUUUCAGCCCCCCCUCUAUCUCAAAUUUUACGCUGAUACAAGGUCUAUAUUUAAAGUAAAAGUAUCGCUUAAAAUUUGGAACAAAUUUGCACUCUAAAAUACGUUUAUGAUAUUCGCCGCCAGCGCACCAUCGUGCCACGUUGCAAUCCCACCGUACCACGAUUUUUCCAAUGACUUGCCUCAUAACUGAAACAUCCAAUUGUGUCACGUUGCCCUGCAAUCGUGCCACGAUUCCUGCAUAACCUGAUUUUAAGUUAACUCCCACAAUGAAACUCUUUCCGAGCUCAGAACAUGAUCAAACGGCAUACAUCCUCAACAAGACAUUGCAUCCUGCCAAUUUCCAUUGAUUGUUUACCAAGCUUGGUCUUCUAGACAUUUACAUGCCUUAGUUCUAGGAGGUGUGUUGAAGUCUAGAAGGCAUUAUAUUGGAGAGUAGACAUUAUUUGAAGUAGUUAUAGGAGUUAGUUAUGGGUUAGUUGGGUUCUAUGCAUUCACAAUAUGUUAUAUAAGCUUGCAAUGUACUUCAUUAAAACUUGUAUUGAAUAAUACACUCACAAUUGAUGGAAUGAUGGCAGAAACCUCUCAUUAGACUUAACAGAACAAUCCACCUUAUCACGGUCUAUUCAGUAACAAAGACCAAACCAAGAAAAUGUUCAACAAGUUGUUGUCUGUCAUGGUUUACCGCUGUGCUUUUGAUGAACAGAAAGAGAAGCUUUUCUAAUAAGAUUUGUUACUUUUUGAUAUAUCAAUUUUUCUAAUAGAAUGAGGUAAUAUUUACUUUCUUGUUUUGAACUCUUCUCAUCUUCCCUGGAGUAGACAGUAGUUUUCUCGUGUUCGAUUCCUACACUUGAGUUGCAUACUUGAUCUUUGUUACCAUAGGUUUAAUAAUAUAUACAAUUAACUGUUGUAAGUAAUACUUCAAAAUAAAAAAUUCCGCAAUAUAUACCUGAACUCCAGUACUUGAAUUGAUGCAAGGUACAACACACACACAUAAGGAUAAUUGUUGGUCAGAAAGUAGAUCGACAUGAAAACAAUAUGUUCCUGGAAGAAUGUCUAGAAUAUGCUCUUAAGAGACACUAUAUAUAAAAGUUCCCAAUGUCGAAACUAAACAAAAUAAAAUGCAUUAUAGGUUCAUGGUUUGUGCAUAAGUGCAUGAGCUCUAGCAUAUUUCAUUGAAUCUCUCCUCGCACUUAUUGAUGAAGAUACUUUCAUGUUGUUGGAAUAGAUCAUUCAAAUUUUAUGAUAAAUAUCUAUGAUAGGCUCUGAUACCAUGUGACAAAUUAUGGAGUAUAACUCAUUCUUAAAAAAUUGGCUAAAUGAGUUAAGACUCCAUAAUUUGUGACAUGAUGAUAUCAGAGCAUCUCUCUAAAGCUGCUUUUUCUGUCAGUGUGGGACUAAAUCCACUGGGUAUUGGCUGCAACACCAAGUAAGUAACUUGUCCCAUGUAGGUAACUCGGUUGAUGAUUUAAGGGACAUCGAAAGAGUUUAAGAACAGAUCCAAGAUUCACAACCUAGAAAACUAACAUAACCAACAUCGUCUAUCUGAAAAAAUUAAGUAAUUUGUUACCUGUGAUUCAAAUUUCAAAAUUUACAAACUAGAUAGGUAUAUGCAGCUGGAACCAAUGGCAGGUGGUCAUGGAAUUGUGCCCUGCAACUGUAACAUAGAUAUUAGAAACCAAUCUUCCUUAGAAAAUUAUCCUUUUCUAUGCUUAUUUAACUUUUGUUCAACAACUUUGUCCUUUACAUUCUUGUUUCUUUGUUCUUUUUCUUUUCUUGCUCCAUUUGUUCUUUACAUUAUUGUUUCUUUGUUCUUUUUCUUUUCUUACUCCAUUAUUAACAGAAAAUUAAUUUCUAAAGCUCUUUACUUAAGGGAUAUGUGUGUAGGUUUAAAAUGGAAGCCAAAGAAAGUCUCUGCGGAAUCACUACGAAAGUGUUUGACAGAAGCAACUACCAACUUUGGGCAGUGCAUGUCGAGGCAUAUUUAGAAGAUUUAGAUCUAUGGGGGGAAGUGGAAGAAGAUUAUGAAAUCCCUAUACUUCUGAGCAAUCUCACAUUGACUUCAAUCUAAAGGAAUGUGAAACUUGCUUCAGAAAUUCAAACUUCAAAGAGUAAAGGAUUCCAACGACCAAAGAUUAUUUGACAAGUUUCUCAGUAUUGUAAGCAAUGUGAGACUUCUAGUAAUGUGUGACUCAAGAAUUGUUGAAAAAUUUAAAUACAAUUUUCAAUACAUUUAAAUACACACAUUUUCAUAAAAUUUUAACAUUUAAGAUGUUUAAGAACAUUCAUAUUGGUAAGGUCUUUACUAUUUAAGAUCCGGUAUUUAAUAGGUACCCUCAUUGAGGAAAAAAGUUGAGGAUCUCUUAAAACUCAUGUCUCACAUAAGACCUCAAUCUUAAGUAGACCCCACAUCACUUUUCAAUAAAAUAAUUAUUAUUUAAGUUGUUUUUAUUGCUUUUCAAUUGCAAUUUUCACUCUUGUUCUCUGUAGUAUAUUGAUUAACUUCCAGAAUGCUACUACAAUGUAUCGUUGGCUUUUCAUUCUUGCUCUCAUUUUCUCUAAGUCCCUAAAAAUUAUUCAUCCAUUCUUAUCCUAUUUACUCAUAAUUAAAUCAUUGUAUCGUUAUAUUAUUUUUGACAAUGGAUCCAAACCAAAUAAUUAGUUAUUGUUUUAAUUAUGUAAUUUUAUCAUCAUUUUAAAUUAUUUGUAAUUCUUAAUAUUUGGCAAUAUUAUUAUUAAUUAUUUUUCAAAUUUUAAUUAUUUUUCAAUUUUUUAAUAAAUUACGGUUGAUAUAAAUUUUGUAACUUUGCAUUUUAAUCAAAUUAAUAUUAUAAAAUAGUGUCUUAAAUAAAUAAUUAUUGGUGAGACCUAUUUAAACCUUUUGAUAGAGGAUCUACAUUGGAGUGGUUGAGUACCUAUUAGAUACUAUUAUUAAAAAAUAAAAUAAAAAAAGUAAUGUGUCCAUGUGGGACAUGUUUAAGACCUUAAAUAUGAGGGUCUCCAUUGUGGAUGCUCUAAAAAGGACUUCAGAAACACUCAUUAGCAUUUCCCUUAAUUUUAUAUAUGAGGGGAAAAUAGAUAGUUGAGGUAAACGGAUAAAGUUUUAAAGUAGCGCAAUUCAAUUUGAGGUUGCUCAACCCCACACACACACAAUUUGAGAACUUAGCCAAAUUAAGACUAUAAUAUAAUUUUAAUACCUACUUUCACGUUUAGUGUGGGUUUUAGAAUCUAACUUUCACCUUUAAUUUAGUUAUGAUAUCAAGUUAAACGAGUUUGAAUAUUAUCUUAAUAAAUACUAAUUCAUGAUAAGAGGGUGUUCAACCACAUACAUACGUCCAACAUUUUGGAGAACCUUGAUAAAGCGAUACUCUAAUACAAUUUCAAUAGUCACUCUCACGUUUACAUGGGUAUCGAGUUAAUUUUUACAACUCGAGAGUUUACCUCAACUCAUUUUGCUUAGGUAAACUCGACUCGAGAACUCGUAAGAGUUUAUAUAAAAUUUAUUAUAUGGAUGUAUAAGCUAAUAUAUAUCUGGCGUCGCAAUCACCGACAUCGCAAUCAGAAUUCCCCAUGUUCAUAGUUUGAGAACUCGGAGACAAAAGAAAAAGAAAUGUUUCAUUUCAGAUGUAAACUCGUAAAACUCGGUUGAGUUUGCACAAGUUUACCGAGUGUUAACUCGGUUAAACUCGUCAAACUUUCCGAUUUUACUAGAAACCGAGUUUACUUCUAAGUUAACACGAUUUCGGUACCUAAAAACGUAAACUCGGUAAACUCGGAGAGUUAACACUCGAUUUGCGGAACAUUAGUAUCGAGUCCAAUUCCUAUAUUGUCAUCAUUAACAUAGCUCUGAUACCAUGUUAAAUAACUUUGGAUCUCAUCUCAUAAGUUAACUCAAGAGAUGACAUUGUCCAACCACAUGUACAUUCAACAAUCCAAGAACCUUGAAAAUAUGAAACUACAAAACAACUUCAAUACUCACUCUCACUUCUGUUAUGGGUCUUGGGUCCAAGUCCAACAUUGUCAUCCUUAAUCCGACUUCGUUAUCAUGUUAAAUAGUUCUCAUUCUCAAAAAAUAAUUCAUAAGAUGAAAUUAUUCAACCACAUAUAUAUACAUUCCACGCAGUCCAUAAAUUUUAACAGUUAAUUGAGACUCAUAAUACAACUUCAAUAGGUGGGAUCAAUAUACAAUUUAACCAAUAAAAGAAAAUAUGUUUAAAAAAAGAGGCAAGUACUUCGAUGGACCAACUUCAUAAGUGUUCCACCAUGAAUCAACACUUAAAUUAUAAAAAAAUUCAACGAAGGUCGACAAUACUAUUCAAAAUCAAACUCAUGACAUUUCUUAUAUUUACAGCUAAAAGAGUGACUUGAUUGAAAUAAUUUCAAUAGAGCUAUAUAUUUAUUUUUCUUGUUUUUCCUUAAAAAAAAAGUUAUUUUUCUUUGUUUUAAUCAAACUGGUAUCAAUUAAAUCAUUAUUUCAAUCUUAAAAAUGAUAAGGAUUAUUAAUAUCUACUAUCAAGAAAUGACAUUUAUCGUUAAAUUUUUAAAUAUUUUUUAAAUACUAAACUAUAGUGAAUCCCUUAUGUGUUGAAGUAUAAUUCAUAUUCUAAUGUUAGUUUGUAGAGGAUAAAUUCAACUAUGUUUGUUGGUUAGUUAGUUAGUGUUGUUUUUGGAUUGUAAAAUUACGACAGAGCUUUGAAACUAUUACCGGGGUGAGUCACGACCAGGUCGCUUUCUUUAAGACGUUUCGCGGAACUACCUAAAUUGUGCAAGGUAGACUAGCAACCGCGCCGUCUCCAGGAUAAAACAGCCCAGAUUCUUUCUGUACGAUUAAAGGCUGCACUACCAUAAAUCGCUCGACAAUAACACCUCAAUAUGGUUUCGAAAAACCACUCUAAUAUGGUACGCAGACCACUCGAGAAACCAAAGAAGGAGGAAGAAAAGAACGGUUCGUCAACACAAACCGAGGGAGAUGAGAAGGGGAGAAAACCAGAGAAGAGGAUUCGAUUCUCGGUUUUGGAGUGAAGAAUGCAAAUCCUGAGCUCUCUAUUUAUAGAGGGGAUUUGACCUCGUUUUCUCUGCCUACCCGGUUCGCGACCCGCCAACGUUAGCCCACGACCCACGUAACGGUAACCCACGACGCGGAAACGUGGAGCUGAAGCUUGCGCGUGUGGAAAACGUGUGAGACUUGGUCUCUGCGUGCGGGAAUCUCAGAGCAAAAAAUAAAAAAUAAUUUUUUCAUUUUUCUGAGCACCAAAAAAAAAAAUAUUUCUUUAUAGACAAGCCCAGGGCCGGCCCGGUUGGCGGCGUCGCGCGUGUCUUAUAUAUAAUUUUUGGCAAGCGCUCACUCCGUUCACAAAAGUGUGUACCCCAAGGGCACACCCUCGGAAGUGAUAUCCCACAUAUAUAAACACUACUAGAGUGUGUGAUCUACCCAAUGUGGGACAUAAAAUUUUCAAUUCACAUUUUACACUAGUUUCUCCAUCCUUGUGUUUACAUUCCAAAGGCUCCACAAACCAACUAGUAUACUCCAAGUUUUUUCCAAUAUACACUAGUGUUCCAACAGUUAGUUAGUUUGUUAGAGGCUUGUAGUGCAAGUUACUCAACUUAGCCUAUACGUACAUGUUUGUAUUAAGUAGAUUACAGAUUGUAUAGCACACAUCUCAUAUCUCUUAUAUUCAAUAACAGAAGAGUUUUAUCAUUCCUUUGUAGUUUCCUCUCUAAGUGUGAGUGUGUAGAGAUCAUUCUAAUCUUUCUCUCAAUUAUGUAUAUGCAUGUUCUAUCAUUAUGAAGGUGUUCAUAAUAGAAUUCUUCUGUUAAAAAAAUGCAAGUUAAAAAAGUGUGUUUCCACUGGUAUGUGUGCGCGUUAUAACAUGAAAAUAUUAAAAGAAUAAAUUAAGAGAGCACUUAAUACGUAGUACAUGAUUAAAUUUAUAACAUUUUUUUAAUGAAGAUUAAAUUUAUAACAUAUAAUGCCAACUUCAUAAAAAAAAAAAACAUAUUUGAGAGAAAGAUAUUUUGAAAAAAGAUACACAUUUUAUUUUUCUAGUUGCAGGUAAAGUACUAAACUUAUAUAUUCCCAUAAAAAAAAUAACGUACUAAAAAAAUAUUUUGAAAAAAGAUAAAGUACUAAACUUGCCACAUAUAUAAACCGGAGUGGGAACGGGAGUACUACUCAUGAUUGGCUUCAAUCUCCGUCCAUGCAUAUAAGACUUCAUUUCAACUAUAUACUGUCUUUGUAAUUUGUAUAAUAACGUGAAAAAUCUAACAACUAAACAGAAAAAAUAUUCUUAUAAUUAAUUAGUAUAUGAUCUUUAUUUAUUAUAUUAGUUGGUGCCUCUAAUUUUGACUGGUCGGAGUUCGCAAAGGGACUAAGAAUUAAGAAUAUAGAUAGAUAUUUGUCUGUGUGUAACCAAAUUGAAAUUAAAAUUGGUUAUGUGUCGAAAAUCUAGAGAAUUAAUGUUAUUUUAUAGUGGCCAUGCACUUUAUACCAUACGUACAUAGUUCAAGCCUUAGUUGGGUAUUGGACCAUUUUUCAGGGUCUUUGUUGACUAUAAGUCGGAGUCAUCUUAGAUAUGGAAAUGAUACUGUGUCAUUGUCAAUACACGAUUAAGUCAUAGUACUUUGGAUAUAUUGUCUUGAACACAAGGAAAUGAAUCUAUUUUAGGUUGAAAAAGUAAACGAAUCUAUUGUAGGGCAAAAAAAAUGGAAUGCUAAAAACGGUGAGAACACUGUAGCUAAAACGGCUAGGUUUUUUUCUUUCUUGAAGGAUACGGCUUAUAGAUAGUACAUUGACUAAUGAAAGCAUGUGUGAUUGAGAAAUAAUGGCACGAGUUAUAUAGGCACUAGGCAGUGGAAGUCUAGUACGUAGCUGUUCGGGCAUAAUUAAAAACAGAUAUUAGGAAAAUAUCACAUUUUUUUGGCAACCUAUAUACUCAUAUAACGGAAAACCAUGAAAGUUAUACUUUCUUUAAUGUGUCCCAUUCACAUAGCAUUUAUAUAUUUUUCAAAUAUAAAACAUCACAUUUUAAUCAAAAUAAAGCAUUCCUUAAAAAAUAAAAAAUAAACAUAGCAUGUCCACCUUUGUGAAUAUAGCUGGAUUGUGAAGGAUAAUGUUAUAAAUUAGUGUUAGGGUUCGAACCAUAAAUUUUUCACUUAUUCAUUUAUUUUAGAGUAGUAACGUAUAAAUUUCGUAGACUUGUAAAAUAAACAAAAGUUGAUUGCAAUAAAGAGUUUUCGGCAUUCUAUAUUUUUUUAUUUGAAUGACAAAUGUUAAUUUUUUUUUUUUUUUUUAUUUGUUGGGGCUUAAUUAAAUAUUGGAUUUCCAACUCAUUAACCUUUAGUUCAAACCCGUUGAUCUAUCCAACCCUCUCUUUCUCUCAUAUUCUCAUCGUAUUUUACUCUCUAUCUAUUGCUUUGGCUAUAUUUCUUUGUAUAUUUUUAGUUGUCUGUUAGGUUUGUUAAAAAAUGGUUGUUAAAAUAAUACCUGACAUAUUUUUAUAUAUGAACUCUUUCCUGAGUGUUUUGAACCGGCCAACAUACACAAGAACAUGUCAUUAUAGUUAACUUUUUUUUUUUGGAUAACAGUGCAUGCGUUAUAAAUUUAUUCUACCCAGUUAAUCAUGACCACAGAACCUUAAACUUCUUGACAACGAGUGUAAUUGUGAUGGUUACAUUCAUAGAAGUUAAGGUUAAAAUUGGUUUUUAAAUUUUGUAUAAUAUUCAUUCACAUAGUCGUUGUUCAAAAUGACCAAGAACGGCAGUGUUUGAACUUUGAAGAGAGAAAAUGUUUGCAGAUAAUUGGCGGUGGUAAGUCAAUUAAUGACGAUAUAGAUGACACGUCCGUCACACUCAUCAGUCAUCACUAUCACUUCUAAUAAGCAUCGUUCAAACUUUUUCCACCCAGAAAAGAUUUUGUUCUCACAUUCUCAAUGUCUAUAGAAACAUAAAUACAAAAAGACUUACCAAAUUCAGUGAAAGAUAAAUAUAUGUCUCAUUUAAAAUCAUUAUAAUAUUUAUUAUUUUUCAUAAAAUAUACUACUUUUAUUAAUAUUAUCAAGAAAUGAAAAAGUACCUUAAUUAAACAAAAGUACCUUAUGGAAACAACAUGUGCUCUUUUCCACCCAACUUGAGGAAUUUCAACAUGUGCUCUUUUGUAGACAACCUUUUGGCCCUACUGCGUCCCCAUGCAUCACUAGCAACAGGAUUGCAAUCUUGUAGUCGGAAUAUAUAUGGUCGUUCAAUUGUAGUCGGAAUAUAGAUGGUCGUUUAAUUAAGAUUUGAUGGUCUAAAUUUUGAUAUAUUUAUUAAAUUUAAAAUUGAUUUUAAAAUUAAAACCUUCUAAUCUUAAUCGGUUGAUCAUUAAUCUUUCUAUUGCACAACUGCAGACGAUUUUAAUUGUAUAUACAAUUUGGAUCCCCUUAUUGAUAUGUCACAUACUCACUUUACUUUCUAAAGCUUUUGCUGUCAAAACAUUUUAAGUUCAAAUUCUAUGAGCUACUUCAACUCAUCUACAUUAAUAUAAGCUCCGUCCUUAAAUAUAGAAUUUCGUUGAUUAAGUGAUGCAACUCAAAAAAUUGACAAUAGUAUUGAAUUAAUUGAUAAUCUAUAUUUAUUUUUUUAAUUUUACCAUCUAUGAGAGAAAAUUAGGUUGUAUUUUUUCAUAGCAUUUAUUAUACAUUGUAAAAAGAAAAUACAAUGUAAUUAUAAGUGUUAACAAAUAAUUAAUACAGGUGAAAAAAAUUGAAAUAUAAUAAUAAUAAUUAUAAUAUAUUUUGAAAUGGAAUUGACAUUCCCCUCUAUUUCUUUUAUUAAAAAAAAUUAUAAUCUAUUUCUAAAAAUAUAGAGGAUUACAUAUAUGAAAGAUUAAUGAGAGUCAAAAUCAAAAAUUGUAUCUAUUUAUUUCAUAAAUGAUUUUUUUUAGAGGCUAUAACAUAAAUAAUGUCUCUUUCAAAAAAAAACACAUAAAUGUUGUUAAUCAUUUUAAAAUAAGUCUCAAAUUCAUGGAAAUCAUCACAACUUAUAUAUAUGGAGCCAGUUAAACCCAUAUCCACUCAUCAACUCAUAAACCAACCAUGGACAUAAAUAUCAAUGUCACCACAACUGAUCAAAGCCCUAAUAGUAGUAAUAAUAAGAUGUAUAGAGGGGUGAGGAAGAGAAAAUGGGGAAAAUGGGUAUCUGAAAUUAGGCUUCCAAAUAGUAGGGAGAGAAUAUGGUUAGGAUCAUAUGACACACAAGAAAAAGCAGCUAGGGCAUUUGAUGCAGCCCUAUAUUGUCUACGUGGUCCUCAUGCAAGUUUCAAUUUCCCUAACACACCUCUUACCAUCAAUGUAGCUGUGAAUCAUGGUGUUGGUCAUCAAUCUCUUUCACCAGAAGAGAUUCAAGACGUUGCUGCUAAGUUUGCAAAUGAGUCACCACCAAUUGAGCUCACUCACGAAGAUGAUCAACAAGUACCUUCAGAAGCACAAAAUGAUACCAUUUCCAAUCAUUCUUAUUCAUGCCCACUUAAUGAUAAUGAUGGGAGGGUGCAAGUAGAUUAUGGAGACUUGAGGAGAAUGGAUUGGAAAUUUGAGGAUAUGUUUGAUGACUUGAAUGGGGUUGCUAAUUGCUCUAAUUUGUAUGGGCAAGAAAAUAUGCAAUACUCAACACAACUUGUUGAAGAGGAUAAUGUGGACCAAAUUGAAUGUGAAGAUACUUUUUCUGAUCAUUCAUUCCUUUGGAGUUGGAACUUUUGAUUCACAUGCAUAUAUCAUAUGUGGACCAAACUGAAACUCUCACUUGCUGAGUUGGGAUCCUUUGCCAUACUAGAGAAAUAUACAAAUAAACAAAGUGGUGUAUUGAAUAUCCAAUAUACCAAUUUUUCAUAAUUUUAUUUUUCCAUCGAUAUCUCUAGAUGAAUCUCUCUAUAGAAGCGGAGAGGAUUCAAAUUCCUCACCGGCCAAUUAUACUCAAACAACUUUACCUCUCUUCAAUAGUGAUUAUACUAGUUACACCACCAAAAAAAAAUAGUGAUUAUUAUAUACUAGUUGAAAUCUUGCAUCUUUAUAUUAUUGAAUUGUUUCACUUUGAAUUUAAGAUUGGUCCAUUACGCCCAAUUAACUCUUAGAUUUUCUCCCUUUAAAAAACUUUUAUAUAUUUUUUUUGUUCAAUCUUUACUUUUAAUCGUGAAAAGAUUCUAAAUACUAAUAACAAAAUGAUGAAGAAAAAAAAAAAAACUACUAAGAUUCAAAUAUAUUUUCAAUUUUUUCAAAAAAAAUAAAAAGAAAUUCUCAUUCAAUAUUAUAAAAAUGAAGGAUAAUCAAUUUUGUUUCUCCCAUGAAACACGAGUUAAAUGUCUCACUUUCCAAUUCUACUGCAUUUUGACUAAGUCCCAUGUCUUUAAACUUUCGCACUCUUCAGUACUAUCGGAAAAGAAGCAGCUAACACUCAUUCAGCUAUAAUAGGUGAUGAGAUCUCCUUCUCAGCUUGAAUGUGGACUUUGGAAGUCACUUAUUGAGUUUACUUCAUCUUUUUUCAAGGAUCGAUUCCUUUGUUCUCUACACAAAGAUAUAUCAUCUUACCAACUCCUAAGGAGGUUUUCCAGUUUCAUAGUGACCAAGGAUUGGGAUGUUUAUGGUGGCUGGUAUAUCAAAAUAUAUGUCUGCCUAACUCUAUAUACGGGAUCCGUUGAUCUAGACUUAGACUUCCAAAACUGCUUCAUCACCUUCUUCCUUUCCCCAGAUGUUUUGAAUCUCAUUAAUUCAGAGAAUGAUACCAAUAGCAAGUUCAGGAUUGGGAAAUGGUCUGUGUCAAUGGCGCCUAUCUCUGCAGUUCCCUAAUCAACUAGUGAUAUGUCCAGUGAGAACAGUUGAGUUGCAACGGUUGUGAAGAAUGCUCUGAUGAUCGGUAACGGCUUCCAGUACGGCGGUGAAGCGCCUUCUGCGAUGGAACGAAAGGUGCAUGCAGGCACCUUAGCACUCCGACGAUCAAGUCAGUAAUGGAACUGAGAGAAAAGUCUUAGGAGAGUUGUGAAAAGUGUUGUGUACCUUUGAGGGUGAAGCAAGUUCACCCUUAUAUAGGCGCACUCUUGGCAUAACCGUCUCCGGGUUAUGCGGCGUAUGAUUAUGAGCGGGAGUGGACACGUGUAGCGUGAUCCCAGCAGGGAGGCGUGCUCCAGUGUGGUACGGUGCAGGCGAGUUGUCGUGUUCCUUUGAGUGUGAAACCUUGAGGCGGCGUAAUAUUGUACACGAGUAGCCGUGUGAGUGGUUCAUAACAACUAGCUUGAAUCUUCCAUCCUUAUUAUUUUAGGGAUUUUAAAAACAUUUAUUGAAAUGUAAGGACUAUUUUUCAAAGUCACGCACAAUGUAGGGACCAAAAACAUAUUUAACCUUAAAAUAAUUGGGACCCACUAACUGCCACAUCAGGAUUCCGUUAGAUAAUUUACAGCAGGGACUAAUUUUUAUAAUGGAGAUAAAAUGUGAGGAUUUUAAAAACAUUUAAUAAAAUGUAUGGACUAUUCUUCAAAUGAGCGCAAAAUGUAAGGACUAAAAAUAUAUUUAACCCAAAAAAAAUAUAAUCAAAAGAAGAUAAGUACUUUUUUUCCCUUUUAACUCUAAUUAAAUAACUAAAUCCUUGAAUCAACCAUAACGAGUACAUUAUAUAUAUAGGAAAUUCAACGAAUCCUGACCGCUGCUAAAGUUCUGCAAUCAAACGGGUAACUUUGCUUGUUGCAAACAGAUUAACUUUGCAAACUUUAAACCCUCAACCCUUUUAUAUUAUUUUCUUCUCAAAUAAGUAAGGCGAAUUGUUUGGACAAAACGACAAUCUAUGUGGAUACGAUACUCUAUUUAUCACUUUAUUACUUGAUAAACGAUUUUGUACACUUGCCUAAUCCGACCAUCACAUUACAUUAACGUUGAUAUCUUGAAAAUAGUCCAUGAGUUUUCAAAACUUUCUCAUAUUGAAAUAUUAAAAAAAAAAAAAUCCACUAAUAUGAGCUCAUAAAACCCAUUACAAGUACGGUGCAAAUAUUCAACAGUAUUUUGCAUAUAAAAUGAAAAAUUAUUUAAUAGAAACACAACAUUAAUGUUGAUAUCUUAAAAAUAAUCAUGUUCUUUUAAAAUUUUAUCAUAUAAACUUUUGCAUAUUGGUACAUAAAAAUUUGUGUCCGUAGAUUUAAACACAUAAAAUCCAAAACGGGGUCGUGGUGGAAAUAUAUAACGGUGUUUACGUAUAAAAUAACAAAAUAUUUAAGGUUAAAUAUGUUUUUGGUUCCUACAAAUAUACUAACUUUUUAUUUUAGUGUCUCUAAAAAAUUUCUUCGGCUUUUAGUCCUCAAAAGUUUCUUAACAACACUUUUGGUCCCUACUUUUAAGCAAACUCAUGUGUGGUCUUUAUAUUUUUGAAUGAAAUUUUGCAAAAAAGUCUAAAAUGUUAUAAUAAUCUCUCCCAAAAAAAUUAGAAUUUUUUAACAAAAUAUUAAUUAAAUAUUAAUUUCUAAGCGCUUAAAACAUAACAAUUCAUAUUUAAUUCAUGUUUUGUUAAAAAAUUCUAAUUUUUUUCUAAAAGAGAUUAUUAUAAUAUUCUAAACAGUCCGAAAAAAAUUCAUUCAAAAAUAUGAAGACAACACAUGAAUUGAAUUAAAAGUAUAAACCAAAACUGAUGAUGGAAAAAUAUUUAGGGACUAUAAGUCGAAGAAAUCUUUAGGGGACUAAAAUGAAAAGAUGUUAUAUUUAUAGGGACUAAAAACGUAUUUAACCCAAAUAUUUAAUAAAAACACUACAUUAAUGUUAAUAUUUUGAAAAUAGUCACGAGUUUUCAAAAUUUUAUCAUAUCGACUUUCUCAUAUCAAUACAUUUUUUGGACGCGUCUCAUAUCAGUACAUAAAAGUUUGUUUUCGCAAAUAUAAACAAAUAAAAUCUGCAACGAGCACGGUGCAAAUAUUUAACGAAUUUUUACAUAUAACUUUUAUUAAUAAAAACAUUACAUUAAUGUUGAUAACUUUUAUUUAUUAUCUUUUAAUAUUUCAUGAUAUUAACAAUUGCAAUCAUUUUUUAUAUAAUUAUUGGAAUGUUGCCUAGAAUUUUUCUAGCUAUUUUUAAAAACAAAAAUCUAAAUUGGAGAGGAAGGUCCACACUGUUUUUGAAGUAUGAAGCCGACUUGUUUGUUGUUAUUUUUGUGUGUGAAAGUGAAAGUAGCACUCACUUACUAAAUUUAUUUCAUGGUAAACAAGUACUAGAUUUUUUUUUUAGGGAUAUGCAAGUGCUAGAUUUUUUCUUUUUUACAAGUACUAGAUGUAUUAUUUGUAAAAACUGAAGUACUAGAUGCCUUUGAAUAUAACCUAAAGUGAAUUGUAUAGCAGUACUUAGCAACAAUGUUCCGCAAAUCGAGUGUUAACUCUCCGAGUUUAUAUUUUUAGGUAUCAAAAUCGUGUUAACUCGGAGGUAAAUUCGAUUUCUAAUAAAAUCGGAAGGUUUGACAAGUUUAACCGAGUGUAAAAUCGAUCGAGUUUUACGAGUUUACAUCUAAAAAAAAUUGGCCCUUUUUUUGGGGCCAUUUUUUAAAAAUCCAAUUCCUUUUCUACAAGCCCAAAGACCGGAACGUUUACGGUAACACGUUGUUCCAUAAAUGAAAUGUUUCUUUUUCUUUCUUCUCUAAGUUCUCAAUCCAUGAAUAGGGGAGCACAUAUCAGUUAGUGUUGUGAUUCUGACAGUGGAAAUUCAGAUUUCGACGCCAAUGAUUGCGACACCGGUUAGGGUUGCGGUGUUGGUGUUUGUUUACCUUUUGAAGAAAUUAACAAGUUUAUUUUUUAGAUAGUUUUAUUAACAACUUUACGGACUUGUGAAACUUACUUUUUUGGAUGGUUUUAUGAACGACUUAAACUUAGAGACUUAAGAAACUUAUGAUUGUGUGCACUAAUUUUUGUAUUUUGGUGUUAAGUUGAACAUUAUGUUUUAUUAUGGUAGUUUGGUAUAAUUUGCCUUUGUAAUUAAGUCAUAUUUUGAAUUAUUGACCAAUUUACAAUAUUAUUUUAGCUUAUAUAUGUCAUGCAUAUAAUAAUUUUUAUAUAAUUUUAAUUUUAGAUAAUCUCGUACGAAUUCUCAAGUCAAGUUUACGAGUCGAGUUUACCUAGGUAAAACGAGUUGAGGUAAACUCUCGAGUUGUAAAACCUUGCUUAGCAAGACUGAAACAUUCUAUUGACGUGGUCAACAAGAAAAAGAAAAGAAAAAAAAACAGAAGAGACAAUUUUGCAACCAACAUGUUUGUGAAAGCAUAUACCUUUUGAAUAAGGAUAUUAUGUAUGGUUCUGAAUAAAUUUGCACAAAUCUAGCAUUGCAAAACCACACAGAUGCAAGAUAUUUUGAAUGAAAUUUUAGUUUGAACGUGUAUGAAAGAGCAAUGCCACCUCCCUUCGCCCCGAAUCUUUCUUCACUAAUUGACACAGAUCAAUCCAACCGCGAGCCUCCAUUGUUACUUCAAUGGAGGAAGAAAAAAAUGAUGAACCAAGAACAAAGAAAGGUUCUAAUCUAAAAAUUUCAAAUAUGAUCAAUAAACUACGAAGUAAAAGUUUGUUAAAAACGAGUCGCAAAACAUUUCUAACAAAGUAAGUACAAAACAUAAUGGUUAUCACAAAUUUGACAGAAAGAUUAAGUGCAUCUUUAGUAUUACAGUAGGUUUGAAUUAGAAUGAGUCAUUGUGAAUUUUGCAAAAACUACGAUGGAUAUUCACUUUAAGCAUAAAAAACCAAGGUUAUAAAUUAUGUCAAACUACACUUCACAAUUGCAUAUAGAGCAAAUGAAAUUAUAAUAGAUACGCUAAAUCGGAGUCUCAGAUCUGUUUAUAAUUGUUGAUUAAAGCAAUGAAUGAGAACCUGUUCCGAGGUGGAAGAUUGUUUGGCAUUGAAUCUAAUUGGCAUGGUGAAUAGUUCUAUCAUGUAAUUGAAUUCUAUCAGUUACAUCUGAAUAAAAAUAAAAAAAAGUAAAAAAUAAAAAACAACAAAAAAGGAAUUUAACAAAAUGAAAAUUAGAGUACAAAAUUAACAGAAGGAAAAUGUUGACGUGGUGUUCCUGCUGACUAUGCCUCAUUGAGACCUUAAUGGUACAAUUCUACUACAAACCCUUCUCUUUGCUUCUAAAUCUUUUCCAUUUUUACCCUCUAAAGAUUUUUUUUCCAUUUUUUUUUCAGUUGGCCAUUGCCAUUUCUUCCCAUAUAAUACAAGAAUGACUACAACAUCACUAUGUUCAUGGAUUUUCACUGUCAAAAACUUGUAUACGGUUUUCAUAUCAUUGGCUCAAUAUAACACAACACGAAUAAGGCCUGGCUGUGGUUCUGUGAAAUCAAGACCCUCUUCUUCGAGUAGAUAACGCUGUACAGCUAUCGGAAGUCUUGCAGGGGUGCGGGAACCUCUGGUAUGAUGACCGGUACCAACACAGAUAUAAACCUGCAAACGCUGCUCCGCAGCUCUGGCUGUGCUUCUUAGCACACCCAGUUCGUGUUUCAGCACGUGAAUCGCUUCACUUACAUGGAGUCCAUGCAAGUCUAUCAUUCUCUCAUGUCCUCUUCCAUUAACCAUCUCUGGACCAACAGGGUUCCUGAAAAAUCAACACUCACAAUGACUACAGCAGUAUCCGAGAUAAGGUAGCAUUUGGCAAGCAGACAGAACAACAAUGCCGGUCAAUUCAUAAUAUGCACCUGUUGAGAUCUCACAGUUGAUGAGAUAUGCCCUGAAAUUAUAUUUAUAAGUGGGAGACAUUUCUCACCUUAAAAGCCAAUUUUGUUUUGUUGAGUUCAACCCAAUCCAGAUUUCACGAGCACCAAACAUAAACAAAAUUUAAGUCAUAUUUUAAGCCAUUUAACUCGAUAAAUGUUACCUUUGAAAACCUACCUAAAUAACAAAUAAGCAAUUGUUUUUCAACUAAACAGGCUUGGUUACAUAGAUCAAUCGACCAUUAGCUAAAAAUAGACCAUUUACCCUUAAAUUGUCGACCAUUUACAACACUAGGUUUACUUUCUCGUGACUUUUUACCGCUAAACACCAUACAUCAUUAUGUGUCUUAUGUAAGUACAAAUAAAAAUUUCCUUUAACCUUGGUAGGUAUGUUUUAUCAAGUUUUAUUCCUCAAUUUCAUCCACCCUACUCUGAUGGCUGGUGUAUUUGAUCUCCUAGUCACUCUGCGUGACAAACCCAAGGUCCUUGGAGGACCAACCUAGUAGCAAGGGACUUCAGAAUAAUAAAUAUGCACAUUCUAGCUCAUACAACAAUACCCUUACAUAAAGAAGCUGUUUGGCGACCUCUACAGGUGAGAAAAGGAAAAGCUACAGUAUUUUGGGAAGUAGAUUUUCUCAAAUUUGUACUAGCACUCGAGCCAAAAAAAAAAAAAAUAUACAUGUGGGAGCAGUAUUGUCAAUUUUGGAUCGCAGAAAAUAGCGAUUUGUUUAAAUUCAACUACGCAAUAGUGCUAUAUUUGACAAUAUUUUGUAUUAAAUAGUGUAUGGCAGCGGGAUGUUCAAAUUCUGCUGUGUUAUAGUGCCACUAUAGCCGCUAUUCAACAACACUGAGUAGGAAGAACAAGUAGAACAAACAGUCUGACAGGCUCGAUGCAUAAUCGCGACAACAAAGUUGCUACAGUUCAAUCUCGGCCAAAUUGAUGGUCAUUCCACUAUAGGACCAAUCAAAAACAAUCUCAUAAAUGCUAAAAUUCUAGAUGAACUAGCCGAUUUGUCUGGUUGAGCAACCAACCAUUAUUAAAAAAAUACUGUUUUUUCAUAUUUAUAUGUUUUAAAAUAUUUUUUUAUUUGAUUUAAAUUAGUCACAUGAAGUCAUUCCAAUCCGAGUAUUCAACCAAUCGGUUUAAAUGGUUGAACCUCAACUGAAAGUUUUACCAGUUCAUUUUCUAAUCUGGUUUUAACAAUGUUGGAAAAUAUACACAAUUCUCAUUAUAACCCCAUAAAGUUUUUUGUUUUGAUAAAAGACACAUGGAUAGGAAGAGUGGAUAGCAAUGAGGAACAACAAACCUCUGGCGGUAAAUAGAUUCUUGAGCUUUCCCAUGAGCUUCUUUCAUAUGCAUGUUAUGCAGUUGCCCUUUAGCACUUAGCUCCUUUGCAAGGGCCUUAUUACCAAUAAGGUAGGCUUGUCGUGCCUGUUUGUAAAUUAUGAACAAUUAAACAAAAGUUACAGAAAUUAGGAUAGGUCCUGCAAAACCCUCAUGUUGCAUUUCUUCUCAAUCUAGUAGGUUGAGCUUCGUGGUUGAAACUUAAGUUACAAAAACGUAAGCUUCCGUUCCACUGGCAGUCUGGCACAUGCAAAAAUCUAAGGUUGAAAAAAUACAAAGGACCUGUUUGGAUUGACUUAUUUGAGGUUAUCUAAUGAUAUAACCACUUGUGAGACUGUUUGGAAGAGUUGAUAAAAAUAACUUAUGACAUGGCCAUAAGCUAUUUUCAGCUUAUUUCCAUAAACUGUUCGUGAUAGCUUAUAUAAACAAUUAAUAGCUGAUAAACUUCAUUUUAUCUUUGGCUAAGAAAUAGUUUAUAUAUAGGCAUGUAUGCUAUGAGCGCUUAAUUAAGUUGCUUAUCCGAACAGGACCAUAGCUGAUGCAUAUUAUGGAUUAACUAGGAGAAAGAACAUAACAUAUAAGUCUAGACAUUUGGGGAAAACAGGUUGGUAUGAGCCUCAGUCAACCAUGAAGUGUGUAGCAAAUAUCAUCACACUAUUGUCAUUAAAAUGCUCAUUAACUUCUCGGCAGCAUGAAUCAGAGACCCACCUGCUCAAAAUAUGCAUUACGUAAGCGUGCAUGAUCACGAGCCUCCUCCCGAAGUUCAGAAUACAUAUUUGCUGCCAUUCAAAAUAGUUAAAGGGAACCAGUAUAAAAGGGACUCGUCUAAAAAUGGAAACAUAUAAACAUAAAUAUUUACCAACAGCGUCACCGGUUUCAAGCCAGACAGGCGCUGGCCGAGCAGAUCCACGGUUUUGUAACCUAUCACCAAAGUUAUUUCUCCCCUGUCCGCCAUUGUAGGCACUAGCUAGAACAUUUAAACUCCUACUUGAUCCGGUGGAAGCAUCACCAGAACCAUUUCUAUCAUACUUCCAUAUUCCAGAAUCCUGAGAAGCUAAUUUCCUGACAGCUGAAGCGAAGUCGGUAGCACCUCUAGUCGGAAUAGAAGAGCUCGAUUUGAACAUGAGCAAGUCUUUGCCAGACGGUAAGUAAGGACUGCCACUUUGUUGAACAUUGUCUGCAGCAUAUUUUGCAGUAGUAGUCUGGCCGUUUGUUGGAGCAAGUGCUGGAAAGUCCAUUGGAGUCAGAUUGGGAGAUGACAGAGUCUUUGGGCUUGGGUUCUGGAUGAAAUUACUAUCAACUUGAAUCUACAAAUUUGUAGGAAAAAGAAAACCAGUUAAGAACUAUGCACGAGAAAUGAAAAUAUUCACGAAAGCGACAAUAACAUCCAUGGAAUGAAAAAGAAAACCUUGAGACAUGGUUGAAUUACAAUAUCAUAUAAACAAGAAAAUAUUAUAAAUUCAAAUGAAAUUUUAAUAGUCCUGAAAUCCUGAUAAGUUCCUAUCAGGUCCCUUGUGACUUGUGAGCAUGACACAAAGGGUAUAAGGAUUCAGGAAACAGUGAUUAGAGUCUGGAAGCCGCAUUGCGUUGGGAGUCAUUUCACAACUUUAUGGGAUGCCGGAAACUUCCCUGCCAAAACAAGGCACAAGCAUUGCUCUACACAUUUAGCUUCCGUCUAUUCAAAUUUAAUAUUGUAUCAAAACAUAUCGCAAGAUGUGCAUUUCCAACCAAUAAUUGCAUCACGGCAUGCUAGGAGAAAGAUACAACUCAUGAAGAGAGACUUUAUUAAAAAAAAAACAAAAUUUAACCACAAGUUAGUUGGUAUGUGAAGAUCAACCCACCUCUAACUGAGUGAGCAUCUCAAUGGUCAGAUGUAAAUCACAUCCAUUGGCAAAGAACACUUCAGCAAGGCUUUCUGACGCAAAACCAGGGAAUAGAGAAGCUAAAAAUUCCAAAGGGUUAAAAUCAGUCUCAUCCACAAUAGCAUUCUCGGUCAAAACAUCAUUUAAAAAUCCAUGCCUAGCAUUGUCAUCAUAGGCAAGUGCCUCUUGACCACCGCCAACAUGGAGGUUGUUAUCGUUUAAGAAUCCAAGCCUAGCAUUGUCAUCAUAGGCAAGUGCCUCUUGACCACUGCUAACAUGGAGGUUGUUAUUCCCAACUGGUCUUUCCCAAGGCUUUGCUAAUGAAUUCAAAAAGCUUGCCGAAGAUGGUUCUUCCCGGUAUGUUGAAUUGGAAAACCUUAACUUAUCGGCAAAUGUAUUUCCAUUAAGGUGGUGUUGAGGUAAUUCCUGCUGCUCGUUUAGUAUAUAUCUGCUUCCCUUAGCAGAAGAAAACAUCGACGAUUCAUUAUCG
rnacentral:lncRNA from 1 species